UUUUUUUUUCACUUUCAAUCAUUUAAAGGCGGUCUUAAACCGCCACCAAACAUUUUCGUCAUUUUUUUUUUUCACUUUCAAUCAUUUAAAGGCGGUCUUAAACCGCCACCGCCACAAAGUUUUAGUAAUUAUUAAGUGAUAGUUUAAAAUUAUCGCUAAUAGAUUGAAAAAAAAAAUCGUUUAGCAUUGGUUUAAAAAAAACCAUUGAAAUUGAAGGGAAAAGAAACCACUCACUUACUGAAUCUCACGAUAGACAGCACUAUAGUACUAAUAGAUCUCUCAAGGUAGAGAGUACCACAUUACAUACCCAUAUACUAAAAGAAACAUAAGAAGUGUAAUUCGUACUACUAGUAUACACCAACAGAUCCAACGCAUUUCAUCCCCGAAACAAAUAUAAACAAACAAACAAUUAGAUAAAUCCAACUUUGCUUCACAUUUUGCACCUCUUCUUAAUGGCUUCUCCUUACGUUUCCUUCACGUCUCUCCCUUUGUAGGACCACCCUACACUUUACUACCUCUCCUACUAUAUUACCAUAAUAACACAUCCUGUUAACCUUAUUUACCUAACACUUUAACUCCCAAAUAAACACUAUAACAGCAACUUCACUUUGCCAGAAUGAAACACACUAUCUGACUCACACCUAAUUAUGACCUCAUCUAACUAAACUGUCCAAAAAAAAAACUUCAAAGUGGUAAAUAAAAGAGCCCUCAAAUUGUGCUUGACAACUUUGACUCUUUAUCUACAAUAGUUAUAGUUCAUUUUAGUAACAAAAAUGUACAAUGCUGUUAUAUAUACAGUAGUAGUUAAAUUACCGUUCAACUUAAGUCAAUGUAAUAUUUCAUAUUUCAUAUUUCAUAACUUUGUUCAAACGUGGCUGCUUUUCUGGUAAAGUAAAACGUGUCGGUGUCGUCUAUAAGAAAAUUAAAAACAAUGAGUGCAUGAAUAAAAAAAACAUAUUGUAGUGUAGUGUAGGUUCAAAAGAUAAGAGUAAGUUGUUUCACACCACACCUCAAAUAGCAACACUCUCCUUUCACUUUUCUUUAUCAAAAACUUUCUACACUUGUUUACUAAGCAAUUAUUAUAUACUCCAUUUUCAUUUUAAGAAAACCUUCAUUCUCAUUGUGCUCAUAAGUUUUACAAAAAUGGGAACAUCUCAAAGAACAACAUUAGUAAACACUGUGUGUUGUUUAAUUAUUGUGUUGUUUUCUCUCACUGUUACUGUUGUGGUUGGUGAUUUAAUAACAGAUCAGAAGAAUCUUACAGCUAAAUCUAAAGAUGAAGUGAAGUGCACGCCGUGUGGUGAAGUUUCGUCGCCGCCGCCACCUUCUCCUCCUCCGCCGUCUCCGCCUCCAGCUUCCACGAGUAACUGUCCUCCGCCUCCUUCUCCUCCGAGCUCCGGCGGUGGUGGUGGUGGUUCAAAUUAUUACUCUCCACCGCCGCCGUCUACUUAUUACUACUCAUCUCCACCACCACCGGCGACGUCCACCGGAGGAGGUGGAACAGGUGGUUUGUAUUAUUAUCCUCCGCCGAAUGGUGGGACUGGGAACGGGAACUAUCCUACUCCGCCGCCUCCAAAUCCAAUUGUACCGUACUUUCCUUUCUACUACCACACUCCGCCACCUUCCGCGGCGGCGCCUCCACUAUUUAAGGGAUCCGUAAUGCUCUGCGCCGUGUCGUUUCUGGUGUUGUUUUGAUAGAAAAAAGAAAACAAGAGAAACGAAAAUUGAGGUAAGUAAAUUAAGUACAUGGAAUUUUGCAGAUCUCGAAGAUUAGAAAGAAAAGUAAAAAAAAAGUGAGAUCGAUGAAAAUGGAAAGUGUACUUAUUUUUUGCUGUCUCUUUAAUUCUGAUGUAAUGUAGGUUCAUCGAUCUGCAAUUUGUUGCCAAUUUGUAAUUGUAUCUAGCUAUUUUAUUUUGUUUAGUAUGAACAAAUAUUAUUUAAAGAAUAAAUUAAGCAUUAUUCAUUUCCAUUUAUAUUGUGUUUAGUAUAGAUUAUUAUUAAUUAAGCGAGUUUAUACUUAUCUUAACCAUGGGUGUGCUAUGAUAAUUUAGUGUCCAUAUGAUUAAUCAGUCAAGUUUAUCAAAUUUAUGUUGUUAGUAAUCAAAUUCCAAUACUCUCUUUUAGCUUCCAUAUUUGAACUCAGAUAUAAACACGUUGUUUAUUCUGGUUCUUUCUGAAUAGAGAGAUUAAGUACUCUCUAGUAAUUCAAUUUCAAGUAAAGUUUAUUAGUUUGUUUGAAAUUAUAGUUUGGAUGUGGCUGAUGAAGAUUUUAGUAGUGUUUGACAGCUGGAAAAUGAGAGGGAUUAUGGUGCAUUGGAGGUAAUUGAAAGGAGUGGUGUCCACUAAAUUUAUCUUCAUCUGAUUCAAAUUGUUUGUUGUUGGGGGAGGGUCCUUGUGUAUUGAUUCGUGGCAGCUUUUAUUUUUGGGUACUAGUAAUAAUUUAGUAUAGGAAAAAUUACACUCUACUCUUUUAUGUUAGACCUAAAUAUCAAGUAUUUUAAGUUUUUUUUGCCUUAUACAUUGUUUGUUUGUUUCUAUCUAUUUUAUUACUUUUUUCCUCCAACUAGCUCACUCAAUAUAGGAGCGUUUCAUUAACGGGUUUCUACAAAUGAAUAAAAUACGAACAUUUGCAAUAAAAUAUUGAUAGUAAACUCUCAAUUUAAUUUAUAUAAUUUUUUCUAAAUAAAUAGAUACCUUUAGUUCCAUAGCAAAAAAAUAAAUUGAUCUUUUAUAAAAAACACAAGGAUUUAUGAAUUUUUAUGAAUAAUAAUGUUGUAAUUCAUAAUUCUAUAAAUGUAAUUUUUAAAAGAAUCGAUUUUACUAUUAAAAAGGAGUAGUGACACAUCUUGUUGUUACACGUUUAUCUUUUAUUUUUUAAUAAACUUUAUUAUAUUAUAAUGAAAUAUAUUUUAAGUAAAAAAUUAUUAUUAUUAUUAUUAUUAUUAUUAUUAUUAUUAUUAUUAUUAUUAUUAUUAUUAUUGUCGUCGGUAGUGUUUUUAGCAUGCAAUAGGACUAAAGACAACAUUCUCAAUCACAAGAAGCACAUCCAAAGGCAUAUAUUGAGUGGUCUCGUAAUCAAGAAGCCAACACUAAAUCUUUAUCGUCAAAUAUCAUCAAGAUCAAAGGAUCUCUUCUAUUCCAUGUCGGGUGACCUAUGGUGGUUCUAACCAUCUUCUAUAUAUAAAGUUCUGCAUGCGCCAAGAUUUAGGUAUUUUAUUCACUCUUACAUUCUAACUACUUCUCAUUCUCCUAUUAACUUGGAGCUAACCUUGUAAGUCCACCUCGCUUUGUUGUAUCAAAAGUACGCCCACCACAUUUGAAUUGUAUUUCACUCCGUCGUCAACUAUUUAUGGUUCUUAUACAAAAUAGAAGCGUUGUUUGUGGGAAUCAGCUUUUGAUUAUCACGAAUUUCCACUAUCAGAUCCUUCUGGUUUGAAAAUGACAUUUCUCCACAACGAUCUCGCUCGAAAAAAGACAAUGAUGUCUAAUCCAUUUGCGAAAAUCACCAUAGAUUCUCCGGCCUUAAAUCAUCACCUUAUCUCGUCGUCUCUCCGAUUGACGAUGAAUCAUCUAGCAAGGAGGAUAAAUUAAAUCAAUGUUUGAUGCAAAGCUCUUCAAAAUUACUAGUGACAACUAGAAGACAGACUUGUCCUAGGGUUCUGAGACAACGAUAAUGUGAAUGCAAUGUAACACUUACAUUGGUCAUAAAUGUUAUUUUAGUGAACCACUUGGUGUUAGGAAUCCUUAUUGAUAAUGGGAGUUCUUACGAUGUCAUGUACACCAACGUCUUUAUAAAUUUAGGGUUACAUGAUCGAAACCUCAUACCAUAUGAAAGCGAGAACCUUCUAGCAUUCAACUACUCCACCACUCACCCUAGCAGAGUCGUGGAAUUAUCAGUGUCUAUCAAGGAAGGGAAGGAUGAAAAGAUUGUGACUGUGUAUUUCUUGGUGAUUCCUAGCAGAAGCGUCUAUAAUUGCAUCUUAAGGAGAUCUUUCCUUGUAACGUUAGUUGUAGUGGCUUCUAUUAUCCACCUGAAGAUGAAGUAUCACAAUAAGUUUGGGGAAUCAAACUUCAUUCUAACUGAUCUAUGUAGAACACGUCUGAUACACCAAAUGAUACUAAAGAACCCUCGUGCAACCGUCCUCAUUUUCGAUAAGAAAAUGAAGACAACUCUUCCAUCAUCCAUCACCACACUCAACCUUGAUGUGCGAGAAGAUUAAGUUCUGCAAAAUGACAAACUUAACUCACCAACAAAGACCAAAAUAAAAAAUAUGGAGAUUUAUCCUAGAUGGAAACUUUGAUGUUAUACAAUUUGAUGAGAAUCCAACAAGAUCAAUCUAUGUGGGAGAUGAUUUGAUGGCCACAUUAAAAAAAAGGACUCGUUGAAUGCCUCAUAGCCAAUACUAGUCUUUUUGGAGUCUCUCUGAAAGAGAUGCUCGACAUAGAUCCAAGUGCAGCCUAUCACUGAUUGAAAAUCGACCCCUCUACCUGAUAGUGACCUAGAGAAGGAGACGACAAUCCCCCAAAGGCGAAGCGAUAAUGAAUAUGGUUCAGAACCUACUCAACGCCAAAUUUAUUUCCUAAGUAAUGUGGAUCGUUUUUGUGUCUUGAGAAGUGGGAGAGUUGGUGAGAAGUGGAGAAAUUAAUGUGAGUAGAACAGUUAAUGAGACGUGAAAAACUAUGAUCUUCUAGAAACUAGAAACAAUGAUGGGAUUCUGAAAAUAUUUUUAUGAAAAUGACAACACGCAAUAAAGUGGUAAUGAUGACGAUGGCGUCAGUGAAAGAGUUAGAGUGGUGUCGAAAAUACAUUAAAAAAUACCACCUUUCUCUAUUCUGAUCUAAAAUAGAAACAUGGCAUUUUGGGGGGCAAUUUGUUAUCUCAUAUUUUUUACACUGGCAUUAAUGUGAUAAAAAAUCAUAUAAUAAUGACUUUAGUGUAAAGCCAAAAUAGUGAAUAACGGCCAUAAGGAUUUCAACAAAUGUGACUUAUCGACAAGGAACGUCAUUGUGGUCGAAAUUACAAGCGAACAAGGACUAAGGAGUUGCGGACUUAGUAAAAUUCAGAGUUUCAAGACAUUCUACGUAGUCAAAUGAAGUGUAAAUGGAUAAGAUCAAACGGUUACUGAAAGACACGUGGAAGUUUGUCGAAGAGGAAAGCUGCAUGGAAUUGAAGACGUGGCAUGUUAUGUGUAGUCGACCGUUGUAGACACCUUAGGAUUAGUAUAUAAGUAGCGUUAACUUUGAGUUUUAGGGGUCCGAAAUUGUACGCAAUUCUACAUAACUCAAAGUAUCUGUGUGAUUGAGAAAAGAGUUUCAGAAUGUACGUAUGCGUUCCAUUUUUUAUGAAUUAAAACAUUUUAUAUUCAAACCAUUUCUGCAUUUUCAAUCACUUUAUUUCUUAUGUAUUUCGAUUUUAAUUUAAAUUCCAAUCAUUACUUUUAAACUUCAUUUUGAUUUUUAGUUAUUAUUUUCAAAUUACACAUUUUGACAUUUAUGUCAAAAUCAUUCAAGUUCAUGAUUCACACAAAAUAUGUCUUGAGAUAUUUUCGAUUUUAAUCCCUUAAGUAAAUUGAAACUUGUUUUUGUUUACUAAAUUUCACGGUAAAAAAAUUGGCACACCCGGUGGGACGAUUUUUGUGUGAAUUUGUACCUUUGUUUUUGAAAAUUCCUAUUUUUAAGUUCUGCAUUUAAGAAACUUCUUAUAUUGUGAGAGUGCAUAAGAUUGAGGAGUGGUAGGAUAACCAAAAUGGAAACUAAAAAUCCAGUGAGGAGAUACGUUAGGAAGAUGGUUAAUCCCAAAAACAAAAAUAAUAAUAAUAGAUAACAACCAGUCAAUAGCACUGGGGCAGGUACGAUUUCUGCAAGUUUGAAUGAACCAGUUGCCUCUAUUGCUAGCACGGCGACCAUACCGUCGACGAAGAUUAUACCAUCAAAUCCAAAAGAAGGGGCAUUUUCCCCUUUGAUAAUGCAGAGUCACCCAGUGACUCCUAGAACGAUUAUGACAACGGACUUUAUACCUUUUUCCACCAAUUUCACAAUGCCCAUGUCGGGGCGUGAACAACCUUAUGGUAUGCCAACAUCAAUGAUGGCAAGCCCAUAUACUAACCAUUCGACGUUUGCUGACAAUGUUGCGGAUGUAUAUUCACCAAUAUUGGCAUCUGGCUCAGCCAUAGGUAACCCCGAUCAAACCAUACAAUCCCAAGUAGGGAUGGGAUUUGGUUCCCAUGCAUUGCCAACACUUACUAUAAAUUAUGUGAUGGCGAUGAGACAUUAGAUGGACGAAAGUAACCAUGAUAUGGUUAAUACGCUUACUCAACAAAUGGGUACCAUAUUUAGUCCAUUAAUUAAAAAUAUGAACCAGAGUUACCAACAGUUGGCAACUCAAAUGAAUCGAAUUGUUGAUUUCUUUGGCGCUUCGCCGGAGUCGGUUCAACCCAUUGUACAACCUCAAUUGGACAAGCCAAUUCAAAACUAAGGGAUAGACCAUGAGGAAAACAUAGUGAAUCAGGGGCAACAAUUUGAGCCCCGGGUAGUCUAACAAGGGAGACCUAUAGAGGCCGAAUGACCAUCAAUUUUGAUAGUGAAUCGAGACCAAGACGCGGACCAAGUGGUUCGUCAAGUUAGACAAGAGAAUAUGUUAGGAGAAAACAAUCUUGCAGCCAUAGUCAAAAGAAUAAUGACACAAAAUAGUGUCAACAUGGGCCUACAGAGGCCAAAUUAUUAUCUCUUUUGUUGGAGUAUGUUUUACAAACCGAACUCCCAAGGGGAUGGGAAGUCCCUAAGUUUAUCAAGUUUGCUUGUGAUACUAAUGAGUCCACAGUCGGACAUAUUGCUCAAUAUUUGAAUGAGGCAAGGCACAUAACGAAUAAUAAAAACUUAAGGAUGAGAUACUUCCCUAGUUCCUUUACAAAAAAUUCUUUACAUGGUUUACCACCCUUCCUGAAAAUUCCAUAAAUGAUUGGACUCGUUUAAAAAGGUUGUUCCAUGAAUAGUUCUAUAUGGGGAAAUCUAAGAUCAGUCUAAAAGAAUUGUCGAGUGUGAAGCGAAAGUUGGCUGAAAUAAUUGAUGACUAACUUAAUAGGUUUUGAUUGUUAAAAACAAUUUGCUUUAAUCAAGUUACUGAACAUGAAGUAGUCGAAAUGGCCGCCAGGGGAUUAUAUUAUUCUAUUAGGAAGAAAUUAGAUACACAAUGUCUCAGAGACAUGGCUUAGCUGGCGGAUAGAGUUCAACGGGUUGAGCGCUUGAAGGCUGAGAAAGCCGGAGUGUACAAAGGUAAGGAGUGAAUGACUUAUGCCAAUAUGUAAAAAAGUGACUUGAUGUCAGAUGUCGAAUAUGACCAUAUCGAAGAAAGUGAGGUUGAUGUGCCUGAGUUAAAACCAGGCCCUCCAAAUCUGUGUAAACUACUUACACCUGUAAACGGGAAGAACGCUUCUGAACUUGAGAAAAAUGAUAAGUUCCCUAAGAAAACAUAUACCUUCGACGUGACCAAAUGUGAUGAAAUUUUUGACUUAUUGGUUGCAGAUGGCCAAGUACUAGUGCCACCAGGCACAAAAGUGCCACCAUUAGAGUAAAGAAAGAAACGGGGGUUUUGUAAAUGUCAUAAUUAUCUAGGGCAUAAAACCUCACAAUGUUUUCUUUUCAGGGGUCCUGUUUAUAACACUUUGAAUGACGGAAGGAUCAAGUUCACUAAAGGCAAAGCUCCUAUGAAGAUUGACUCUGGCCCACUGCAAGUCGGGGAAGCCAAUGUUGCUUAGCUUAUAGGAACUAACAUGGUCGAGAUCAUUGAUUUCGACAUGGAGGCAGAGGGUGAAGCUUUCGAGAGCAAUGAGAUUCAAGUUGUUUAUCCUAAGGCUGGUGAAGGUUUGCUUGAAUUCCUCCAUUGAUGUAAAGCUAAGGAUUCAGAAGUUAUGUUGUGCCCUAGGUGCAAUGUUGGUUUUUACAAGAGGGAUGCAAAUAAAGUGGAGAGUGCCCAGCAGGCGAAGAAGAAGGAAAACUAGAGGAGGAGCAAGCCUGAGUUCUAUUUUGACAAGAGGGGAGUCCCUUAGAAGAAGGAGCGAUUUCCCAACCAUCGGAGAGGCAAGCCUCACACUUACAUGUCAGCGUAUAAUGCUCCCCAAGGAAGGUGGUUGAGGCUUGUUAUAAAGGAGCUGUCUGGAAAUCAGAGGUGGGGGAAUUUCGAAAUCGGUUGAUACUCUUCAAUGACCUAUCGAGAAAAUUUCCAGGUAUCGAAGAGGCGCUCAUAUGGUCCCAAUAACUAUAAGGGGAAGAACCCAAUGUCACAUACUCAAUUGAGAAGACUUCAGAGGAAGAAUAAGGCAGAGAAGGAAACUACUGAAUCAAGCAAUAACAAACCAUACCAUAGUCGAGUAAGUGAUCAGACUAAGAAGUCAGUUGAAAGACAAUUGUUUUCCCCUAAACAAGUUAAGUCGAAGGGAAAAGAGAAUGAGGAAGUACCAUCUAAGAAGGAUGAAUUAGUUAUUGAUAAUUUUGAGUCGGGGUCAGAAGACGAUUUUUAUGUGUUGUAUAAUGUCGUAUCGGUACUCCCAAGGGAAUAUGAUUGUGCCACAGAAGUUUCUGAGCUAACAGAUUAUGAAGAGGAGGAAAUGAUGAAGCACAAGCUUGUGUACUAUUUCGUCACGAACGAUGGUUGCAUUGAAUAGCUAACUAUUGUUGAGGUCGGCUUAUCAAGUCGUGAGCCUUCAUCAUCUCCUUCUCCCAUCAAGAGGAAUCUUGGUGAUAGCCCGUCCACUCCUAUUGAAGGAAGUUCUCCCAAUCAGGAUUUCCUAUCGCAAGGUGUUGAGUUUGAGGCUCUUACUUCUUUCUUUCAGGUUCCUGCAAUCCUUCCUUCUUGGGUACCAAGCACCCCGAAGGAAUUUGUUGCUACUCUGGAUAACGAUGACCUGGCCUUCAUCCGAAGCUUGUUUGUAACUGACAUAUGGAGUAUUUUUACACAUGCCCCCAUACCCUUUUUAGGGAAUGGAUCUUUGGAUUCAAUAGUAGUUGUCGACCAUGACGAUGUAUUAUGCUCUAGAGAUCUUUAUAGGGAGUGGGUCGGGCUGAAAAAUAAAUGUGAGGACCUUGAGUGCGAAAAUUAUGAGGUUGAGAAGGAGUUAUCCGAGCUACAGGCCGAGCUUGUCGAUUCUUUGUAGAAAGAGGUAAAUUGGUAUGGUUCUUAGUCAUCAUUGGUUGCUCAGAUAAUGAGAUUGAAGGAUUCGCUUAUUGGGGUAAAGAAACAUUAUAAGAAGGAUUUUGAAGAUACUACGGAAGUGUGUCGUGCACUCGAAGCAAAUCGAAUUGUUCUUCAACAAAAGAAGAAUGGUCAGAUCAAUUCUUUGAAAAUUCUUGAAGAGAAAGUGGUUGUUGCAUGGCAUAAGUCUCAGGAGUUCUAUUCAACGUGUUAUGGAUGUCGUGUAUCGGAUCCAGGAUAAGAGGUUGGAGCAUGCUAAAGGAUUUUGUCUCGGCCUUUCUACUAUUGUCGAUCAGUUGGAUCCUUUCUGAGAAAUUCCCAUAGAGCAUUUUGGAUGUGGCCCAGCUGCUUCAAGGUCGGGCGCUGAUGUUUGAGAAUCUUUGUGUUCCCAUUUAUUUAAUUUUUGCUCCUGCAAAAAUUUUCCAGGCUUUGUGCCUCAGUUUGUAAAUAAUAUUUAAAUUUAUUUAUAUCGCUACCUUUAUCAUAUUUAUGCUUUCCGAUUUCGUAUUGCAGUAUUUCAAUCGUUGACUCUAGUCGACUGAGAUCUGAGGAAAGUUAGGGAUUGCUUUCGAGCCUUACAAUUUGCACAAUUUGUUCGCUAUAGAGAGAAGUAAAUAUUAUUCACUUAAAGUUUAAAUAACCUAAAGUUAUCUGCAAGGUCAUGUAUAACUUCUUUGUUUGUUAGCACGUCAUGUUAAGAUGUACGCGUUGUCAAGGCGACAUGUCGAACCACUCAAAUGUGACUGUGAUUGGAAUGUACAUGUGUAAGGGAAGCAUUAGUUCAAUUUGAUGUGUGUGUAUAUUGGAUUUGUGUUGGUGAGGCAUGAGCUUGACUUUGGGUGUUUAUGUUUCAAGGUGCACCUGUAAUUAUUUAGCAUGGAACCGCCAGACAUGGUUAUGCUUUGGAUCAUAUUCAUAAGAAUAUAGAUGAGUCCAAAUAAAUGUGGUUAUGCUUUGAAUCAUACUUAUAGACGAGGGACAUGAAACUGGUUAGAUGUGACCAUGCUUUUUUAAUAGUGCUCUAUGUCAUAAAGGAUCAUUCCCCGAACAAGGGUAGAGGAUCCUCGUCCCUCUCCCCAAGGUGCUAGAUCGAAUCAAGGUGGAUGGCUCUAGGCUCCACCACUCAUAUCCUUUGCAUUGGCUAGAUCUGAAGGGGGUGCGCCAGCUACGCAGGAUUGUGUGUAGUUCUUCGACAAUGGGUAUUUGAGUGAUGUAUUGGAACGUGAAAAACGUCUCCAAUAGCACACCUGGUGGAAUUUGUUACUAAAGUCAUACGUAUAAAGCGUCUCCGAUAGCUCCCCUGAAUUUUGAAGACGCACAAGACGCUGCAGAGAAUUGUUUGUGUAGUCGGACGUGCGAAGCAUCUCCAACAGCACCUCUGAACUUUGGAGGCACACUCGAUGCUAAAGGGAUUUGAUUGCUUUGGUCAGAAAUACAAAGCGUCUUCAAUAACACCCCUGAAUUUUGAAAGCAUGCUCGACGUUUAGGGGACUUGAUUGCUUUGGUCAGACAAACAAAUACUCUCCAAAAUCACCCCUAGACUUUGAGUCAGUGUCAAUUGCAUUGGUUGUACCCUGGUUCGUUAUCACGUUCAUUCAUGUCUUGGCUUCCUCAAGAAUGGACAGGGCAGAAAGCAUAGUAGAAAGAAUAUAAUAGAAAAUAUACAUAUGUAUUUCAUUUCACUCUUAUAUAAUAGUUUACAACUACAUUAAUUAAAUCUCGCGGUCGACCGCAAGUGUAUAUCAAGCGAUCACCCUCAGAUGUAUUAUUCGGGUGGCUUAAUGACCAAUUGACUUGAAGUAUUGGGUCCUUGGCUUAAGAGAUAACAAGCCUAUGAUGAGUAUGAUUGAUUUGGCUUCUCAGGGUCAAGGUGGACUAGCUCUUUUGGACUCGGAUCUUCUUCGGGAUGUCUCAGAUGCUCGGCCAGACUGGAAGAUUGGGGAUGAUACACCCUGACUUGUUCAUUCCCUUUUGUUCCCGUAGAAAUAUUCACUGACCGUUCUAAUUGAAGAUCUCACGGACCCGACCUCUCUCUACCCAGAAUCAGCUGGGCCGUUUAGCUUUGCUUAACUUAUCAUCUUUAGAAGUUGUUUCUAAUACCGCGUGUCGUUCCCUUCCAUCAGAACAUGAUCGGCUUGUGGCUUGCAUGCCGAUUGAAAGUUAAGUCACGUUAUUGUAUGGUAUUGUUUACUAGUUUUGAUUUUUUUGCUAAUUUGGUUAUUGUUGUUAGAAUUUGUUUGCGUAUUCGUAAUUUGCUUACCAUUUAAUAUUUGUAUGUUUGUAAUAUAUUCGCAUUUGAAUCCUAUUGUAAUUGAUUCGUCUAUUAUAAAAUUGUAGCAUUAAGAUCCCACGGUAUUCAAUGUAUUUAGAGAGUUUGAUUCCUUGAUAAUGUCUCUUUUUUAGCCUAUCAAGUUAUCCUUUUGUCAUUUCAUCAAACUUGACUUGAAUCAUAAGUUAGAACUAUUAAAAUUAAGAUGUUAAGUGUUUGAUUUGAAUCAUGUACUAAAUGUGAGUCGAAUCAUAAACUUAUAAAAAUUGGGAUUUUUUUCUGGACUGCUUGAUCCGAAUCAUAAAAUAAACCUAAUCUGAAUCACAAACUCUUGUGACUCAAAUCAAGUGUUAUCCAUGAGUUGAAUCACAUGUCUGAAAGAAGUCGUAUUUGGGUUCUUCCUUCAUUGACUCGAACCAGGAAUCUAACUUGAUUUUAAUCAUGAUUUUCUCUUGACUCAAAUCAUGACACUACAAAACCCGUUUUUUCCAUCUUUGAUAUAUAUAGUUGUUUCUUUUGUGAAAGUAAUAAAGUGUGUGAAAACCCAAAAAAGGUGAAAAACAUUUUUGAGACAAAAUACAAUUUAUCUUCUUUUCUUUAGUGAGCCUAUACCCAGCAGCAUUAUUCUUUAUAUUCUUCUCUAUAAAAACUUCUUAAGUAUUAAUCUAUGUCAUAUUCACUUAUUUUUAUUGCACUUUAUUCUUGUGCAAUUUUUUUUGUUGUUGCUUGUAAUUAGAGAGAGUUAGUUGAUUUAUCUUGUGUGUUCAUCAUGAUCAAUAAAGCUCAUGAUAUCAAUUAAGAACCAAGACCCAUUUACCCAAAAAUUAGAGAGAACAUUAUGUGUGUCUUCUUCUUUCACCUACAUCUAACUACUUGACUAACACCUUGUGAAUUAGAGUGCUUGUGAGAUAUUCUAGCACUAUUCAUCAUCUUCAUCCUUAGUAUUUUCCCAUUUUUUAGUAUUUUCAUCUCUAAAUAUUGAGUGUUAAGGGAGACUAGUGGUACAUUAGAGUAUUUAAUGUUUUUGUGUGAAGUUUGUUAUUUGUAACCAGUGCAAAUAUCAUUUCUUGAAUGAAGUUUGGUCCUCAUUGUUAUCUAUCAACAAGAGAGUUUCAAUAUAGUCCAAGUAAUACUUUGGCGAGAUCAAUUAUUAAUGUUUCAUAAGGGGAGUUGGAAGUUGUCCUUCUUUGGUGGCAUUCGAGAAAGAUGGAUCGCAUACAAAGUUGGGAGUUGUCCAAUAAAUGCUUAGUUAAUGGAAAUCGCUCAGACAAGAUAUCGGUGGGAUCAAUAUUUCCACACACAAAUACUUGGAGCAUGUUAUUAUGAAUAGAAAGGUUAUUAGAUCAAGAUCUUUAGUGAUCUUGUUUUGUUAGCAGUUUGAGUGUUUGCAUCAACAGAGGGAACUAUUAUGUGAUAGUUCAUUGUAAUCAAAGUGCUUGUAUCAAACUUAUCAAAAUAGAGGAAGAUCGUGAUUAUCUUCCAGUGGUUGAUUAACACCAUUGAAGAAUGGAGUAGGCAAAGCGAGGACAAAUGUUGAACCACUAUAUAUCUGUGUGUAUCUUUUCUUCUUCCCUUAUCUCCUUUUAAUUUACUAGUAUCUAAUAAUAUUAUUAUUACAUUAGUGCAUUACUGCAUCAAUUGUAUGUUAUAUAGGUUAGACUUUACUUAUAGAGUUUUAAUGUAUAAGCUUAGGCAUGUGAUGCAUCAAUCUUAUUGGAUUAUCAUAGACACAAUCAUGUCUUGAAUGAACAUCUAUGUAAAGUGUUUUUAAAUCGCUUUGUUUAAAGCGACUUUGGUAUUCUUGUAAUUUACUUGCAUUAGAAGCAACAAAGUAUUUAGUUAUAUCAUGUAUUAUUUCAUUUUUUUAAUUCAUUGAGAUGCUUCCAAGCUCUCCACUUUUGUAUUUUUCAUUUGCGCUUCUUAAAAUCUCUGAUUUCGUUUAUAAAACCUAAAAUGCCUUUGAAAUUUUCUUAAAGGGAGAAGGUUUAUUCAACCCCAUUCUAGACUUCUUUGUGUCCAUAUUCUCAUCCAACAAUUGAUAUCAGAUCCUAGUUGAUCAAAGUCUUGUGACUCCAAAAGUUAAGGAUAUGGUUCUUUUGAUCCUAGACGAUUUUUUAUAAUCGUUUGGAAGCUUAUGCAAUUCAAUGAUAUUACAUUGAUGUACUAAUGUCUGAUUAUUCAUUGCAUGCAUUAAAUAGAUUAAAUUAAAGUAGAAACUUAUUAGAAUACCCUUCAAACAUUAAUUAUAUUUAAGAUAUUCUCUAAGUUUUGAUUCAUCUAUGAUUGAUUGACAAUAUUUCGAGGUAUGUGCAGUGAAACUGGGAACCUGUACUAUAUCUUGAAGUUAGCUCUUGAUUAAUCCUAAUUAAAGAUGAAAAUACAAUUCACACUAUAAUAUGUUGGAAUUUAUGUGAGAUAAAAUUAAAGAAACAAAAAAACAUCUUCUAAGUGACCUAUUUUUCCAAGGUUAUCGUAAAAAGAAGAUAAAGGCAGCUUGCGGCUAUUGGAAAUGAUUCUCCUAAGUUUCAACAAUUACAAAAGAUUCAAGGAUAGAUUGUUCUCCUUGAAGUUCUAUUGAUCUUCAAAGAGUUGAACAGUUAGUCGGGAUUGACAAAGUGUGUCAAUUAGUGAAAAAUAAACCAUCAUCAUUCAAAGUUCAUCUGAAACCUUAUGAAGAAGAGUGUGAUAGUAUACUUCAGACGUGCAAGAGGAGUUGUAUCAAAUUAGUAUAUGAUUGAUCGUGUUAUUAUCUUAUGAUGUUUUUUUUUGUUGAUUACUAAUCGUUCUCAUGUGCAGCAAGUUAAGCCUAGAUCGUCUAAAUUUGGUAUGAUCAUUCCAACCCUUUUUUAUUUCUUUUUUAGUAUACAUAGUUGUAAUUAUUCCAAUGUCUAUAUGCGUUGUAUGUUUGAAACAUGUAUGUGUAUGUGAGAUGUUUGUACAUUUCAUGCUUUAAUUUUUCAAUCAUUUAUGCAUCGGUUUAACUUUAUUUUCGUCUGUUCAUUGCAUAUAUACAUUUGCAUUUAAAUUCAUUCAUACGUGCAUCAUCAUCAAUAUAAAUUUCCAUUCAUUAAAGAUUUAGCAUUUUCGUUAUAUAUAUAUAUAUAAUAUAUAUAUAUAUAUAUAAUAAUAUAUAUAUAUAUAAUAUAUAUAUAUAUAUAUAUAUAUAUAUAUAUAUAUAUAUAUAUAUAAUAUAUAUAUAUAUAUAUAUAAUAUAUUGCAUUUUAUCAAAAAUCAACUUUUUUCAUGCAUUAAAAUAUUUUUUUAAAAUAAUGCUUCAUGAUUUGAAUCAUGAAGGUAACUUAGUUCGAAUCAAACAAAUUGAAAUUUCAAGUUUUGGGUGUUGUUGAAGUCUGAUUCGAGUCACGACUACAACGUGAUUCGAAUCACUGCUCAUUCUUUGAAUUUUUCAAAUACAUGAUUCGAAACACAAAAAUUACCUGAUUCGAACCAUGAAACAAAAAGUCAUGCAUUAAGUCCGUUUUCAACAGUAACGGUCCACUUUUUCGUUUUUCUCUUCAUAUCAUUUCAUUUCCCUCAUGCAUCCACACUCUCAUUUCUCAAAACUCAUUUUUUAAAACACCAUAACAAUUCAUUAUUCAUAAACAUUCAUUCAUUCCAUUUCAUCUCAUCAUCAUCAACCAUUCCCAAACCCACUUUCAUCAUCAUGGACUCAACAUGUAUGUUCAAGCUCUAAAAAGCAAGUUAUCUGAGAAACAAAAGGGGAAGAGAUAAGUUCCUACUUCAAAUUCAUCUCCUUCUUAAGUUCCCAAAAGGCCGAGAACAAAAGUUUGAACAAACAAAGAAUCAUCUAAUGAGGUUCAGAAAAAGGAAAAAAUGGGUACUUCUCGUCAAGGCUCAAUCAAAGAUGUUUCUCUGAUCAAUAUGAAAGUUUGCAUGAUGCACCCUGAAGAAAGUCUAUUGAGGUGCGUGUGUAAAUUUUCAGUCAAGCCAGUUGAUUCUGAGUAUUUUGUUGAAAAUUAGUUUGAAACCAAGCUAGGAAUUAAGUUUUUGACUCCAUUUGAGAAUCAUGGUAUGUUUAAGUUCUUGAGUUUGAAAAAGGAUUAUGACCUUGAGUUGGUUAAAGAAUUCUAUUGAAAUUUUAAUAUUACUAAAGAUGGAUUAGAAUGUCACCUUAAGGAUAAGCUGAUUACAUUUUCUAUCAAUAAUUUUAAUUCUCACUUUGGUGUGCCUGCUGGAGGUAAUGAAGUUAACACCGGUAACACCUCUGCCUCUCCAAGAUUCCAAAAGCUUGAUUUUGUGAAAACAAUUUCUAAGUUAAUUUUUAUUGAUCGACUAGAUAUGGUCAAUUUCAACAUUAAUCAUAUUACUUUUGAAAUGUGAACUUUGCACUGGAUUGCUUCCAAGAUGUUGUACAGGAAACCUCACAACUGGGCUAGGGCAGAUGAUCUUGAUCUUAUGUUGAUGUGGGUGAUGUUAGGUGACAAGCAUAAUAAUUGGGUCACAUUCAUUUUUAUAAGGAUGGAUCAUUGUAGGUCCACUUUUAAUGUCUCACUCUUCUACUAAUUUUUUAUUCAGUACACCCUUGAACUGAACGGCAUUACUCCAUUUGAUUCUUAUAUGAUGAAAUCACCAAAUCCUGUUGACGACUCUACUAUUAAUUUGAUGAGGUACUACAAAGAUAAAUAUGGGCAGUGCUACUUUUUACAUACAUAUGGGACUCUAAUUUAUGAGGACAUGAUUGUGAAACCCUCUGAUGAAGGGGUAGGUUAAUCGUCUGUUGGUUUGCUUUCUCCUGAUGUGAAAGUCUAUCUUGAUGAAUUAGUUGGAAGAAUUUUGGCUGAUAAUCAGAUACGGGAAGAAAGGAUCAUGGCAAGAAUUUAAAGGGUUGCAAAGGAAAUUUAAGAUAGCAUGAUAAAGCUAGAGGAAGCAUUGAAGGCCGAGAUGCAGAGUGGUGAAGCCCAGAUCAUUGCUCAGGUUGAUUCUAUGAAAGUUUUAGUUGAGCACCUUGGUAAAACCUAUAUAGUCUUUCCUCUUGGUUCUCCUGAUCUUGAUAUAAAGUCUUUUAACCCCUUUCCAAAUCUUGCAACUCCUCCACCUCCUCAUGUAGAAGCAACUGAUCUUACUUGAUUUAGUUUUCUUUUCUUUUUCAUGAAUAUCAUAACAUUAGCAUAUCAUGGAUAACUAUGUUAUUUUGGUGUCUGUCUAUUUUAUGACCCUUGACUAUACUUUGGAGUAUGUAUCUUGUGACAAGUCUUUUAGUCACGUAUAUAUGAUAUCUCUGUAAUUCUCAUUAUGUUAUCGUUUUCUUGAUAUCUUUAUUAGAUUUUGUGUUUGCGAUAAUUGGUUUCGUAUGCAAUUUAUUUGGUGCUUGUUUAAUUCACUAAGUAUGACAUUCUAAUUUUGGAUUUCAUAUUAUCAUGGAUUCAACUAUUUUGGCGUGUGUUUUCUCUUUGUCUUUUAUCUCUUUUUUAUAUUUGUCAAAGGGAGAGAAGGUAUUGAGAUAAUAUCAAUAUUUAUGUGCAUUAAAUGUUUAAUGCAUGUGGCUUUAGAGCUUUUACAACUCAAGUGGAGUGGAGUACACUAAUCACAUGAACACUAAAGAAACUAAACAUAUUCAUUUCAUCCAUAAAAUUUCAAAUAAUGCUCAAAUAGAUUGAUCAACAAUAUAAUAUAUCCAAACUUGUCAAACAUCAAAAAGGGGGAGACUGAAAGUGCAGUCAUGUUAUCGUAUGGUAUCUUUUACUUGUUUUGAUGUUUUUACUAAUUUAAGUAUUGCUGUUAGAGUAUUUUUGGAUAUUUUAAAUUUGCUUACUGUUCUGGACUGGGCCAUGACACUAGGCACGGCACGGCCCAAUGCUCGCCAAGCCCACGUCCAAACGACCAUGUCCAAACGACCACGAGGACAAGUCAGGUGAACGACCGUCCGCCCGAAGCACGUCUCCCCGGCCCCUUAAAUACGUGUCGGACAACGAGCGGGUCCUCCCCAUACGAUCUCCAUCCACUCAUCGUCAACCCACGCCGCGGACACCUAAGUUGUGUCGGGCAGAGCCAUAACGGCAUCUCACUCACCACGUCACCCAACUCCCCUAUAUUGUCUCCUUAGGGAUAGGGGCAGUUGGACCAGGGGGCAGACCUUGGUCUAGGUCUUAACGCUUCUUACGCGUCCCCUGGCAGCUCCUCCUUGGGCCUAGCUAAUCCAGCCCAUUAGGAGCCUUGGCCCAGCGCUGGGGGCUCAAUAUAAAUACCCCUUUCAUGGCAAAGGGGCAGGUAUUCUAACUCACACUCUGAUAACCUCAUUCUGUACCUUUUCUGACUUAAGCAUUGGAGCACCUUGCAGGUACACCCCCCUCUCAUUUCAUUCUCCGGCCCAUUCACCAAGACCUUGGAAGGCCCUCCUGAUCAGGUAAGAUCAGUGGCGCCGUCUGUGGGAACUAGCUAUCCCCAUCUUCAUCAAACGAGGAUCAAAAGCUCAUUUAUUUCUGUCCUUCCAACAUGGCCGGAGAACAACAUAGCGAUCACAGCCGUCCCCUCGUCAACUACAAUAUGGACGACGGCCCGCCAUCCCAUGAAGCGGACGUUCGGGACGGUCAUCCAUCCACCCCGUCUCCAGAGCCCCAAAACAACGGAGAUGCCUCUCACGCCCACAAUUUAGGGGCAGAGACAUUUCAUCCCAUUCCCGUUCCCGUUGAAGGAGACGCCGUAAUGAUUGCCAUGGUGAAUGCCCUCAAUCAGGCCGGUUCUAUGCUCCACCAGCAGCACGAACGAAUCAUGGCCCUCGAAGCCGAACGACAAGAGGCCCGGCCCCAGCCGGUGAGUAGGAUACAACAACGUUCGGAGCCAACGAAGAAGCGAGGACGUCGCUCUCCAGAACCCCACGUCAGCAGGGCCCGCGCCCGUCGUGACGCGUGGUCGAGCGGGAACAUCACCAAGGCGGACGCAGCCCGACAAACAACGAACUGUCUCCCUUAAGGAGCGACGAGGAAGAUUUGCAUGCCCCCGUUCUGCGGCAAUAAUGGAAGCCCGCUCCCCAAAGGCAUGGAGAAACCACCAAAUCUAGCUGUGUACGACGGGACUACAGAUCCCGACGAUCACGUCGACACGUCAACGCGAUGCUCGACUACCGCAAUGAUAUAACCGGGCACUCAAAUGCCGACUGUUCUCAACGACCCUCAGGAAAGCCAUGGCUUGGUACAAAAGCUUGGCCCCUGAGUCCAUUACGUCAUGGAGAGUCAUGAGGUCCAUGUUCACCAGGCACUUACAGCUUCCCGUCGUCACCCCAAGACUGAGGCGACCCUGAAGCCAUAGUGCAGAAGAAGAAUGAAAACACUGCGCUCAUACAUCGAGCGAUUCAACCAGGAAGCUGUCGAGGUAGAUACCACGAGCACAUGAAGAAGUAUCUCCUCGAGAGAGGUCUCUUGCCGGCAGUGAACUUAGCAGAGCCGUAGGGAUCGAGCCUCCCGCACCUUAAACGAGCUCCUGCAUAAAGCCCAGCCUACAUCAGAUACGAGGAAAAGCAAGUUGGACACAAUGCCGCAGCGGACGUAACGCUGGGGAGACCGAGCACUCGAACGCGAGGACACGAGCAUUUCCGUCGCAACGGAGACAAACGAAGAGAAGAAAGACCUCGCGAGCUCCGGAAGGAAAGAGCCCCGCGGGCAGAUAUAGCGAGUACACCUUACUGACAGCUCCUCGAGAGCGUAUCCUCGCAGAAUGUAUCAACUCUGAAUUUAAGCAGGCAGGGUCAGGUUUCCAAAACCGUCUGCACCAAAGCCCCACACCGACAAAUCAAAGUACUGCCGGUUCCACAGAAGUCACGGCACGUGACCGAAGACUGCGUCCACCUGAAGGAUGCGAUAGAAAUUUUAAUCCAAGAGGGGCACCUGAAGCAGUAUACGAGGAAGAACGAAGCUCCCAGACACGGCGAGCCAGAGAAGAAGAGACCCCGGGAAGACACGCCCCCUGAAACUCUCCCUAUCAAGUGGCCCUCUGCGUGUCACGACGGAAAUUUCUUCCUCCCGAACCAUUGCCCGAGGGCAAGAUCACUGCACUCAGCCCCUGGGAAAACUUCCCUUCCACACUGGUGAUAUCAGGAGGAGGAACUAACGGGGAAUCCGCGGCCCUCUCCGUCAAACGUAAGUUCGACGAACUCCUACUGACUGCCCCCGAGCAGAAAGCGACAUUGACAAAAUACCGGGGAAAAUCCAACCCAAUAUCCUUCUUCCUGGAGAACUCCCGGGCGGAUCCCCGAACUCGGGAUCCCACUAUUGAUAAGGCAAAGAUGGCCCAAUUCGACGUACGACGCAUCCUGGUCGACCAAGGCAGCUCAUGGAUAUCAUUACGUCCACCUCUUCAAGACUCUGAAGCUAGACAAGACCAACCUAGCCCCCUACGUCGGAUCAGAUCUCCAAGGAUUCAACGGAGCGACAACCAGACCGUGGGGAUAUGUUGAGCUCCUCGUCACCUUCGGCGAACAGGAAACGGCCAGGAAGUCAAAAUCCAAUUCCUGGUCGUAGACUGUCCGUCUUCUCUACAAUUGCAUCUUUGGACGCCCGACACUGGCCGAACUCACCGCUGGGCCCAUCCACCGUCCACCUAAAGAUGAAAUACUACACCAAAUUGGGACGUGUGGUCACCAUCCAUGGUGACAUCGAAGCAGCCCGGCGAUGCUACGACGCCGCAGUAAAAGGACAGGCCGUAGUCAGCACGAAGAGCAACUGCAACAACAAAAAACUCAGGACCGGGGAUCCUGCCCGAGGAAUCAACGCCAUCACCUCGACUGUCGCAUCGGGCUGGACGAGACCGAAGAGGGAGGUUCCCCAAGGAACGCUCUCGCGGACACCCGGUCCGACCAAUCCCGACGGAGGAGUUCGAACUCAUUCCUCUUGGGACGAUCCGGAAAGGACGGUGAAGAUAGGUAAAGACUACCCGAGAAACAAGAGAAGAGCUAGAGCAUGCCUCAAAGAGAACUCGGACCUCUUCGCGUGGAAUGCCGCAGGAAAUGCCCGGGCUGGACCCCGAGAUCGCGUGUCAUAAGCUAGCUUUAGACCGGGCAGCCAAGCCCAUAGCACACGUAGACGCAAGCAAUCGCCCGAAAAGGCAGAAGCUGCCGAGCGAGCUGUAAAGACCUCUUAGAGGCAAAUUUAUUUCUGAAGCCCAGUACACAACCUGGCUCUCUAAUGUAGUCCUCGUAAGAAAAAUAAUGGAAAAAUGGGCAUGUGUGUUGAUUAUACUGAUCUUAAUAGGGCUUGCCCGAAAAUGCUUUCCCCCUCCUAAUAUAGACAUGCUCGUUGACAACUCUGCAGGUUUUAAACUCUUGUCCUUCAUGGACGCAUUAGUGGAUACAACCAGAUCCCUAUGUCGCCCACAGACAAGAAACACACAGCGUUCAUGACCCCAACGGGCAAUUACUAUUACAACGUGAUGCCGUUCGGCUCAAGAAACGCUGGCGCUACAUACCAACGCAUGAUGAACAAAGUCUUCAAGGACGAAAUUAGGACAUGCUCGAAGUAUACAUGGACGACUGAUCGUCAAAUCACACGAGGAGGACAACGGGACACAAUUCACGGACGGAGGAUUCCAGGACUUCAUCGCCAGCCUGGGCACCACACAGCAUUUCACGUCUGUCGAGCAUCCGCAGACGAACGGGCAAGCAGAGCGGCCAAUAGGGUAAUCUUACGUGGCCUCAAACGCAGACUCGGUGAGGCAAAGAGGGCAUGGGUCGAGGAGCUACAUAGCGUGCUAUGGGCCUACCGCACGACACCACAUUCUACCACCGGGGAAACCCCGUUCCGACUAACUUACGGCACCGAGGCAGUCAUCCCGGUGAGAGAUACGGGCGCGCCAACGAGGAGGACGGAGGAGCCCCUAGACGAGGAAAUGAACGAUGAAACCCUUAGAGCGCGAGCUCGACCUAGUCGAGGAGAUACGUUCCGAAGCAGCUCUCAGGGAAACAACCCUCAAACAAAAAUAGCACUACGCCAUGACGCGAAAUCAUAAAAAGAGAGUUCCAGGGUCGGCACCCCUGGUCCUCAGAAGAAACCAGAAAAACCCGGAGAGAGGGGCAACUACUGGCGGCCAACUGGGAAGGCCCUUACCGCGUCCGCGACAAAACGAGCAACGGGGCCUAUUACCUAGAAAACCUACAAGGAGAACAACUCGCUCGACCAUGGAACGCAGAAAAACUUAGACAAUAUUACAGCUAAAUACACCACGGAAGCUGGCAGGUACGACCACGCUCUUCGUCCCCAAAACCCCAGGGGAACCACGAGACCCGGGAACGAUCCGGGUCACAUAACAAAACAAACCCUCCCGACGCGUUGGGAUUCUUGACCAAGACUAACGUCGAAGUACCAUGACUGGCAGGGCACCCAGCUCGCGAUGGGAGGGCCCAAGCCUCGGGACCAGGGUUCGAACAACGGACCCGGGCCUCGAUACCCACGGGCCACAAAGCCCGACACUUCGUCGGUUCCCUAAACCGAGGAGAUUAACAAAGUCGAGCAGAGUACGAACUCAUACAAACAAGUAUCAAACACAAACGAGCACAAUGAAUGAUAACGUAAAUAUUCAUACAUUAAAAACGAUAAGAGCGGCCGAAGCCAAGUACGCCGAAGGCCAUAUUACAACGCCCGAAGGCCAAAUACAUAAGGCACGCAGGCCAUGAUAACUAAAAUCAAAGAAACACAAAUAAACUAAGACCUCCGCUCGGAGCACCUCUUCAUCCUCUUCUUCUUCUUCUCCCCCAGCUCCUCCUCCGCUUCAAACGGGCAGAUAAUCUCACCAUCCCGGACGCAGCAGUUAUAGGCCGACCCUACUGUCACCAACUCAGGGUUCAGAAGCCCGAGCUGCUCGACAGCAUUGUCGAAACCCUCUUUGAGCAGGCCACAGAUCUGGUUGAGAGUCCGAAUAUGCCCUAGCAGCUCACCGCGCGAACAACAAGGGCGCGUUCCUCCUCGGUCUCAUCUGCCAGAGGACGGACCUUUCCCUCGAGAGAACUCAACCUGAGCCCGUAGGCAGCGGUGUCCUCGGUCAGCUUCUGAUGUCGACCACCUGCUCUCCAAGCUCGCCUUAGCAGCCUUCAACUGGUCCCUCUCCUUUUCCACCUCCUCCAGCUUCGGCUCAGCCCUUCCUGCAGCUGAUGCUCUCUUUGAGUCGACAGAUCUAGAUAGGCUUCCUUCUCCGUCCGAACCUGCAAAAGGGCAUCCUCCAGCGAGCGGUGGGAGACGAAGUGUCGGUCAAAACCAUGGCCGUCUCCAUCACCGCGGAUGACAGCAGCAAUAUCCUGGCCAGAUCUUUCCGGGCAGCAACAUCCUGGUCCAGAAUAGCCUUGCCUCAGGCGCAGGCACAGCAAUCGACUCCUCGGCCCUGAAGAACGACCGUUCCACAUAGCAGGGAGGAAGAAGAUAGCUGCCCGGUCCAUUCGAACUUCCUGGAGACGACUGGGAAGGGCCCCAGCCGGACGCUUCCGUUUAUGGAGGGGAGAAGCCGCUGGCGACGGACUGCUAUCAGGAAUGUUGAUCGGGUUAGAUCGAGGAGGAGAGGAAGGAAUCACGCUCGCCGCCUGCGAGGACUAAGCCCCGCAUCGCCAGCAGUCUCCAAGGGACGGGCCACAGUUUUCUUCUUCUUCUUGGGCACCGCGUCAGGAGCGCCGACCUGAUUCGCUAGCUUCAGCACCCGAUCACGAGCAUUCGGCAUGCACCUGCAAAUAAAUUACACACCAACAUUAGCGAGCGAAGUCAUAAACAGAAAUAAAAGCUAAACAAAGUCUGCCUACUCAAUAACGCCAGAGCUUCCUCCUCGGUAUCACACUCGAGCAGAGCCUUCGUAUUGAUAUAACGCGCCUCGGUGAUUAGUUCCCGGCCUCAUCCAGGUAGGGCACGCCCUGUCGAUUCGCCCAGAACCCCAAGCUGAAGCUCGCACGUAAUCGACCAGCUUCUUGUACGCGAGCCUAUCCUCCUGCCGGAGCAUCGCAUACUUGACUCGGUAAUGCGCCGUGGAGAGAUCGAAAUGAAUCACGCUGCCACCUCAGCGGUAUCUUCGACAUCAGCGUCUCCUCCCCAUUGGGUUUCCGCUGAUAGUAGUAUAGAGAGUGAAGGGCAGCCCGGGAAUCGGCAUCACACGUACCACCGGUUUUAAAUGGCGAACAGAAUCCUCGUACGUCUUGAACAGACGCACGGGCUGCUUGAAGAAACCCAACUGUGCGACCACGGGAACCGGACCUCUGGAGAUGGAAACGUGGAAGAGAAAGCCCGGGUGCAACCAAUGCGAGGAACUGGCAAACUAACUCGAAUGCCCGCAUAAAUGCGAGAGCAUUAGGAUGUAGUUGGGACGGCGCCAGCCGGAGCCACUUGAAGACCGACAUCUGGAAGGAGUUGAAGGGCAGUCUAAUCCCCGCCUCACGGAAAGCAAAUUCAUACAUGGUGAACUGCUUCCCCGGGAAAUGAUGGCAAAUGCGGUCUUCUUCAUUGGGGCGCAGCAAUACCAGUUUGGGGAUCCUCCGGCUUAUGGUCUCGACCAUAGCGUAAGCAAUGAUGGCCUCGUCACAGAAGUCUGAUCCUCCUCCAAGGGCUCGUCGCAACCCAUGAGAAGUCGACCUGCCGGAAGAGGAGGCGUGUUCGGUACCAUCUCGGACACUCCAUCCCCGACAGGAGACGAGCGAUUGUCGCGUCUUCGGUGGAAGAACCCAGAAUCUUCCCUCCUCGGUCGUAAGCGCCCGGUAGCAGCCUGAAACGCAGACAGAAGAGUGAAUCGACGUCAUAUCAAAUCCACCCUUCCACCGCAGGUCAAGUGAAAGGCGUAGCGGCGACGGACACUAACCGUGCUCAACUCGGUGACGCGCGCAUUCAUGGAGACCGGCAUAAACUUCAUACAGCCUAUGCAAGUAUUGCCCGCAUAUGAAUUUAUGCCCGAUACAGCAUGAUCCCAACCCUAUUUUCUACCAUCUAAUAUACACCUACAGUCCACUACACUAUUCCUAAGUUAAACCUAACACAUUUCUACAAAAUAGCAUGCGUUUGACAGAAAACAACAAGGAAAAACAGUGGAUCACAGUGGAAAUCAUACCUGACAUAGUUAAGUUGAAAGGGGUACGGUGGUGCCCGAGCAGAAGACGGUGGUUCAGAUAGGAGGACGGGCGGAGACGGCGGUCCAGACGGUAGAGCGAGCAAACGAGGGAGAAUGUGGAGAACUCCGGUGAACGUGUGAGCGAAAAAAGUGGAAAUGAAGUUACUCAACCCCUGUUUAUAGGGCUUGGCACGUGGACCAACACGCUAGUCAUCAUUGCCUAGCCUGCCUACGCCGUCUUUGCACACGAAACGAAGCGACCCCACUAAUUCUGAGACACGUCUAUCAAAGAUAAGAAACUGAAACGACCGAGCACCUAUCACGUCUCCUCGACUCACCAAGACGCCACCUCCCCGCGUCAUACCCACGUUUACCACAAGGAAGGUGCAGACCAACCGAUCACCUCCAUCCCCGACAUUCCCGGAGAAAGGGUCGGUCAUGAACAGGUCUGUUACGACCUCACCUGUCUAACGAUCAAGCUUCCCAUCGUCUCGGGAACCCUUAGUUGAAACAUAAGUCAUCUCUCUGGCUCAGAGACUCGACUUGGGGGGCCUGUUCUGGACGGGCCAUGACACUAGGCACGGCACGGCCCAAUGCUCGCCAAGCCCACGUCCAAACGACCAUGUCCAAACGACCACGAGGACAAGUCAGGUGAACGACCGUCCGCCGAAGCACGUCUCCCCGGCCCCUUAAAUACGUGUCGGACAACGACGGGUCCUCCCCAUACGACUCCAUCCACUCAUCGUCAACCCACGCCGCGGACACCUAAGUUGUGUCGGGCAGAGCCAUAACGGCAUCUCACUCACCACGUCACCCAACUCCCCUAUAUUUGUCUCCUUAGGGAUAGGGGCAGUUGGACCAGGGGCAGACCUUGGUCUAGGUCUUAACGCUUCUUACGCGUCCCCUGGCACUGGCAGCUCCUCCUUGGGCCUAGCUAAUCCAGCCCAUUAGGAGCCUUGGCCCAGCGCUGGGGGCUCAAUAUAAAUACCCCUUUCAUGGCAAAGGGGCAGGGAUUCUAACUCACACUCUGAUAACCUUAUUCUGUACCUUUUCUGACUUAAGCAUUGGAGCACCUUGCAGGUACACCCCCCUCUCAUUUCAUUCUCCGGCCCAUUCACCAAGACCUUGGAAGGCCCUCCUGACCAGGUAAGAUCACUUACCAUUUAAUAUUCGUGUGUUUGUACUUUAUUCUCAUUCAAAUUUUAUUGUAAUCGUUUCGGCUAUCUAGAAAAUUGUACCAUUAAGAUCCCUCAGUAUUCAAUAUAUUUAGAGAGUUUGAUUCCUUGAUAAUAUCUCUUUUUGAGCCUAGCAAGUUGUCCUUUUGCCAUUUCAUCAAACUUGGCUUAAAUCAUAAGUUAGAAGUAUUAAAAUCAAGAUGAUAAGUGUUUGAUUCUAAUCAUAUACUAAAUGUGAGUUGAAUCAUAAACUUUUGAAAAUUUGGGAUUUGCUUCUAGACUGCUUGAUUCAAAUCAUAAAACAAACCUGAUUCAAAUCACAUACUCUUGUGACUCGAAUCAAGUGUUAUCCAUGAGUCGAAUCAUAUAUUUAAAAGAAGUCAUAUUUGGGCUCUGCUUUCAUUGACUCGAAUCAGGAAUCUAACUUGAUUUGAAUCAUGAUUUUCUCUUGACUCAAAUCAUGACAUCACAAAACUCAAUCUUUCCAUCUUUGAUAUAUAUAGUUGUUUCUUUGGUGAAAGUAACAAAGUGUGUGAAAAACCAAAAAGGGUGAAAACCAUUUUAGAGAUAAAACACAAUUUGUCUUCUCUUCUUUAGUGUGUCUAUACCAGCAUUAUUAUUCUUUCUCUUCUUCUCUAUAACAACUUCUUGAGUGUUAAUCCAUGUCAGAUUCACUUCUUUUUCUUUCACUUUGUUCUUGUGAAAUUUUGUUUUUGUUGCUUGUGAAUUAGAAAGAGUGAGUUCAUUCAUCUUGUGUGUUCAUUGGGAUUAAUCAAGCUCAUGCUAUAUAUAUCAAUAACAUUAGUUAGGGGUUAAAUAUGGUUUUAGUCCCUAUAAAUAUGUCAACAUUCAAUAUUAGACCCUCUAAAAUUUUUCUUCAAAUAAUAGUCCUCCUAAUAUUUUUCAUCCACACUUUUGAUUUCUCCUGUUAACGGGCGUUAACAGAAGCUGGCGUAGUAUGCUACAUGGAAUUUUGCGAUGACGGGGCAUACAUGUGGCAAUGUCAGGGUGGCAAAAAAUGCUGACAUGGAUGUCACAUGGCAUUUGUUUCCAUUUUUUAUUUUUAUAUUAAUUAAAAUUAUAGUGACAGAAAGACUGUCGCUAAAUUUGUUGCUAAGAUGAACAUCGUACCUAAACUCAUAAAUGAUAGCUAAUUUGUAGUUAAUUCCUAACUAAUCCCUAACUAAUUUAAACACAUCAUUCUUCUGACCUAAAAUUCGAUUGUUUUUUCAUGAUUUUUUGCAUAUAAGUUUAUAACCUUAUAAGGAUUUCUCACACAAAUAAUUUUUUUACUUGAGAUGAAUUAAAUAUGAUUUUUUUGAACAUCGAUUUUCCAUGAAACGGAAACAAUGCAAACGUUGGCAUAUGAUUAAAUUUUGAAAUAAUAUUUUGUAGAGACUUAUAUAAUAACACAUAAAAUCAAUCUGCAAAGUUUUAUGUUAUUCCGAAUAAAUCUCGAUUUAUUUUGAUUUUUUUAUCGAAACACAUAUAAAUGUAUUUUUAUAUAGAGGCGAAAAUGAUUAUUAUGACCUAUACUUUAUUUUUUUCAUGAUUUUUGUCGUUUAUCCCAUCAUAAGGAUCUUUUCCACCAAAAUUGAAAUCGGUUUGACAUGAGAUAAAUUAAAUAUGAUUUUUUUAAGCACCGAUUUUUUAUGAUACGAAAACAAUGCAAAGGUUUGCAUAUGAUUGAAUUUUGAGCUAAUAUUUUGCAUAGACUUAUCUCAUAAGACAAGAAAUUGGUUUUCAAUGCUUCAUGGAAUUUUGAAAAAGUCUCGAUUUAUUUUAAGUUUUCUAUCGAAACACUUUUUUUUUCUAGAGGCGAAAAUCAUUAUUAUGACCUAGACUUCGUUUUUUCUUUCAUGAUUUUUGGCCUGAAUGUUUAUCACAUUAUAAGGAUCUCCCACAAAAAUUAAACUUUUUUUGACAUGAUAUAAAUUAAAUAUGAAUUUUUUAAGCGUCGAUUUUCCAUUAAACUGAAACAAUACAAACGUUGGUAUAUCAUUGAAUUUUGAGUUAAUAGUGUGCAUAGACAAAUCUUAUAACACAUAAAAAGGAUAUGCAAAGUUUAAUGGCAUUCUGAAUAAGUCUCAAUUUAUUUUGAUUUUUCGAUUUAAACACGUGUAUAUAUAAUAUAUAUAUAUGUGUGUGUGUUUCGAUGGAAAUAUCAAAAUAAAUUAAGACUUAUUCGGAAUGCCAAGAAACUAUGCAGAUCCCAGUCAUGUGUUAUCAUAUAGGUCUCUGCGAAAGAUUAUCUCAAAAUUCAAUUCAAUUCAAUCAUAUGUCAACGUUUACGAUGUUUCUGUUUCAUAGAAAAUCGGCAUUUGUCAAUAUUUUUUGUCACGCUGUCAUUGCCACAUGUAUGCCACAUCAUCAAAAAAAUUCGCAGGCCACGUAAACCUCUGUCGGUGAAAACUAACGCGAGGAACCAAUUUUAGAGACAAAAUUUUUUUAAAAGGAUUAAAAUUGAAUGUUGGCAUAUUUAUGAUGACUCUUUUGUUGAAAAUGUAUGUAGUAUGGACAAUAGUCUCACAUUGGUAGUAAAUGUGGAGACUUGAGCAUUUAUAAGUGAGAGAAUCCACUCAUUUAUAACCUUAGAGUUUUAGGUGAAUAUGUGGUGUGUCUCUCAUAAAGAUAUUGCUUGAGCUUCUGGUUUCAGAAAGGGAUCGGCUUACUUGUAUUGAAAGUCAACAGCGUCAGUAUGGUAAAUAAGAAACGUUCCGUUGAAGAGUGUCAAAGGCGUCAGUGUGGUAAAUAUACUUCCUAGUGAAAAAACUCCCCCAACAUCUUUAUUUAUUUAAUUCAUUAAAUUUUAUAUUAUAUAAUAUAUUAAAUCAAUCUUGAAAGUUCUUGUAUAAUUUUUUUUAAAGAGUUUAAUAUAGAGAGUUACACAUAGAGAGUGUGAGAAACAAAGAAUCACAAGUUAAAAUCCAUGUGGGCCUCCAACAUAUUAAAUGUAUAUAAAACUCUUUUAAUAUUUGAAAUGUAUUUAAGUCUAUUUUUAAAGUAUUAAGAAAUCAUAACAAAUACAUGUCUGUUGAUCUGAUUCUAAAAUUUCUAUUUUCAUAAAUUAAUGGUGAAUUAUGUCCAAUUCAGUUGAAUAUUGAGGUGAAACCCACUACACUAUUUAUAAUUCUACAACAUAGUUAUAUGUUGAUUUAAAAAUUUUCAACUAUCAUUUUAUAUUUAUUCUUCCAUACUCCAGUCUAAUAACAAACUAUAUUAUCUUUAAAUUUUUUGUAAAUUAUAUUAUCAAUAAAUUUAUAGACAAAAAUUUUUUAUGGUAAUGGAUUGCAUUUUUCAAUAUGAUAAGCUAAUUAACAUAGAGUAGUAUUUGAAGAUGGCCAAAAAUAAAUAUAGAAAUAAUUUUUUUUUUAAUACAACCAUAAUGAUAUUUUUAUGGGUAAGGUUAACUUCUGUCCUUGGGACACAAGUUAAGAGAUCAAUAUAGAAAUAAAUUUUUAGAAAUUGUGUAUUAAAUUUAUUAGAAAUUUAUAAUUAAUAAUUUUAUUUAUUUUUUCAAUACAAAUUUUUUAUUUGUGGUUUUCUUAACAUGUGCCAUUUAUUAAUGAUAUUUUUUUCAAUAUAUUUCUAUUAUUUAUUAUUUUAUUUUUUUCAAUUUUUUAAGUUUUUUUAUUUAUUUGAAAUAAAUGAAGGAUAAUAUUAUAAAAUUAUAUAUAAUUUUUUUUUCAUAUAUAAUUUAUUAUAUUUUUUAAUUCAUAUGAAAAAUAUAAAACAUCAUAAUUUAAGACGGAUAAUUUAAGACGGAUGUAGUAAUAAAUUAGAAAUAUAAUGUUAACAUUUUAUUUCAAUUUCUGUCAACCACACAUAUUGUUAAUAUAUAUUAUUUUGCUAAAAUUUAUAAAAUAAUAUUAUUUUUUUCUGAUUACUUUUUAGUUAUAAAAAUGAGAGAUAAGAAAUUUUGAUAUAUCUUUCUAAAAUAAUUUUAGAAUAUUUUUAUUUUAAAAAAUUGAAUAUCAUUAUAUAUUUUUAUCAUAUUGUUGUCAACAAAAAAUACUCUCAAAACUUAACUUAACACGUUACAAUAAUUUAUUUUCAAUUUUGAAAAAGAUAAAUUUCAGACUCAUUUUAAAUUAAAUAUUUUAAUGAAGCAAAUAUCUUAAAUCUUAAAGUAGUUAUUGCAAACUCUUAGUUGAUCUAAUAUAUAACUCUUUUACGAUAUCCCUAUGUUUCACUAUUAUAUUUUUCAUUAAAUAAAAUAAAAACAAACAAUACAAUUAUUGGUCUCUCACGUAUAAAAAAUAAAGAAUUUGUCCAUAAUUUUUUUAUAAUAAUGAUGGUAGGAAGUAUAAUAAAAACUAUAAAUAAGUGAAUUUUAAAUAUACUUUAAAUUUUAUUUAAAAAUUAAAAAGUAAAUACAUAUUGUUAAUAUCUUAAAAUUAAAUAUUUUAAAAAAAAGGCAUAAGUAUUAAAAAGGCAUAAGAGUCAAAAUUUAAAAAUAUAAAAAAAAAAUCAUAAGUUAUAUCUUUUUGAGAUAUUUUUCAAAUUUAAUUCUAGAUAUCACUUAAAAGUAUUUUUUCCUUUUAAAUAAAAUAAAAUAAAAUGUAUUCAAUUAUAAUUUUCAUAAGUUAGCAUAAAAUAAACUUAUUAACCAUAUUUAUUAAAAAUUCUUAAUAUAAUUUAAAUUUAAUAUAAAAAAUUAACUAACAAUCCCAUAUUGGAUGGUCUUAAUCUAAUUAUCUAUUAAUUAAAUUAAUAUUAUUUAAUUGGUCACGAAUGCACUUACUUUUUAAAAAAAAUACAUAUUCUUAAAAUGCAAGAUCCGAACAGUUUUUAAUUAGUUCUUUAUUGUUUGUGAUAGUUGGAUUUUUUUUAUGCAUAUUCAUGCUACAAAUUUGUGGAGACUCCCGUUUCAUCCUGAAUUUGUCGGCAUAAAUGGUAAAUGUAUGAACAGUAAAACUUUCUACUUUUUCAAACUUGUGUGACUCAGUAGUACUAGUAUUAUUAUGCUGAUAUAUUAUGUGGUGUGAUUUACUCCUCUAUUUAAAAUAAUUUAUUUAUUUAAAAUAAAAGAGUAUUUUAAAAUAAAUAAUUAAUUUUAAUUUUUAAUAUAUUUUUUUAAUUUUACUUUUUAAUUAAUAUUAUUUUUAUUAUUUUCAAUAUAUAAUAUGAUAUUUUAGUAAAAAUAUUAUUCUCGAUAGAGAAGUAAAAUUGGCAAGUUGUAAUCCAUAAACAAAAGCCAUAAUGGAUCAUGUGCUUGAAAGAAGGAUAGUCGCCAUAACCACCCAAUCAGAAUCCUUGUUUAGCUGUCAGAAUGAUCAACUAGAUAUCUUGACAUCAAUAACUCAUUUCUCUUUAAAUUUAGAAUUCACAUUCAAAGUUUUGAAAACAAAAUUCUUCUGCAAAAAGUUAAGGGAUCCAGCUCGGCUGCCGUCCACCUUCACCGAUCUAUACCCUUCUCUUAGAGUAAACUGCCACAUUAGUUAUGUAUGUAUGCCACACUAGUUAUGCAGUUACUAGUAUUGAAUAUUUUAUGAUGAGGUCUUUGACUCAGUCAAAUUUUACCCAUAUUAAUCCUUCAAUAUUAACAUUAAAGACUAUAUGGAUACUAUGUCAAAAAAACAUUUACCCAUGUUAAUCUUUUAAGGAAUAAUAUUGAUAAUAACUUGUUAAAUAUAAUAACUAAAUUGAUAAUAAUUUGUUAAAUAUAAUAACUAAAUUGAUUAUAAAUCAAUCCUUCUAUUUCAAAAUAAUGUUCAAAUAGAUAUUUUUUUAAAUAAUCAUUUUUAAAUAACAAAAUCGAAAAUAAUCAAUUAUUCAAAAAAAAAAACCAAAAUAACUGUGUUUUGAAGAGGAUGCGUCAGAUGAAUUGGCGCAUCCCCAAUGCAUGAAGAGGAGGCGUCAAUAGCAUUGGCGCAUGCAUUGGGCUCCUCAUGAGGAGGCGUCAAUGCUAGUGGCGCCUGCAUUGGCCCUCGUGAGGAGGCGUCAAUGCUAGUGGCGCCUAUGUGUGCUUGGUUGUGUGGGCGCCAAUUCAUCUGGCGUCUGCUUGCAUAUCAUUGUGGGCGACAAUCCCUCAGGCGCCCACGUGUUUUUUACAAUUGAUGUUUCGUCUCUAUAAAUACCACGCCUUGGAUACAAUAUUUUUCACUCAAACUCAUCUCCUAACACCAUAAUUUGUCUAGUUCAACCACCAUGAAUUUCAAUUUUUCUCUGUUUCAACAAUGACUGCAUACAUUCAGAAACGAAAUGUUGAUGUAAUAUUUUCCGUUGUUGCGGCUCCGAUACAGAUUCGACUUUGGAACACAGAUACGUUUGAAUGUCUUAAUCGGACGUUGUACAAUUGGUUAGAUGGAGAAAUUGGAGAGGGUGAACGGAUUAGAAGAAUACAAUGGCUUGUGUCCACGUUCAACCAAAACGGAGAAGUGCGCAAAUGGAUGGAUAUUAAGAAUGACCAAGACGCUCGUAGGAUGAUGCAUUACAUGUUUAAAAUUAUUUUGAUGGUUGUAAUUGCAUAGUUCUUGUAUUGUAUUUGUUAUAAUUAUUUGUGUUACUAUUUAUGUAAUGGUACUUUCGUCACAGACGUCUAAUAUGAAAUAAAUUUAGUUUCUCAUAUAUUGCAAUAGAGGUACAUGUAAAUUUAUCUGGUUGUGCUCGUUCCAACACUAGGACAGUUAUUACGAUUGUGACCUGGUUGACGGCAUGAACUACAUAGUCUAACCAUUUUGUUCACCGUAUCCAUUUCGGUUCGAAUCCGGGUGCUGUUUGGGUGACCCUUUUUCUUCCUUCGCAUAACUUCAUUGUGCCAGACGAUGUCCCCUUGAUAUUCUGGCCAAUAAUCCUUUUUUUCCAUUACGGAAAAACUAAUUUUAUAAACAUUUGAAAUGCUGGCGACUUUGUAAACUUCAGAUAGCAAGUAGGAUGGAUCCCUUCGAACCUUUGAGCAUGCCGCAAUGACAUGGGAGCAGGGGGUACGAAAGGCUUGGAACUUUCCGCAGUCGCACCAACCUCUAUCAUCAGAUAGCAAGUAGGAUGGAUCCCUUCGAACCUUUGAGCAUGCCGCAAUGACAUGGGAGCAGGGGGUACGAAAGGCUUGGAACUUUCCGCAGUCGCACCAACCUCUAUCUAGUUCGACUCUGUACUAUCCCAUCGGCAUGCCCUCAUUGUGAUCCAUGGACUCGGCAACACUAUACCAACCUUUAGUUCGGUCAAAGAUUGUAACCACGUGUGUGUUUGCUUUGGCAGCUUCAUGUCUGAUGAAUUUCAUUGAAGCAUCAUUGAACAACUGUUCAGAUUGCAACACUGAACUCCAUUUUGAGCGUCUGGUUUCAAACAACGCCCCUAGCUUGAAGCAUGUUGCCUGCACCAAAGCGGUUAUAGGUAGGUUACGGAUGCCUUUGAAGACAGAGUUCAUUGAUUCCACAAGAUUUAUUGUCAUGUGGCCCCAACGCUGACCGUUGUCGUAUGCCCUAGUCCACUUCUCCAAUGGAAUACUAUCGAUCCACCGUACCGCAUCUUCGUUUGACAACCUUAUUUCAUCGCGGUAGUGUUUGAAAGAAGGUUCUGAUAAUGCGUAACCUGCAUUGACAACCUUCUUCCGCAACAUCUUAUCUUUGAUUUCCCGCAUGAAAUUCUGAGCAAUAUGUCUAAUACAUAACACAUGCGUCGAUGGAGGAUUUUUCCAGCCGUUAUCAAUGUUAUUAUAUGCACUGGUGAUGAAGGGUGUCUGUCGGAGAUCAAAUAUAAGUUAGGCUGAGGUGCAACGUGCAAUCGAAGAUUUCUUAGGAAAAAAACUCCAUCCCUCGCAGUCUCCCCUUCAACUAGGGCAAAGGCGAUUGGAAAAAUAUUGUUGUUCUCAUCUUGUGUCACUGCCAUCAGUAACGUUCCUUUGUAUUUUCCGUACAAUCAUAUACCAUCAAUUUGUAUAAUUAGUUUACAAAAAGAAAACCCUAUGAUACAUGGUUGAUACCCUCAGAAGCGACGGUGAAAUAUUCUAUUUCCAACAGCACACGUACCAUCUGGUGUAUAGGCGGGCAAUGUUUCUGUUCUGGACUGGGCCAUGACACUAGGCACGGCACGGCCCAAUGCUCGCCAAGCCCACGUCCAAACGACCAUGUCCAAACGACCACGAGGACAAGUCAGGUGAACGACCGUCCGCCCGAUGACGUCUCUCCCCGGCCCCUUUAAAAUACGUGUCGGACAACGAGCGGGUCCUCCCCAUACGAUCUCCAUCCACUCAUCGUCAACCCACGCGCUGCGGACACCUAAGUUGUGUCGGCAGAGCCAUAACGGCAUCUCACUCACCACGUCACCCAACUCCCUAUAUUGUCUCCUUAGGGAUAGGGGCAGUUGGAACCAGGGGGCAGACCUUGGUCUAGGUCUUACGCUUCUUACGCGUCCCCUGGCAGCUCCUCCUUGGGCCUAGCUAAUCCAGCCCAUUAGGAGCCUUGGCCCAGCGCUGGGGGCUCAAUAUAAAUACCCCUUUCAUGGCAAAGGGGCAGGUAUUCUAACUCACACUCUGAUAACCUCAUUCUGUACCUUUUCUGACUUAAGCAUUGGAGCACCUUGCAGGUACACCCCCCUCUCAUUUCAUUCUCCGGCCCAUUCACCAAGCCUUGGAAGGCCCUCCUGACCAGGUAAGAUCAGUGGCGCGUCUGUGGGAAUCAGCUAUCCCCAUCUUCAUCAAACGAGGAUCAAAAGCUCAUUUAUUUCUGUCCUUCCAACAUGCCGGAGAACAACAUAGCGAUCACAGCCGUCCCUCGCAACCACAAUAUGGACGACGGCCCGCAUCCCACGAACGGACGCUCGGGACGGUCAUCCAUCCACCCCGUCUCCAGAGCCCCAAAACAACGGGGAUGCCUCUCACGCCCACAAUUUAGGGCAGAGACAUUUCAUCCCAUCCCGUUCCCGUUGAAGGAAGACGCCGUAAUGAUUGCCAUGGUGAAUGCCCUCAAUCAGGCCGGUUCUAUGCUCCACCAGCAACACGAACGAAUCAUGGCCCUCGAAGCCGAACGACAAGAGGCCCGACCCCAGCCGGUGAGAGAUGCAACAACGUUCGGAGCCAACGAAGAAGCGAGGACGUCGCUCUCCAGAACCCCACCGUCAGCAGGGCCGCGCCGUCGUGACGGUGGUCGAGCGGGAACAUCACCAAGGCGCGGACGCAGCCCCGACAACAACGAACUGUCUCCCUUAAGGAGCGACGAGGAAGAUUUGCAUUGCCCCCUGUCUCGGGCAAUAAUGGAAGCCCCGCUCCCCAACAGGCAUGGAGAAACCACCAAAUCUAGCUGUGUACGACGGGACUACAGAUCCCGACGAUCACGUCGACAACGUCAACGCGAUGCUCGACUACCGCAAUGAUAUAACCGGCACCUCAAAUGCCGACUGUUCUCAACGACCCUCAGGAAAGGCCAUGGCUUGGUACAAAGCUUGGCCCCUGAGUCAUUACGUCAUGGAGAGUCAUGAGGUCCAUGUUCACCAGGCACUUACAGCUUCCCGUCGUCACCCCAAGACUGAGGCGACCUUGAAGCCAUAGUGCAGAAGAAGAAUGAAACACUGCGCUCAUACAUCGAGCGAUUCAACCAGGAAGCUGUCGAGGUAGAUACCACCGAGCACAUGAAGAAGUAUCUCCUCGAGAGAGGUCUCUUGCCGCGGCAGUGAACUUAGCAGAGCCGUAGGGAUCGAGCCUCCCGCACCUUAAACGAGCUCCUGCAUAAAGCCCAGGCCUACAUCAGAUACGAGGAAAGCAAGUGGCACACAAUGCCGCAGCGGACGUAACGCUGGGAGACCGAGCACUCGAAACGCGAGGACACGAGCAUUUCCGUCGCAACGGAGACAAACGAAGAGAAGAAAGACCUCGCGAGCUCCGGGAAGGAAGAGGCCCCGCGGGCAGAUAUAGCGAGUACACCUACUGACAGCUCCUCGAGAGCGUACCUCGCAGAAUGUAUCAACUCUGAAUUUAAGCAGGGCAGGUCAGGUUCCCAAAACCGUCUGCACCAAAGCCCCACACCGACAAAUCAAAGUACUGCCGGUUCCACAGAAGUCACGGCACGUGACCGAAGACUGCGUCCACCUGAAGGAUGCGAUAGAAAUUUUAAUCCAAGAGGGGCACCUGAAGCAGUAUACGAGGAAGAACGAAGCUCCCAGACACGGCGAGCCAGAGAAGAAGAGACCCCGGGAAGACACGCCCCCUGACAACUCUCCCUAUCAAGUGGCCCUCUGCGUGUCACGACCGGAAGAUUUCUUCCUCCCCGAACCAUUGCCCGAGGCAAGAUCACUGCACUCAGCCCCUGGGAAAACUUCCCUUCCACACUGGUGAUAUCAGGAGAGGAACUAACGGGGAAUCCGCGGCCCUCUCCGUCAAACGUAAGUUCGACGAACUCCUACUGACUGCCCCCGAGCAGAAAGCGACAUUGACAAAUACCGGGGAAAAUCCAACCCAAUAUCCUUCUUCCUGGAGAACUCCCGGGCGGAUCCCCGAACUCGGGCAUCCCACUAUUGAUAAGGGCAAAGAUGGCCCAAUUCGACGUACGACGCAUCCUGGUCGACCAAGGCAGCUCAGUGGAUAUCAUGUACGUCCACCUCUUCAAGACUCUGAAGCUAGACAAGACCAACCUAGCCCCCUACGUCGGAUCAGAUCUCCAAGGAUUCAACGGAGCGACAACCAGACCGUGGGAUAUGUUGAGCUCCUCGUCCACCUUCGAGCGAGGAACGGCCAGGAAGUCAAAAUCCAAUUCCUGGUCGUAGACUGUCCGUCUCUCUACAAUUGCAUCUUUGGACCGCCCGACACUGGCCGAACUCACCGCGGUCCCAUCCACCGUCCACCUAAAGAUGAAAUACUACACCAAAUUGGACUGUGGUCACCAUCAUGGUGACAUCGAAGCAGCCCGGCGAUGCUACGACGCCCGCAGUAAAAGGACAGGCCGUAGUCAGCACGAAGAGCAACUGCAACAACAAAAAACUCAGGACCGGGGAUCCUGCCCGAGGAAUCAACGCCAUCGACCUCGACUGUCGCAUCGGGCUGGACGAGACCGAAGAGGGGAGUUCCCCAAGGACGCUCUCUCGGACCACCCGGUCCGACCAAUCCCGCGACGGAGAGUUCGAACUCAUUCCUCUGGGGACGAUCCCGGAAAGGACGGUGAAGAUAGGUAAAGGACUACCCGAGGAAACAAGAGAAGAGCUAGUAGCAUGCCUCAAAGAGAACUCGGACCUCUUCGCGUUUGGAAUGCCGCAGAAAUGCCCGGGCUGGACCCCGAGAUCGCGUGUCAUAAGCUAGCUUUAGACCGGGCAGCCAAGCCCAUAGCACAGCGUAGACGCAAGCAAUCGCCCGAAAAGGCAGAAGCUGCCGAGCGAGCUGUAAAAGACCUCUUAGAGGCAAAUUUUAUUUCUGAAGCCCAGUAACACAACCUGGCUCUCUAAUGUAGUCCUCGUUAAGAAAAAUAAUGGAAAAUGGCGCAUGUGUGUUGAUUAUACUGAUCUUAAUAGGGCUUGCCCGAAAGAUGCUUUCCCCCUCCCUAAUAUAGACAUGCUCGUUGACAACUCUGCAGGUUUUAAACUCUUGUCCUUCAUGGACGCAUAUAGUGGAUACAACCAGAUCCCUAUGUCGCCCACAGACAAGAAACACACAGCGUUCAUGACCCCAACGGGCAAUUACUAUUACAACGUGAUGCCGUUCGGGCUCAAGAACGCUGGCGCUACAUACCAACGCAUGAUGAACAAAGUCUUCAAGGACGAAAUAGGGGACAUGCUCGAAGUAUACAUGGACGACAUGAUCGUCAAAUCACACGAGGAGACAACGGGACACAAUUCACGGACGGAGGAUUCCAGGACUUCAUCGCCAGCCUGGGCACCACACAGCAUUUCACGUCUGUCGAGCAUCCGCAGACGAACGGGCAAGCAGAGGCGGCCAAUAGGGUAAUCUUACGUGGCCUCAAACGCAGACUCGGUGAGGCAAAGAGGGCAUGGGUCGAGGAGCUACAUAGCGUGCUAUGGGCCUACGCGCACGACACACAUUCUACCACCGGGGAACCCCGUUCCGACUAACUUACGGCACCGAGGCAGUCAUCCCGGGUGAGAUACGGGCCGCCAACGAGGAGGACGGAGGAGCCCCUAGACGAGGAAAUGAACGAUGAAACCCUUAGAGCCGAGCUCGACCUAGUCGAGGAGAUACGUUCCGAAGCAGCUUCUCAGGGAAACAACCCUCAAACAAAAAAUAGCACUACGCCAUGACGCGAAAGUCAUAAAAGAGAGUUCCAGGUCGGCACCCUGGUCCUCAGAAGAAACCAGAAAAACCGAGAGAGGGCAAACUGGCGGCCAACUGGGAAGGCCCUUACCGCGUCCGCGACAAAACGAGCAACGGGGCCUAUUACCUAGAAAACCUACAAGGAGAACAACUCGCUCGACCAUGGAACGCAGAAAAACUUAGACAAUAUUACAGCUAAAUACACCACGGGGAGACGUGGCAGGUACGACCACGCUCUUCGUCCCCAAAACCCCAGGGAGGACCACGAGACCCGGGAACGAUCCGGGGUCACAUAACAACACAACCUCCCCGACGGUUGGGAUCUUGACCAAGACUCACGUCGAAGUACCAUGACUGGCAGGGCACCCAGCUCGCGAUGGAGGGCCCAAGCCUCGGGACCAGGGUUCGAACAACGGACCCGGGCCUCGAUACCCACGGGCACAAAGCCCGACACUUCGUCGGUUCCCUAAACCGAGGAGAUUAACAAAGUCGAGCAGAGUACGAACUCAUACAAACAAGUAUCAAACACAAACGAGCACAAUGAAUGAUAACGUAAAUAUUCAUACAUUAAAAACGAUAAGAGCGGCCGAAGCCAAGUACGCCGAAGGCCAUAUUACAACGCCCGAAGGCCAAAUACAUAAGGCACGCAGGCCAUGAUAACUAAAAUCAAAGAAACACAAAAUAAACUAAGACUCCGCUCGGAGCACCUCUUCAUCCUCUUCUUCUUCUUCUCCCCCCAGCUCCUCCUCCGCUUCAAACGGGCAGAUAAUCUCACCAUCCCGGACGCAGCAGUUAUAGCCGACCCUACUGUCACCAACUCAGGGUUCAGAAGCCCGAGCUGCUCGACAGCAUUGUCGAAACCCUCUUUGAAGCAGGCCACGAGAUCUUGGUUGAGAGUCCGAAUAUGCCCUAGCAGCUCACCGCGCGAACCAAGGGCGCGUUCCUCCUCGGUCUCAUCUGCCAGAGGACGGACCUUUCCCUCGAGAGACUCAACCUGAGCCCGUAGGCCAGCGUUGUCCUCGGUCAGCUUCUGAUGGUCGACCACCUGCUCUUCCAAGCUCGCCUUAGCAGCCUUCAACUGGUCCUCUCCUUUUCCACCUCCUCCAGCUUCUGGCUCAGCCCUUCCUGCAGCUGAUGCUCUUCUUUGUAGUCCGACAGAUCUUUAGAUAGUCUUUCCUUCUCCGUCCGAACCUGCAAAAGGGCAUCCUCCAGCGAGGCGGUGGAGACCGAAGUGUCGGUCAAAACCAUGGCCGUCUCCAUCACCCGGAUGACAGCAAGCAAUAUCCUGGCCAGAUCUUUCUCCGGGCAGCAACAUCCUGGUCCAGAAUAGCCUUGGCCUCAGGCGCAGGCACAGCAAUCGACUCCUCGGCCUUGAAGAACGACCGUUCCACAUAGCAGGAGGUAGAAGAUAGCUGCCCGGUCCAUUCGAACUUCCUGGAGACGACCUGGUAAGGGCCCCAGCCGGACGCUUCCGUUAUGGAGGGGAGAAGCCGCUGGCGACGGACUGCUAUCAGGAAUGUUGAUCGGGUUAGAUCGAGGAGGAGAGGAAGGAAUCACGCUCGCCGCCUGCGAGGACUAGCCCCGGCAUCGCCAGCAGUCUCCAAGGGACGGGCCACAGUUUUCUUCUUCUUCUUGGCACCCGUCAGGAGCGCCGACCUGAUUCGCUAGCUUCAGCAACCCGAUCACGAGCAUUCGGCAUGGCACCUGCAAAUAAAUUACACACCAACAUUAGCGAGCGAAGUCAUAAACAGAAAUAAAAAGCUAAACAAAGUCUGCCUACUCAAUAACGCCAGAGCUUCCUCCUCGGUAUCACACUCGAGCAGAGCCUUCGUAUUGAUAUAACGCGCCUCGGUGAUUAGUUCCCCGGCCUCAUCCAGGUAGGGCCGCCCUGUCGAUUCGCCCAGAACCCCAAGCUGAAGCUGCUGCACGUAAUCGACCAGCUUCUUGUACGCGAGCCUAUCCUCCUCGCCGAGCAUCGCAUACUUGACUCGGUAAUGCGCCGUGGAGAGAUCGAAAUGAUCACGCUGCCACCUCAGCGGUAUCUUCGACAUCAGCGUCUCCUCCCCAUUGGGUUUCCGCUGAUAGUAGUAUAGAGAGUGAAGGGCAGCCCGGGUAAUCGGCAUCACCACGUACCACCGGUUUUUGAAAUGGCGAACAGAAUCCUCGUACGUCUUGAACAGACGCACGGGCUGCUUGAAAGAAACCCAACUGUGGCGACCACGGGAACCGGACCUCUGGAGAUGGAAAACGUGGAAGAAGAGAGCCCGGGUGCAACCAAUGCCGAGGAACUGGCCAAACUAACUCGAAUGCCCGCAUAAAUGCGAGAGCAUUAGGAUGUAGUUGGGACGGCGCCAGCCGGAGCCACUUGAAGACCGACAUCUGGAAGGAGUUGAAGGGCAGUCUAAUCCCCGCCUCACGGAAAGCAAAUUCAUACAUGGUGAACUGCUUCCCCGGGAAAUGAUGGCAAAUGCGGUCUUCUUCCUUGGGGGCGCAGCAAUACCAGUUUGGUGGAUCCUCCCGGCUUAUGGUCUCGACCAUAGCGUAAGCAAUGAUGGCCUCGUCACAGAAGUCUGAUUCCUCCUCCAAGGGCUCGUCCGCAACCCAUGAGAAGUCGACCUGCCGGAAGAGGAGGCGUGUUCGGUACCAUCUCGGACACUCCCAUCCCCGACAGGGAGACGAGCGAUUGUCGCGUCUUCGGUGGAGAACCCAGAAUCUUCCCUCCUCGGUCGUAAGCGCCCGUAGCACCUGAAACGCAGACAGAAAGAGUGAAUUCGACGUCAUAUCAAAUCCACCCUUCCACCGCAGGUCAAGUGAAAGGGCGUAGCGGCGACGGACACUAACCGUGCUCAACUCGGUGACGCGCGCAUUCUAUGGAGACCGGGCAUAAACUUCAUACAGCCUAUGCAAGUAUUGCCCGGCAUAUGAAAUUUAUGCCGCGAUACAGCAUGAUCCCAACCCUAUUUUCUACCAUCUAAUAUACACCUACAGUCCACUACACUAUUCCUAAGUUAAACCUAACCACAUUUCUACAAAAAUAGCAUGCGUUUGACAGAAAACAACAAGGAAAAACAGUGGAUCACAGUGGAAAAUCAUACUGACAUAGUUAAGUUGAAAGGGGUACGGUGGUGCCCGAGCAGAAGAGCGGUGGUUCAGAUAGGAGGACGGGCGGAGACGGCGGUCCAGACGGUAGAGCGAGCAAACGAGGGAGAAUGUGGAGAACUCCGGUGAACGUGUGAGCGAAAAAAGUGAAAUGAAGUUACUCAACCCCUGUUUUAUAGGGCUUGGCACGUGGACCAACACGCUAGGUCAUCAUUGCCUAGCCUGCCUACGCCGUCUUUGCACACGAAACGAAGCGACCCCACUAAUUCUGAGACACGUCUAUCAAAGAUAAGAAACUGAAACGACCCGAGCACCUAUCCGUCUCCUCGACUCACCAAGACCCACCUCCCCGCGUCAUACCCACGUUUACCACAAGGAAGGUGCAGACCAACCGAUCACUCCAUCCCCGACAUUCCCGGAGAAAGGGUCGGUCAUGAACAGGUGCUGUUACGACCUCACCUGUCUAACGAUCAAGCUUCCCCAUCGUCUCGGGGAACCCUUAGUUGAAACAUAAGUCAUCUCUCUGGCUCAGAGACUCGACUUGGGGGCUCCUGUUCUGGACUGGGCCAUGACACUAGGCACGCACGGCCCAAUGCUCGCCAAGCCCACGUCCAAACGACCAUGUCCAAACGACCACGAGACAAGUCAGGUGAACGACCGUCCGCCGAAGCACGUCUCCCCGGCCCCUUAAAUACGUGUCGGACAACGAGCGGUCCUCCCCAUACGAUCUCCAUCCACUCAUCGUCAACCCACGCCGCGGACACCUAAGUUGUGUCGGGCAGAGCCAUAACGGCAUCUCCACCCCACGUCACCCACUCCCUUAUAUUGUCUCCUUAGGGAUAGGGGCAGUUGGACCAGGGGGCAGACCUUGGUCUAGGUCUUAACGCUUCUUACGCGUCCCCUGGCAGCUCCUCCUUGGGCCUAGCUAAUCCAGCCCAUUAGGAGCCUUGCCCAGCGCUGGGGGCUCAAUAUAAAUACCCCUUUCAUGGCAAAGGGGCAGGUAUUCUAACUCACACUCUGAUAACCUCAUUCUGUACCUUUUCUGACUUAAGCAUUGGAGCACCUUGCAGGUACACACCCCCUCUCAUUUCAUUCUCCGGCCCAUUCACCAAGACCUUGGAAGGCCCUCCUGACCAGGUAAGAGAUCAGUUUCCAUCUUGACAAUUGUCCCGGGAGCAUAUUGUUUUAGAGCCAACAGGUACUUCGGAAGUUGUUUGUAAGACUCCUCCCAAUUGUCAAACACUUUUCAACAGUUUUUGUCCUAGCUCUCCAUGCCUUCCUAUAUGAUGGAGUGUACUCGUACUCUACCCAAAUAUGCAAGAUUAUGUACUCACCUUUAACGACGAUUAUCGCCAAUGACAGACAAUAUUUCAUCGCAUAUUAGUUGAGAGCUUAAUUUACGAUGAUCCUGCAUUGGGUUUGUCAGCAUGCAUGUGUGAUCUGGACCCAUUGAUCCAAUCUCCCAAGACUCGUUCCUCUUCCGGUACGAAGCUGAAAACCUAAAAAGGCAGUGCUCAUUCGGACAAUAAACUUUAUACCUCGAUGCGUCAGUUCUGUCAACUCUAAAAUCAGCUGAUAGUUGCAUGUGGAAUUUCUUAAUGGCUUUUACACAUUCCUCUUUUGUACGAAAUGUGUCUCCUUGUUUCAAAGAUCAGUGUAUCUGCACGUAAGGAUUGUACCAUACAUCUGUUGAAGGUUUAUCUGAACCCAAAUUCAACCUUGUCAUGUGUUGGGGUGGGCAGUAUACAUGACUUGCUAGUAUUGACUCCUCUUCCUCUUCAGCGUUCACCAUCAAAUCAACCAUGAUCUCAGCUUCUUCUUCUUCGUCAUCUGGAACAUUCACCUCAUCUUGUUCGUCAUCAGUCUCACAAAACACUUGUGACUGAUCAAUAAACUGAGACAUCUGUUCUUGAUGUGGUAAUAUAUAAAACUCUAUAUCGUUAUAACCGGAUUGUUCGUGACUUACAAACAUAUGUUGAACAUCGUCAUCAUCUCGAAUCUUCUUUUGAUAAAAUUUUACCUGGUUUUCUGCAAACCAAACCGGAUUUUUAUAGAUGAUUUGGCCCACAUUACUGCAUUGCAAUUUCUUUACUAUACUUUGUUUCAGAUGUGAAAAAUUUGAUCGUCGAUUUAUUGUAAACCGAGUUACCUCUAUGUUUCGAAAACAAAAACCGAACAACUGAUGAUCAAAUAUUUCACCUUCGACAUGGGCAUUAAUCAUGUAAUGUUGUGUGGAAGAAAUUUUGUUCAAAUAUUAAAUAUGUAAAUAGCUUUACUGGAAUUGAAUGCAUUGGUAAGUUGUUCAUCUGCACAGCAUAAAUAGCGUUGCAUUGAUAACUUGAUCGUUGCAUUGAUAAUGUGGUCAUUGUCUGUACAGACUUGACCAUGUAUGCAGUAAAAAGAAUCUAACAUGCAGUGAAAAGAGUGACAAAAACACACAUGCGCCAGGGAAUCAAGGAAUCUCUGAACCCUGGGCCCUAAUAUUCCCAACAAGCGCCCAUUCCCUAGGCGCCAUAAAGUAACUUGGGCGCCAAGAGGAAAGGCGCCCUUUCACAAAAUUUGUACCUAGGCGCCACUAGGAAGGGCGCCCCUUCUCAUUGCCCUACACUAAGGCGCCAAGAGGAAUGUCGCCUCUUCCUUGCAUGUGAAGAAUCACAUGCAGGCGCCAAGAGGAAGGGCGCCUCUUCCCUUUGCAUUUGGAUUCUUCACAUGCGCCUAGAAGAAAGAUUCUUCACAUGCUUUCUGAAUUUUGUCAUUCCCUUGUCUUCUCUUGCUAUUGCAUGCAAUCAAUCCCAUUCUUCUUAGGUUGAAAACCUACUCACUCAUUCAUCUAUAAAUAGCCUCUCAUAUCAAUAAUAUCAAAUCAUCUUCAUCAAUACUCAAUUAUAUUCUUCUUUGUCACACUAAUCCUCUACCGCACUCAAGCUUUGCAAAAUCAAAUCAUGUCUUUGUUGACUAUGGGUGAUGAACACAGAGGCACACUCGAGAAUAUCUCGGCAUUUGUAUGUUAUCUCUCUCUUUUUACUUUUUCUGUUUUUAGUCUUAUACCUUUGUUAUCUAUGUUUUUCUUACUUCUUAUAGAGUUGUGUUUGUUGAUUAAUAUCUCUCUCUUUUUACUUUUUCUGUUUUUAGUCUUAUACCUUUGUUAUCUAUGUUUUUCUUACUUCUUAUAGAGUUGUGUUUGUUGAUUAUGUAUUUCUUCUUCUUAUUGUAUUUUCUUACUUUUUUGUUAUUAGGAUCCGAAGCGGUUUAGAUGUCGUGUACAUGAAUAUGUACCCCACGAUCCUUUAAUAGAACCAUAUAUUAGAGGAUGUGGAUUUGGAAAUCUACUUAACAUUGUUUCGUACUCGGUGGACUACAAGUUCAUUUUGGCUUUGUUGGAGAGGUGGAGACCCGAGACCCACACAUUUCACCUUUCGAUUGGUGAGUGUAUCGUCACACUUGAGGACGUGUACGUGUUGUUGGGUCUCCGUAUAGAUGGAAAGGCGGUGAAUGGUAGAGUUAACCAAGACAACAAUAUCUGCAAUGAAUUAUUGGGUGCCCCUUUGUUAGACGACGAAACUGAGGGAGACACAUCAGGUCAAGCAAGGGGGCAAGGUAUAAAUUUAAAAUACCUUAAACAAUAUUAUGCCAGUAUAGUAUUGUCGAAGAUUCAAUCGAGUAUGAGAAAAUAAUAAAAGCUCAGUGUUAUAUUAUGAUUUUAUUUGGUAAUUUUUUGUUUCCAAAAAGUACAAGUAAUUCUGUAAAUAUAAUGUGUUUACCUUUAUUACGCAACAUUAAUAAGGUAAACACUUAUAGUUGUGGUUCAGUUGUGUUGACCCAUUUAUAUAGUGCAAUGUGUAAAACUGUAAAAAAGAAUACCUGUACUUUUUUUUCAUGUGUGUAUUUGCUUCAAGCUUGGGGUUAGUCAAGAAUGUCGUCGCUCGCCCCGAUAAAUGAGCGUCCAUUCGUGUUCCCGUUUGCAACCAAGUAAGUCUAACACUUUACCAUUUACCAUUUAGUUAAUUAUAUUUUAUAUUAUAAUUAACAGUAAAUAAUAUUUUUCACUUCUUUUUUAUCUUAGGUCGUUAGUAAUGGGAAUGAACUACAACAGGUGUCUGAAACACACUAUUGUAGUCUAUCGCAAUCUAUUGGACCACAUUGGACAUGACGAUGUAAUAAUCCUACCCAACUAUAUUUUAAUUUAAAAAUACUUCUCAAAUUAUUUUUCAUCUAAUCGUUUCGUAUUGUUUUACAGUUUGUCUGGAGGCCAUAUCUGGGUCUGGAUCAUGAUGUGAACCAUGACGAUGUUGUAGUUUGGACAGCGAAGACACCGAUUAUCCGAUUCACUACGGUGGAAAUGCACCAGAGUGAUCGGGUCAAACUGUAGUUCGGAAUGCUACAACAGAUUCCAGAAUCUCCUACGUGUUUGGGAAAUUGGCAUCAAAAAAGGGUUGAUGCAUAAGGGAUUAUUCUGACUUAGAGACUUUGCAAAAGAGAUGCGUCGUCAAUGGAGGAAUCGACGACAACACAUCUUAAACGAACCAGCCAUUCAUGGUGCAAGACCGACUCAACAAUAUAUGGCAUGGUUUAGGUCGGUAACAACUCAACAAUUUGUAUCUGAGCCACGGUAUUUGAUGGAUCCACGCCAACUUGCUUCGUCAUCGUACGCCCUACAACAAUUCACCACCCAACACCAAUGUGAACCCACCCAAACCCAACAACCAACCACAUACACACAACAACCAAACACCCAACAUCGCAAUUCGUUCAUGCCAACCACCCAACAACCAACCAUCCAACGUCGCAAUCCAUUCAUACCACCCCCCAAACACAAAACCAAGAAUCAAACCCCGCAACCACAACCGUCUAUAGCCCAGAUGAUUCAUAUGGGUCACUUCAUCGUAGCCCCCCACCAAUGACCAUCCAAAUAUCCCAUCAACAUAACACCCAACCAUUGUUUAACUAUAGUACGCCCCAGGAAUCAUUGCUUCGUUUCCAAAAUGACUCAAUUGCCCAAUUUUGGCAACUAUGUCGUCCCCAAUUCACUCAACCCCAACGACCUAACUACGAUGACAUGGGCACCGAACUCCAUUACGGAAGCGUCGUUGGCCAGAGUCCCUCCGGAUAUUGGGAGCAAAUGAUGACACAUCUGUCAAAUACCGCUGGAACUUCCGUCGGACCUUCCAACCAUCCAUCGCUCGAUCAGGUCAGCACACAAAGACCCCAAACACCUCAAGAAAAUUGUGGGAGACCUCGGAGACAAACUAACGCACCGGGAUGUGGAACAGGGGGACGUUAUAAUCGGGUCGGUCAUUAGUUUAUUGUCAGUCCAAUGUAACCAAUUAUUAUAUCAUCAAUGAAUUUAUUUUUUUCAUUACUAUUUCUUAUUUAUUAAAUAAUGAAAAUUAAUAAUUAAUAAUUAAAAAAAUUAAAAAAACUAAAAAAUUUAAAAAAUUUAAAAAAAGUUACAGGGGUGUAUGCGCAAGAUGAAUUGGCGCAUACACCAACCAAAUACACAUAGGCGCCACUAGCAUUGGCGCCUCCUCAUGAGGGUCAAUGCAUGCGGCACUAGCAUUGGCGCCUCCUCAUGAGGAGCCCAAUGCAUGCGUCAAUGCUAUUGACGCUUCCUCUUCCUGCAUUGGGGGUGCGCCAAUUCAUCUGGCGCAUCCUCUACAAAACCUGGUUUUUUUUUUAAUAAUUGAUUAUUUUUGAAAAUUUUUUUUAAAAAUUGAUUAUUUUAAAAAAAAUCUUCAAAAUAACCGUCAUUUAGAAAUAAUUAUUAUUUUAUUUUUUAAUAUAAAAAUAAUUAUUAUUUUUUAAUUAUACCAUUUAAUUAUUACUUUACACACUACUUCUAACACAUUAAUAAAGAUAAUAUCUUAUUAUAAUAUAAUGACAAAAUUAUUCUAAAAAAAAAUUAAAUUACUUUUGUGUAAUAGAUCGAUCGUUUAAUUUAUAUCUUUUAAUUUGGUCCUUUAAAUUAUCAAAUGUAUAUAAUGUUAUUCUUUAAAGGAUAAUUUAGAAAUAACCCUAAACAACUAAAUUAUUACCAACAAAAAGACUUAAAUAACCAAUCUAUUAAAAAAACAACUUAAAAAUUCUCUAUUAUAAUUUUGCCUAAUAUUAUUGUAUUCUUCAAUUUGUAUAAAAACCUUAUUAUUUUGAAAUAUAAGUAAUAAUAAGUGGUUACAUUAUUUUAAUAGAAUAGGAAACCUUUAUAAAACAUUCAUCAAAUUAUCAACCAAUUUUAGUGUGUUAAGUAGGCACAAUGUUGGAUGAUUUUAAACCAAAUAUUACUCGUUAAAAUAAAAUUUAUUUUAAAAUAAUUCUCAUUUUUACCUUGCAAUAUAAAAAUAAUUGUUAAAUUUUAAAUUGUAUUUUUUAAUUAUUAAUCUGUAUAUUACUUUCAAAACAUAAUAAUUCUCAUUUUCACCUUUCAAUAUAAAAAUAAUUGUUAUUUUUUUAAUUGUAUCUUUUAAUUAGAUUAUAUUUCUUAAUUUGUGUAAAAUUUAUUUAAUAGUUAGAGCGUGUUAUAUCGACACACAGUACUAACUUGUUAGUUUAUCCGACUUACCUCCAAACUGUUGCAACCACUCAUUCCAAAAGUCCUCCAACCUGUUGAACCAUCCCAACUCAUUUUAUAGGCGGGAGUGCCUUCAGACUAUUUUGACAAUUAUCUAUUUUCACUAAUAAGGUGGUUUACAAAAAAAAGGGUUGCAUCAAAUUUGAUUAGAGUGUGACUCUUCUCUAGUUGUCAACUUCCUGAUAUUGUUGUUGCUUUGCAGAUUUUAGAGAAUGAUGGAACAAAAGGCUUCUUCUUCCUCUUUUCAAGGUCCACCACAACAUUGGUUUUCCUAUAUGCCUUCUAGUAGUGGACAACUCAUCAGAACUUUUGUCAUUCUAUACAUUAAAAGAAAGUGGUUUCAUUGCCCACAGAAUUGAAAUCAACUUUUCUGUUAACAACUAAUCAUAGGUUUCUGGUUUUACUUAACCAAUUCUAUUUUCGGAAAGCAAUUUUAACUAUUAAAGGUGGAGAUUAAAUAGCUCUAUUUUUUUCACUAGAAUACAACAUAAAAUUUGGUUCUGAACACUGUAUUCACUCAAUAAAUACUGACUCGGUCGGUAUAAAUUACCAAUACAAACUACGACUCAAUAAAAAAUAGGACUCAAUUCCGCUUCAAAGAAAAACCCCUUCGCCCAUUGCCACACAACACAGGUCCUUGCUACUGCAACAUAAUUUCUCCCCAGCAAAAUAUAUUUCCUGCACAAGAUACAAUGCUCAUAUUAUGCUGCUAACUGAACCCACCACCCCCCUCCUUAUUCGGACAUGGCAGUUAAGACUGACCCACCCCAGCACUUCAUUACAGACACUAGACCCGACUGACACCAGACACCAUGAAGUACAUGGACCGACCCCACCCCACCCCACCCCCACCCAGACUCAACCCCCAACAGUCACCCUAGAUCAACCCUGCUCCUCCAACCAAGUUACCACCCCCACCCAGACUCAACCCCCAACAGUCACCCUAGAUCAACCCUGCUCCUCCAACCAAGUUCCUACAAUUAGAGAAAGCAAUUGGUUUAGAGAACACAAUAAUUGGAUGUAAACCACGAUUGUAACCCCCAGAGGGAAAAAAGAUAACUGAGACAUAUACACACUCAAUAGAAGUCUUCAACUGAAGUUGAAUCCACCAGAUGGGACCGGAAGGUCAUUGGCUCCAAAAUUAAAACCAGAUUGAGAACCAUCGCCUGGAGGUAGUGUCUCAUCUUCAUCUUCCAACCAAUAUGUCUCGAGAAUUUUAACAGCUUUCUCAUAAAUUUCAUUGUUGUCAUGACUCUGCAAAUUUUCAAUCUUUUCCAAUCCCUCGGCAUCGUCAAUAGCUUGAGCAUACGCAUUGACAUCUCCCGUGUUACCAAAGCUUUUCUCUGCUUCUCCAACCUUCAGAAUAUUUUCAAGACCUUCUAGACAGACAGUAACAAUUCUUGGAUCAGGGCAAACAAGCAAAUCACACAGAGGCUUAAUGCAACCCUGGCUCACCAAGUACCUUGUAACAACAACAUUUGGUAAGUUAAUACAUAAACUCCCAUGUUGUCAACAUGAAACAGAGCCAGAAAAUAACAAUAAAAAAACCGCUUCACAUACUUGAUUUGGUCAUGUGUACCGCCAGAUGUACCAUUAGAGAGUGCCCAUGCAGCUUCUUUUUUAAUGUCAAACUCAGCAUUUUGAAGAAGAUUAACUAAGGGAGCAAUCAGACCAGCUUCAAUAACAGCCUACAUUAUACACAAUAAAAGGUGGCGUUCAGAGCAUUUUUUCAGUAAACAAGCAAACUAAAAAUCACAUGCAAACAAAAGACUAGACCUGAAACAGAAAACAUAACAAUAAUGCCAUCCUUCAAACGAACACACCACAUUCCCUUCAGUGAUGUACUUACAGUCAAAUAACAAUCCAUGCUAUCCAAAUAUUACCCUAAUUGGUGUAACAUGACUACAUGAGAACUAAAUCUAUCUACAAGACUACAAUGAUUAUUAUUGCAUCACAUCUCUAUGUUAAACAGGAUGUAGCUCCCAAUAUUGCAGAAACAAAGUAACAGUAGUGUAUAUUUAGAUGACACGAAACUGGGAACACUAUCAGUUUAUACUUUAAAAUGAGCACCAAGAAAUUCAAUUUAAAUGCGUACCCAAAAAUCAAACUUGAAGAAAAGCAUAAAAAAUUUAAAAAUCUAACACCAUACUUUAUAAAACAUAAUAUUCAACAUUAAAUGCAUAUAAAGAAAGGGGAUUCACUAGUUUACCUGUAUCUGCUCUUUGUUUCCGGCUGUGAUGUUUGAUAUAGUCCAGCAAGCUUCUUUCUUGAUACUUUUCUUAUGAUUAUGGGUCAACAGGCUCAAAAGGCAUGGGAGUGCACCAUGAUUGAUAAUAGCCUGACAGAGUCACACCAAAAUCAGGCAAGUCUCACAGGUGAUGUGUGACAAAACACCAGUGGCGCCGAGAAGAGACUAUGUUCACGGUAAUAAAUAGUAGUGAAUCAACAGCAAUGACUAUGAAAGUGUAACUUUCGCUCUUCCCAGACCAAAAUUCCUCCACCAGUAUAACUUUUCGUUCUUCCCAGACCAAAAUUCCCCCACCACCUCAAAACAAAAUUAUUCCUAGACUAAUAUUUCUAAAUACGUCAAUGAAACUUCAACAACCACAUACUAUUGUAGCAUUUUGGUAUUCUCUAUUAAUCAAAUUAGAAUUACAAAAUUUACCUACCAAUAAUUUCAGGUUUUGAUGUGUUUCCAAAAUUUGUAACACAGCACUUAUUUGAUACUUCACUCAAUAAAAGCUAAAUUUAUUAGAAAUAAUUAGGUAGCAACUAAUUAUUGCAACAACUCAUAAGCCAUUCUAAUUUGACAUUACCUGAGUCUGCAUAUCAUCUCCAGUUACAAUAUUUCCCACCGUGCGAAGUGCGGGAAUCAGCACUGAAGGAGAUGGGUGCCUACAAAACACAGAUUUAGAGACAAGACAGCCAAAAAUUGAAUCAGGAUAUUUGUUGACCAUGAAUAGAUGGGAAUAGGCACUCACAGAAGGAGCUGCACAAGUCUGCCACAUACACCUGCCUCAAUCACAGCUUGAAUUUUGUCAUUUGUCCCAUCAGAGAGAUAUGAGAGAGCCCAGCAUGCAUCUGUCAAGACUUCUUCAUCAUUGGAAAAAACCAAACGCUCAAGAGCAGGGAGCGCCGGCCUUACCUGUCCAUCCAAAUUCCAAUAUUAAUACACAGAAAAAGUCCUCUGCAAGAUAAGCUUGAAUUAACAAAAAUUACCUGCUCAAAUGGAGGCUGUGGCUUGCCCCGACAAAAGUUUGACAGGGUCCAUGUGGCAUUUCUCAGCAUAGAAAGCUUUGCUUGUUCAUUCAACUGGGAUAACAGCGGGAUCAGGGCACCAUUGCUUAGAACAAGAUCACGGCACCUAGGGGAGUCACCAGCAACGUUUCCCAAUGCCCACACAGCCUACAAUUUAAGAGUUUUGGUUUUAACCAUAGUUUAGCAAAAAAAUCAUAUCAAGUAUGAUGCCUGAUCUAGUGCUAUCACAAUUCAGUAUGAACAUACCUGCUCCCGAACAUCAUCACUAGGUGAACUAAGUAGCUUGACAAAUAUUGGCACUGCCCCGUGAUCAAUUACUACCUUAGUGUUCUCAGAAGUUCCAGAUGCUAUGUUUGUGAGUGCCCAAGCAGCCUCAAACUAAACAAACGUAUCAUAACAAUAAAUUUCAACAAUAAAACACUGCACCACAUUACCUGAAAUUCCAGAAUGAAAAAAAAACAAAAAAAAAACGAAGUUUCAAACCUGAAGUUGAGGAAAAUCCUCCCUCACUAGAAACUCAACAAAACGAGGAACAACGCCAGAUUGAAUUACUUCUUCGAUUGGAGGGCUACGUUCUACAGAACAAAAAAAGAUUUUUAACACUAAGAAUCACAAACAUAUGCAUUAAAAACAUCAAAAGUGAAUAAAAAAUUACCAAUUGAAAGCAAUUUCCGAAAUUGAGUAGUUGCUUCGAGUUGUUGGCUAUUAUCAUCCGAUAAAACCCCAGCAAUCAUUGCAGGAAGACUCUCUAACUGCAACAAAUAAACAUAAAUAACUGUCAAAAUCCGUUUUCAUAACUAACUACCACUGAACCGAACAUCACAAACCCCAAUUAAAUCUAAACUGAGAACCCUAUUGGGGAUCGGAUCAUGACCGAAUCAAACAUCAGAAUCUUAAAUCUUAAAUCUUAAAUCCACAUCAAACCCUAAAUUACCACGAUCGAAAGUUACCUUUUUCUCGACAAUGGAGGAUGACUGAAGAGGAGUAGGGAACUGAGCUUGAAGACCUUCACGUCUCUUCUUCAAUAGACUCUCUUCACGCUUACUUUUACGGAUCUCAACCAUGUUGUCCUCUCUUCUCCGGCGACCCUCGUCAGCGUCGACGGCAACCUUGUAACGGUUGCGACGAACUUCGGUUCUAGCAUUGGGUCUGAGCGACAUCGUAUCUUAGGGCUAGGUGGCACCAAUCGAAGCUGAGAAUUGAAAUGCAAAACCCUAAAUUACGAUUGAGAUUUUAGAACUCUGAUGAGAGAGAGAGAGAGAGAGAGAGAGAGAGAGAGAAGAAAGAUUAGAGGAAAUUUAAAUAGCUGUAUAGUAGUGGGAUGUGGGGUUGUAUUACGUGUGGAGGUGGAGGUGGUGGCGGUGACCGGAGUUUUACUUAGGAAUGUCGUUUAUGAUGAUAAUGAUAUGAUUCGGUGCGUCGUUUCGUGUUGAUUUAUUUUUAUGGAUUUUGCCGACUAGAUGAAACGGGUUACGGUUUUGGGGUAAUAUGAUCCUCACUCUUUAAUCAUAUCAUCACGAUCCAAUCCACUUCAAGUGUUAAAUGGUUAAAUGGGGGCAUGUGUGUUCCAAGAAUAUCCCAUUUCAAACCAAUGAUGGUUUUUUUUUGUACUAAAAACGUUUUUUUUAUGUUCCUUAUUUUUACUUUUAUUUAACGAUCAAAGUAGCCACAUAUAUAUAUAUAUAUAUAUAUAUAUAUUAUAUAUAUAUAUUAUAUAAUAUAUAUAUAUAUAUUAUUAUAUAUAUAUAUAUAAUAUAUAUAUAUAUAUAUAUAUAUUAUAUAUAUAUAUUAUAUAUAUAUAUAUAUAUAAUAUAUAAUAUAUAUAUAUAUAUAUUAGUGAAAAAUUUGAGUGAGUUGAGUUAGGUGGAUUCACUAGGGUUAUGACAUGUCUUAAGGUGGUUGAAUUGUCUCUCAACAAAUUUGUUAUUUUUUACUUCAUUUAUUUUUUUUAUAUGUUUUGUGAUAUUUAUGGAUUAGGCGAAUCAAAGUGUCUUUAGUGGUAUUGUCAUUUAUCUAAAUACGGAUUUUUUAGAUUUGAAGAGUAAUGGUUUGUAUGUGUCAUUUUGUCUUUCUCUAUCAAACAUAUACAAUACGACCUCCUGAUCAUGCUUUUUUAUUGACAUUUGUUUUAUCCAUGUCAAUAUCAUUCUUGCGGUUUGCAUGAGUGGUCGUCCAGAAAUUAGAGAAACUUAUGGAUUCUCCUUAAUAUCCAUUAUCAUAAAUUCAAACGGGAAGGACAAGGUGUUCGCUUGUAUUAUUACAUUUUAUGCAACCCUAGUUGGUUGUUUGACAAUUUUGUUGGUGAAUUGCAAUAUUUACUUUGUUUCUUUUAUCUCUAUAUAUCUAAGUUUUACGACUACUAAUAGGGAUAUUGGGUUAAUGUUUACCCAAAAAUCUACAAGAGCUUCUCCAACAUUCAUGCCUCUAAUUGAGUUUGCACAAGGCGAUUCUCCAUGGACCAAUUGCCUUUUCUAAUAUAGUUUCUUGGAUCAUUAUACUACAAAUUGCUUUGUCCUGGACAAGUGUUGGUUCAAGACGUUUAUCCUUGUGUGUGAAGAAAUUUAAGAACCUUUGUUUCGCUUUAGUCAAGUUUUCAUUAAACUCAUCAACUGAGUCAUCAACCUAUUCAUUUUGUCGUGCAACAACAACAUCAUAAAAAAAACUGAAUGUUUGUAUAUAAGGAUGUUCACUUACCAUGUCAUCCAUUUUUUAUUGCAAUGUUUUUUCAAAUUUGGCUUGGUGUUAGUGGUGAAUGUACCUCCUGAUUUAUCAUUUAUGUGCUUGAAGAUUUGUCCCAUUUACACGUUUCUAAUGAAGUUUUCAGCUUAUUUUUUAUUAGCCAUAAACAUUUGGACAAAUUGGUUUUGAGUAUCUUCAAGCUUCCUUUAAGUUUGGGUUGGAUCUAAUAACUCUAAAAUUGUUGUUUAUUUGAUGGUUCAGCAUCAUGUAUCCAUCCUUGGUCGUAGUUAUUUCCACUUUGAAAGUUAUUCCCUCUUUGGAAAUUGUUGUUCCCUUCAUGGUAAGGAUUAUAUCUUUGGUAGUUCACAUAAUUGAUUUCCUCGUCACCAUAGGGACGAUACACGAGUGGGGUGGUCACCUUCAUAUAAGUCACAUAAAGAAAUUUCAUUUGGGCUUACUUGAAGUUUCUUGCAUCUAUUUUGAAUUGUUGUGGAGGUUUGGAUGGUUGCUUUAAUAGUUCGUUCUUCCAAAGGCUGUGUCAGAAGUUUGUUUUCAGCAAGCAUUGCAUCAUUUGUAUUCAGUUCCAGCAUUCAUAGUUUGCUUUGGCUGGUACUUGGGUUGUAUUAACCUUGAUGGUCGUUAAGUGUCGUUCUUUCGAUUAUUGUUAUUCCAUCUUCAACACUUCUGGCUAUUGACAACCCACUAGAAAUAAUGUCUAGUAUCAACUUCAGUUGUUGCAAAGUCUGGUUUGAAAAUAGGAUAGCUUUUAAACUUAAUGAUGGUGAUCUAACUAGAAAAACAUCUCAUGCCUCAUCAACAAAAGGAAACUCAAGAUAUAAGUGCUUAUAUGAUCAUAAGCAAUCUAGCAAAGAAUCUUGAAGCCUCAGAUAAAGUGUGAAAGCUCGUCAGGUCAUGUUUGUCUAUCUGUCUGAUUGACUCGAGUAUUGUAAAAGUAAGGAAGUAGAUUAGAAGUACUAAGACAAGUCACACACACACACACACACAACUAAAAAUAUAUUUACUAAGCCAAGACAAGUGAUUAAAAAGUUGUCCAAAAAAUUUCCAAACUAUUUUUGAACUAACCAAUUGAUUAGUAAGUUAUGUCAAUUGAUUGGAUCAUUAAGCCAAUCAAUGGGAGAAAAGCUAAUCGAUUAACCAAGCAAUUAAGACAACACAUUUAUGAAUUGCAAUGAAUCUAUAUCCAAUACUUCCUAUUUGGGCAUGUUAGUCAAUUAAAAUGAGUUGACAAUUAAUUAGAGCUUUUUGCUAAUCGAUUGGCUUAUUAGUUCAGCCCAUGGAUCAUUUUCUGUUUUGGUGUUUCCAAAACUUAUAUAAAAGAGGCUCGUAUCCACUUGUUUUCACGCCACUUUCCGAUGAUUUACAUUUUUUGGAAUUUAUCUCUCUAAGUUUUCUCUCCCUCUAUUUAGAAAAUAUUCAUUUCACUUAAAAUUGUCUUGGUGCUUGCGAGUGAAACUUUGAUUGUGAGGAAGAGUUCUGUAAGUUGUCAUGUUGUUUGUUUAACUCUUGGGAGUGUGAUACUCUUGAGAAGAUUGAGUUUAAUUCGUGAGAUAAACCGAUCUUAAAAUCUAUGUUGUGGUUUAUUGAGCUUUGUUGAAAAAAGUUUUGUUUUGGUUAUUGAGAUCAACUUUAAAAUCUCUAAGAAGGUUCUAGUUUAGCCUGUGGUAAAAGUUAUUUAUGGUUGGGGAUAAACCUGUAAAAAAAUAAAAAUCAACUUGUAUAAAUAUUUAUGGGCAUAGCUUAUAAAAUUUUAUAAGUUUAUAGUCAAAAUCUCAAGAAUACCUUUUGGGGACAGGAUUAUGCCAACGUUCGACCAAACAUGUACAACUUUCUAGUGCAAUCUCUCUAACCUUAUCCUUUUUAAAAAAAAAAUCUAUUUACUUUGCAUUACUUAUCUUUGUUGUGGUUUACUCAAACAAAAUUACUAACACGGUCUUAAUCGAAAAAAGUAUAAAAUUAGUCACGAAUUUUAAAUACCAUAUUCACCAUAUCUCUUCUACUUGAAGUCACUUGUCCAACAAGUGGAAUCAGAUCCUAACUCCUAUUAAGGACUAAUCUUCUCAAGGAGGAAAAAUGACUUUAAGUUAUUCACUAAACAUGCAUUUAUUCUUCAAUGGAGAAGGGUAUAGUUUAUGGAAAGAUAAAAUGAAGUUUUUCAUAUAAGGGAUAGAUCAUGGUAUUUGGAAAGUUGUGAAUGAAGUUCAGUUUGUUCCUACACACAAAAUUAAUGGUGUCGUAGAAAACAAACCUGAAAAGGAUUGGACCAAAGAUGAUGAUGAAAAUGUGCAACAUAGUUUAAAAGUGAAAGUUGUCAUCACUGCCGCUCUUGGUCUUGAUGAGUUUUUGCGAGUUUCUCACGGCGAGACUGCAAAAGAAAUAUGGGCACCCUCCAAAUCACAUGUGAAGGUACUACUAAGGUGAAAAUGGCAAGGUUGGGCACAUUAAUCAAUGAGUACGAACUCUUCAUAAUGAAACCUGAAUAUAACAUUAAUCCUAUGCAAAUACGAUUUACCCAUAUCGUGAAUCAUAUGAGAACUCUGGAAAAACCAUUUUCAAAUGAAGAAUUGGUUAUAACUAUCAAGACAUAUUCUUAUCAAGUGUCACUUGUUGAAAUUAUUUUCUAAUAGGUAACUGUAUUGCAAUUUAUAAUUAAUCAGAAAGCAAAAAUCAUUAAGAACCAAUAGAAAUAAAUAAUACUAGAAUAAAAGACUUGAUCGUUACAAUUAUCAAUUCAGUACUAUAAAAUUCAUCUAAGAUGGUGACUCGUCCUUAACAUAUAGGAGUUUAGUUACUCAUAUCUUUAACAAAAUACAUCAAAUAAAUAAUGAACAUUACACAAUAGUCACAGAUGAGGAAGCUUUAACACAAAAUUUUGUUGAAUGUUUGCUCAUUUUGCUCCUAUAGCGUUUUCCUUGCUUCAAAUUAUUUAUUCGCCAUUAAAAUCCAAGAUAAAAACAAAAAAUAAGGUUUCCUUCCUUAAAAUACAACAAUAGUCAUCCAUACUAGAUCUGAGUGUUUGGAUGUUUUUCCAAAUAUCUUUAGAAAUGCAUAUGACCAAAGGAGAAUUUUAUCUUGGUAUGUGCAUGAACGUGUUUGAAGGCAUUUAGAUGUUUGGAAAUUUUCUAAAACAUGUUUAGAAACACAUAUGAUCAUAUGGGAAUUUCACCUUGGUAGGUACAUGGACAGUUUUAGAGGCAUUUGGGUACAUGAAUGCUUUGCUAAACACAUUUAGCAGCUCUCGAACGCGUUUGGCCAGAGUUUGCAUCUUUUGGCCAGAGUUUGCUUUCCUUUUUGUUUUAACUCCUGUAACAUAGACAAAAUAUUUUCUAAAACAUCAUCUUGAUAAAAAAAAUAUUUUUUGGUAUCGCAUAAACUAGAAAACACGUCAGAAAUAACAAGAAAGAUAAAUAUGAACAAAUAAAAAUAAAAAGUUAAGUUAGUAAUAAAUAUACGAAAAAUCACAAUGACUUAAAAUUAUAAUAAUCAUAAAUAAGUUAAAAUUUUAUGAUGAUUGGGGUAGCUCAACUCGUAUGUGAUAAUUGAUUUAAGGGGGUAUAAGCUCCUUGUGUGGAAUUUAAAUAGAAAAUAUUAUAAUGAUUAUGUCAAUAAAAAUUACAAUGUAGUGAGUCAAUUUAUCAUAUCUACGGGGAAUGAGAAAUAUAAUGUAUUUGCAAUUAUAAGUAAUAAAAAGUAUUUUAUUCGUUUGAAAAUAUUUUAUGUCCAUAAAAAGUAAAAGAAAGUAAAAUAGUAUAAUUAUAAGUGAUAACAAGUCUUUGGGUUAUGUGAUCGCGACUUAGUAUGUUUGUCGAAAUAGCUGACUGCAAGUGCACAGUCGUAUCAUGUAGUUUUAAAAGGAUAUCGAACCCAAAUGACCAAAAACCAAACUAUGUUAUCUAAAGUUACUAUGUAAAGGUAAAACUAAUGAAUAUUUUCUUUUUUAGAUUAGAUUAAGGGAAACUAGGAAUAAAAUUGAACGGUAAAUAAUAAUAAAAUGAAAAUAUUCAAUAAAGAGACAUCGGUAUGUAAAUUACAUCAUUCUUCGAGGAUUCGAUAAAUAAUUAACACAAAAUAAGGUAAAUCAUUUUUCAGUAGAAAAUAUCAAAUUAAAAUUUUUUGCCUCACACUCUCGUGUUAUUGACUCGGACUAUACUCUUAAGCCAAAAUAUUUUGUUCUCGCUCACCCACCUGAAUCAAAAGUAAUUUUUGGAAAUUGAUAAAUCUUAAUUAAUCCUAAAGUGUUCUCGCUGUAUUUAAGAUUAAUCCCUAGAAACCACUAUCCAGUUAAAAUCUCAAACUCUCCCUCUGUUGAUUUAUAACCUUAAUGACUUUUCACUCUUGUGCAAAAACUUUUUUAAAUUAGAAUUGGAAACUACAUCCAGGAAAAAAAUUAUAAACAUUAACACUUAUUAUUACCGAAUCACGUCGGAACGACGAUCCUUACAUACUGAUGUCAAAAGGUUUAGACAGACAUGGUUUGAAACUUAAUCAUACAAUUAUAAUUAUUAAACAUAAACAUAAUCAUGAUCGAAAUUCAAAAUUUCAAGCAUACAAAUAAUAUUAUGCAAUUAGGCCAAAUGAAAGCGGAAAGUAAAGAAUUAUGCAAUUAAAAAAACCCUGAUGAGUAAUAAAAAUUGGAUUAAACUUCAGAGAAAUCUUCAAGUAUAAAUAACAACUGGAAAAUACAAUGAUGUCGACACGUUUGAUCCAAGCAACAAGUAAACUUAAGAACAAAGGUGCAAUAGCCUCCCGGUGUUGAAGAACUAUCACUUUUAAGGUAUUUCUGCUUAAGCUAAGAAUCAAAAUUACACGAUAAAAACUUGGAUACUUUUUUUCUUUUGGUUCUGCCUUUUUAUACUGGUAAAGAGGAACUGAACUUCCCUAAAUUCGUGUGGAAAUGGUUGUGGAAAAAUAAGGGGACUCUUGACCAUAUUUUGUGCAGUUGUUGAAAAACUGCAUUGCGUGCCUGUGGCAAACGCCACAGGGCCAUGGCAAAUGUCAUGGUACUAAAAGUUUGAAGUGACGUGGCAAGGGGGUCGUGGCGAACGCCACAUGCCCAAAACCUGCAUUUUCAGCAUUUUUCUUCCCUUUUUCUUCAUUUCUUCUCUUUUCUUUAAUUAUUUCUCACAUGUGAGUUCUGCAUCGACAAAUACCUGAAACAGGGCAACAACAUCAACAUAAUACAAUAAAACAUACACAUAAUUAUACUAAAAUACAUGCGAAUCGAGUCAAAUAAACGGUAGUUUCACGUUAUCAAAAUCCCCCAUACUUGAACGUUUGCUUGUUCUCAAGCAAAUGCUACACUUGUGACAUGAAAAUUCGGAGACUCGUAGCAUGUAGAUCCAUGGAAAGCACAUAAACAAUUAAUUAAUCAUUCUAAAGCUACAAACUUUGCUUUGGUUAUAAUUGCUUAAAUAGGUACUAAUCGGUACACUAAGGAUAUCGUAAUAACGUUAUUUCGCAAUUACGGUCAUGAAUCUCCCUACAUGCAAACAGAUAUAAAUGAUGUCAUUAUAUCGCAAAUUUGUCAACUCGCCUUUUAUUUUUUCGUUCAAGUGUGAUCACAUUAAUCCCGUUAUCUUUCACACUUAUAGUAGGAAGUUCUGUUAGUGACUUUGGUCUUAUCUUGUAUCUUCGGUUUCCCGGUUCAGGGGUUGAUUAUGGCAUCUAAGCGGUUUAAGCCCACGCCUAAAUUGUAAUUGCGGGGGAUCGGACCGUAGUCCGCCCUACCAAGUUUAGCGCCAAAUACCACUAAACCAAUUACGAUUGGUAUUGGUAAUUUAAGCUCAACAUAUUUCAUUCAAUGUCAUUUUUAUUCUUUGGACCAAACACUUAUUUGCAUCAAUCUCCCACAUAAAGCAUUUAAAUUAUCCUCAAAUCACUUCAAACCAUUUUCAUAACUAAAAUCUGAAGAAAAAGAUUACCCUGGAUGGAAUAUCUAAUCGUAAUCCCGAAUAUUAGGCCUAAGUUGUAAGAGCUUGUAAGCCCUAUGUAUUUGUAUUCUCUUCAAAACACUUGUAAUUAUUCAAACUUCUUUUCUCAAUAAAAUUGGAAGAAAAAGAUUACUCUGGAUGGAAUAUCCAAUCGUAAUCCCGAAUAUUAGGCCCAAGUUGUAAGAGUUUGUAAGUCCUAUGUAUUCGUCUUCUCUUAAAAACACUUGUAAUUAUUCAAACUUCUUUUCUCAAUAAAAUUGGAAAAAAAAAGAUUACCCUGGAUGGAAUAUCCAAUCGUAAUCCUGAAUAUUAGACCCAAGUUGUAAGAGCUCGUAAUCCCUAUGUACUCGUCUUCUCUUCAAAAUAUUUAUAAAUAUUCAAACGUCUUUUCUCAAUAAAAUUGAAAGAAAAAGACUACCUGGAUGGAAUAUCCAUUCGUAGUCCCGAAUAUUAGACCCAAGUUGUAAGAGCUUGCAAGUCAUAAAUACUCGUCUUUCAAGGCCAAAAGUACAUCCAACCAAUCAAACUUUUUUCGCCGUCGUGCGAUUGAUCAAGAAAACCUUUUCAUAAGCAAAGGUUAUCUUGUCUUAAGAUGAUGUAAAGCAAUGCUUCGUCCAUAAUUGUUGAGUUGAGAUAAGUGACAUUUUUCCGAAUGUUGAUUUGUAAAUCCAUUCGGUGUGUGGUAUACGUCCGCUCCUCAUCUGUUUUGAGUAAAACAGUGUUUCUCGUUGAUUAAUACAAGAUAGAUUUCGCUAAAAUCGACCAACAAACAAACAUUUUCUAUCCAGAACUAUGUAAGUCUUGAGUUCUCUAUUGCACCCGGAGAUACGUAGGAGCAAGAUUUGUAAAUCUUGUCAGACCCAUUAAUAAAAAACUUAGGUUUAGUCCCCUUUGUUGCAAAAUCCAAAAACAUUCUUCUCUCUUCUAUUCUUUCUUUCCCACCUAAUAACUCGAGAAGCCUAACAUUUCUAAGCUAACACUAACGCGCACAAAUAACCUAAUGGGUCCCGUUGAGUACAACGGACGUGGGGGGUGCUAAUACCUUCCCCUUGUGUAAUCGACUCCCGAACCCUGAUUUGGUUGCGACGAGCAUAAUCAUUGUCGUUCUUUCUUGGGUUUUAUCAAUAUUUCCCUUUUCCUUUUUAGGAAUAAAUAAAGUUCGGUGGCGACUAUGUUUAGUCCAUCAUGUGAGCGUGCGAUUGCGCUUUGCUAAGUCGUGCUCUCAUUUUUUGAGGUGCGACAUUGAGCAAUAAUGCUAAUGAGUGCAAGAAUAAUGUUUUGAGGUGCUUUAAGUGUGGGAAGACAUGCCACUAUGCAGUAGAUUGUAUGAGUGAUUAACCAAUUUGUUAUAAUUAUAACGAGCAUGGUCGUAUCAGUAUCAAUUGUUAGUAGUGGAAUAAGGCACAGUCUGGAGGAAGGGUCUUUACUUUGACUAAGACAUAGACUACUAGUGCUGACUGCUUGAUUUGAGGUAUAUGGUUUAUAAAUAGCAUUCCUUUGAUUGCUAAUAUUGACACAGAUGCAACACAUUCAUUUGUUUCGCUUGAUUGUGCUGAGAGGUUGGGUUUGAGAUUGUCUUCUAUGGAUGAGAGUAUGAUUGUUGAUACCCCGACUCUAGGUCUGGUAACCACUUUAUGGGUUUGUUUGAAUUAUUCGCUUACUAUUUAUGGUAAGAGUUUUGGGAUGUAUUUAGUAUGUCUACCUUUGAGGAAUCUUGAUGUUACCCUUAGAAUGAAUUGAUUGGAGUUCAACCAUGUUCAUAUCAACUCUUUAUACAAGACGAUGUCAUUUUCAGAGUUUGAUGCAAGUGAUAAGUUGUUCGUCUAUGCCAAGAAAUUGAAUGAGUUUGUGAAGGAUGAUGCUACAAUGUUUAUAAUAUUAGCUUCUAUAAAGGCUAAGAGUAAAGUUGUGACUGGUGAGUUGCUGCUGGUGUGUGAUUUUCCCGAAUUGUUUCCAGAUGAUAUCAGUGAAUUUAUGCUAGAGCAAGAAGUUGAGUUUACUAUAGACUUAGUAACUGGUACUAGUCCGGUGUCAAUGAAUCCUUAUAGAAUGUAUGCUUCAGAGUUGAGUCAAUUGAAGAAGCAACUGGAAGAUCUGCUUGAAAAGAAGCUUGUUAGAUUAAGUGUUUCGUUGUGGGGUGUGCCACUGUUGUUAGUGAAGAAGAAUGACGGUAGUAUAAGGCUAUGUGUUGACUACCGACAUCUGAAUAAGGUUUCUAUCAAGAACAGGUAUCCAUUUAUGAGGAUUAAUGAUUUUAUGGAUUAGUUGGUAGGUAUUUGUGUGUUUAGAAAGAUAGAUUUGCAUUCGGGUUAUCAUCAAAUUCGUGUGAAGCCUGAAGAUAUUCAGAAGACUGCUUUCAGAACGAGGUAUGGUCCUUACGAGUAUUUGUUCAUGCCGUUUGGGGUGUCUAAUGUGCCUGGAGUGUUCAUGGAGUACACGGAUAAAAUCUUUCAUCCGUAUUUAUACCAGUUCGUGGUUGUGUUUAUAGAUGACAUCUUGAUAUAUUCGAAGUCUAAUAAAGAGCAUAUGGAACAUCUGAGAGUUAUAUUGAAGACAUUGAAAGAGAACCAAUUGUACACAAAGUUGUCCAAAUGCGAGUUCUGCUUGCGAGAAGUGAGUUUCCUUGGCAAUGCGAUUUCUAGUGGUGGUAUAGAUGUUGAUCCAUUGAAGAUAUAUGUUGCAUUACAAUGGGAGACUCCGAAGUCUGUUACUGAAAUUAAAAGUUUUCUUGGGUUGGCUGGUUACUACAUGAAAUUCAUUGAAGGUUUUCGAAGUUAAUGUUACCUUUGACUCAGUUGACUUGAAAGGGUUAAGCCUAUGUUUGGGAUGUGAAUUAUGAAGAGAGUUUCCAAGAACUCAAGAAGAAGUUGACGUCUACUUUAGUUUUGAUUUUUACGAAUCCAAGUGAGCCAUUCAUUAUAUAUUCUUAUGCUUCAAAUAUUGUUCUAGGAGGUGUGUUGAUGCAUAAUGGUUAGGUUGUGGCUUACGGAUCUCGAUAGUUGAGAGUUCAUGAAAGGAAUUAUGCAUGAUGUUGAGUUAGCAACUAUGAUGUUCGUGUUGAAGAUAUGAAGACAUUAUUUGUUUGACUCCAGAUUUGAGGUGUUCAGUGAUCACAAGAGUUUGAAGUAUUUAUUUGAUCAAAAGGAAUUGAAUAUGAUGUAUAAGGCUCUAAUUUAUAAAAGAUUAUUAUUUUGGAUUGAGUUAUUAUCCGAAUAAAUCUAACAUUGUAGCUGAUGCAUUGAGUAUGAAGUUAUUGCAUAUGUCAACGUUGAUGGUUCGAGAGUUAGAAUUGACUGAGCAGUUAAGAGACAUGAGUUUGAUAUGUGAAAAGGCUCGUAAUAGUGUGAAGUUGGGUAUGUUGAAGAUGAUCAGUGGCAUCCUUAAAGAUAUCAUAGAGGGUCAUAAGGUAGAUGUGGGAUUGGUUAACUAAGUUAUGUUAAUAAAUCAAGGCAAGGGAGGUGACUUCAAAAUUGUUGAGAAUGGUAUGAUAAGGUUCAGAGACAGGGUUAUGUACCUGAUGUGCCAAAGCUUAAGAAGAUUAUUCUCUAGGAAGGUCAUAAAAUUGGUUUGAGUAUUCAUCCUGGUGCCAUUAAGAUGUAUCAAGACUUGAAGAAAUUAUUUUGGUGGCCAUGAAUGAGGAAGGAAGUAAGUGAGUUUGUGUAUGUUUGUUUGACUUGCCAGAAGUUGUAGAUUGAACAUCAGAAGUCGUUGGGUAUGAUGCAACCGUUAGUAUUCCAUAGUGGAAGUGGGAUAACAUUUCUAUGAAUUUUGUUACAAGUCUUCCAAGGAUGACGAAGAGAUGUGAUUCCAUUUGGGUGAUUGUUGAUAGGCUGACUAAAUUGGCUCAUUUCAUAUCGAUUAUGAUCAAUUAUACUUUGCAGAAUUUAUUUGAGUUGUAUAUUGAGAAAAUUGUUAGCCUGCAUGGUAUUCCGUCGAGCAUUGUGUCAUAUAAAGAUCUGAGGUUCACGUUGAGGUUUUGGCAGAGUUUGCAAGAAGCUUUGGGUACUAAGCUGAAGUUAAGUUUCGCUUAUCACCCAUAGACUGAUGGGCAAACAGAAAGGGUUAUCCAAUCCUUGGAGGAUCUGUUGAGGGCUUGUGUUCUAGAAUAAGGAGGUGCUUGGGAUAACUACUUCCCUCUAAUUGAGUUCACUUAAAAUAACAAUUUCCACUCAGGUAUUGGGAUUGUCCUGUUUGAGGAGUUAUAUGGUAUGAGGUGUAUGACACCUUUGUGUUGGUAUGAGUCUGGAGAGAGUAUGGUGAUUGGACAUGAGAUUGUGCAACAAACUUAUAAGAAGAUCAAGAUGAUCCAAGAGAAGAUGAAAGCUUCACAGAGUCACCAUAAGAGUUACCAUGAUAAGAGGAGGAAAACACUUGAGGUCCAAGAGUGAGACCAUAUGUUUUUGAGAGUUACUCAAAUAACCAGUGUUGGCUGAGCUUUGAAGUCUCGAAAGCUUACGCCAUAUUUUGUUGGUCCAUACCAUAUCUUGUAGAGGAUAGGAGAGUUCGCAUAUUGGAUUGCCUUUCCACUACCACUUGCUAAUCUUCAUGAUGUGUUUCAUGUGUCUCAGUUGAGGAGAUACAUUUAAGAUAUGUCUCAUGUGAUCCAAGUGGAUGAUAUACAGGUGAGAGAGAGAACCUGAUUAUUGAAGUAUCACCCAUGUGAAUAGAGGAUCGGGAAGUGAAGCAAUUGCAUGGUAAUGAGAUUGCCUUGGUGAAGGUAGUGUGGGGAAGACCAGCGGGUGGAAGCAUAACUUGGGAGAUGGGGAGCCAGAUGAGAGAGUCCUAUCCAACUUUGUUUCCUUCAGGUAAUUUUCGAGGGCAAAUUUUUUUCUAAGUGGGGGAGAGUUGUAACACCUCAAAUUUGAUUAAAUGAUUUAAUUGAAUUAUUGGGAUUUAUUUAAUUUAAUUGUUUGAUCAUAGUGUGCAUUUAAAUAAAUAAUAUGAUCUUAUGUGUUGACGAGGUGUAGUGGAAUUAGUAGGGUGUGGUGAGAACAUAUAAUAAAUCGAUUAAUAAUUAGAAUAAUCAGAAUUUUAAGUAUUAUUAUUAAUAAAAUAAGAAAUUGGAGAAAAAUAAGAGUUAGUAGAGAAAUAAGGGGUAAUGAGGGAAUUUAGAGAACCACUUGGGGAUAAUGAGGGAAAAACCUAAAUGGGAGGAUUUAACUUAUUUUUAUAAAUAGAGGGAUAAGAGAAUUGAGAUAGUUUAUAGUACAUGAAGACAAAAGUUGGAGAAAAAGGGAGAAACACAAAGCUAGGGUUUGAGAGAAGAAUUCCUUAGAAGUUGAUGUUGUUUUGCUGGAAAAUCAAGAUAAUGGGGGGAUAAAGGGCUAUUAAUUGUGUAUUGAUGACGGGGGUAGAGAAUGAGAAGUCCUUACUCUCAUUAGGAUUCUAGGGUUUUCUUUGAUGAUUCAUUAUAAUAUGGAAAUCUGUAAAAUUAUUGGUUGAUUGUGUGUCUCUAUGUAUGAACCGUCAUGAUUAUGUAUCUAUAAAUUUCUACCAUUGAUGAAUGCUUGAAUGCUUGAGUGUACCCAUGAAUAAUGAUGAGAAUAAUUGCUGAUUUUACUGAUGAGUUAUUAUAGAUUGUGAUGCUAUAGAUGUUUUAUGUUGAUGAUCAUGAUAAUAUGAUUCACUGUCAGUUUAUGUUUUGGGUCUGUUGAAUUUAUGUGGAUCGAUUGGGAUAGUGAAUGGAAGCUAGGGGAUGAAGGGAUUACUGAAAGUAAUGAAAAAUUAAGUUUAUGGGGAAAAUUACCUAGAUCAAUCGAUUGGUCCAGGGGUGUAAUUGAUUGGUUCAUCACAAAUAAGAAAGAAAAUUUUGACAGAAACUUGAGAGCAAACGAUUGGCCAAACCAUGUAAUCGAUUGUUCCAUUGAAAAAAUUGAAAUAAAAUGAAGGGAAAAUUCUUUGGUUGGAAGGUGUAAUCGAUUGGUCCAUCAAAAAUUCGAAAAAAUUGAAGUUAGUGGGCUUGGGAUAAUCGAUUGAUCCCUUGGAGCAAUCAAUUAGUCCAUGUUUCGGUUGCUUGAUCCACUUGUCAAUUUUGGCUAUAACUUUUGUUUAGUAAGUCCAAAUGAGACGUUGUUUGAAGCGUUGGAAAGCUAACGCGUAGAGAUACCUCAAGGUGCUACUUAGUGAACUGUUUGAUUUAUAAUCAUAUGCCUUAUGUGGCAAUGUUUAUGCUGACUUUUGUGAUAGGUUAGCGAAUUGUUAUGUUUAUAUAAUGUUGUGUUGUUAUUUUGGUGAAGUAACAUGAAUGAAUGUCUAUGAAGUUACAUUUGUUGAGUUUCUACUGUUUAUGUUGUUUAUUGAUGUUGUAAUAUUGAUUAAUUAUUGUGCAUGAUAAAUGAUGUGUUGCAUAAAUGGUGAUAUGUGCAUGGUGAUCCUUUUGGUGAACCUUGUGGUGGUAAUGCAUGUUGUUGAGAGUCAUACAUCAUGGUGUACGAAUUUAGGUCAAGUUUUUACGUGCUCCGAUCUUAUGGCGGGGAUCGAGAGUCAGUAGUCGGUUUUAUAUGGGAACUGGUGAAACAUUACAUAUGAUGAUGGUAAUGAUUUGGUGAUCGAGAGUCAGUAGUCGGUUUUAUAUGGGAACUGGUGAAACAUUACAUAUGAUGAUGGUAAUGAUUUGGUGUGCUUCGAUCCUAAGGCGGGGAUAAAGAGCAAGAUGAACCCGAGUGUUCAUGAAUGGUACCGCAUGCAUAAUGAGUCUGUUGUGGAGUACAUUUUCAUAAAUGAUUGCAUAUAUUAUUGAUUGUUCAUGAUGUUGUUGUGAUGGGCGUGAGACUAUGUAGUUGUUGAUUGAGUAAUGAAUGUGUGCUUGUUGUAUGUUCUCUAUUUUAUCAUUCUUUACAUUGUUUAUAUUAUUAUUAUUAUUAUUUUCUCACCACCUUUGCUUUCAUGUUGUCCACCAUUGACAUCUUACAGAUACUCAGAAGUAGAGUUUACUGAUGUAAGUGGAAGUUAGCUCUUGGAGUUAAUUAAUUUAAUUUCAUCGUUGUUUAUAAGUCUUGUUCUGAUCUUCUAACAUCGAGGUUGGGAAUAUUUUUUUGCUUGUUAUGUUUUGUUGGAGUUUAACUGUUUUAUUUGAUUCAUGUUGAACAUGAUAACUCAAUAUUUUGAUAGAUGCUUAUAUAGUUUUUGAAGUUGAGACUAAGUGUCUAAGUUAUGAUGUUCUAUUUAAUUAAAACAAGAUCGAUACUGCCGCAAUGAUACCAUAAGUGAAGGUGAGCGUGCGAUGACAGGUGUUGUCUGACGUUGAUAUUUCCUAUGCAUGUUUGUUAAAUGUUUGAUUUAUUAAAGGAUUUGUCAUUAGUGACACCUUAUAUUGUAGUGUAAAGCUUAAUAUAUAUAUAUAUAUGUAUCAGGGUUUAUGGUGUUACAUAUGACAUUCUGCUUUAAUGUGUCCAAAGCCUUCACACUCAAAAUAUUGAGUACCCUAUCAUCAUUGGGCUUGUCUUCACUUUUGCUUUUGAUCUAGAGACUUGUCCUCCACUUUUUAUUUAGAUAUUUCAAGGAAUUGUUGAACCUAUUACUCAGGAGAGCUAUGUCAUCUGACACAUUCUCUUCUAUGUCCCAUUGACUUUCUUCAGUAUGGGAAUCAAAAGUUAUCCCUUUGUUUUUCUUUUCAUGCCUUUCAUUGAUAGAUAUCUCAAAGGUUUGCAGGAAACCAAUGAGUUCAUCAACCUUUAUACUGCUAAGGUCUUGAGCUUAUUCAAUAUCAAUCACUUUCCUAUCAAACCUCUUAGGUAAUAAUCUGAGAUUUUUUAGCAAACUUUUCUUCAGACAUCUUUUCACCUAAGGCAAAGGAAGUGUUGGAAAUAUCAUGCAAUUUGAUAUGGAAUUCAUAGAUAAAUUCAUCUUCAUUAAAAUCCGAAUUAAUCUUUAUCUAGCUGUCAAAUAAAUCACCUAAUCACAUUGCUAAGUCAAUUAACAAUAAAAUAGAAUUGAAUCUUCUCAAAAGAUUAAUUCAAAAUGCAACAAUCUGGUGCCUGUUGAGCAAAGCCCAGAUGUGGUACCAACAUGUGUCCCUUAUACAACUUAAACAAGCUAGACCAAUUUUGAACACUUAGACACUUCUCCAUGUUGUUAUUUUGCUAAGUGCAACCAAUCCAGUGAGUCAUUCCAAUAAGAACUACAAUUUUUGUAUCUCUAUUGUUAUUUAUUUUUCCUCAUUUUUGAUAAUGGAAAAUAGGGGAUAAGUAUACUCUCAUAGGGAAUAUCUUCAUUAUUUUUUAAGGGAAAUUAAAACUCCCCUUUCUUUUCUUCUUCUCUAACCAUCAUAUUAAGCCACCUCCCAAGAUAUGUUUUGUCAUCACUAAAAAGGGGUAGAACGUGGUUCUAUGUUUUAAUAAGAUUUGAUUAUUGAAUUAACAAGAUAAUAUAUUAUGAACAUCAUCAAAUAAUGAAAUGGAGUAAAAAGCGUGACAUAAUUUUUUUGAUGAUUGAUUCAACAAGAUCAAAUACUAUGCACAUCAUAAAGGAAUUGAAUGAGUCUUAAAACACAUAUUACAUCUGAAGCAUAAGUAAUUUUAUCUUACUAGGAUCAUACUAUGAAAUAAUGGGUAACUCUUUUAAUACUAAAAUAUCUACACACUCUGACAAAAUUUGUUUUUCAACUUCACCUUUUUUGAAACUAUUUAGAAAACUUCUUUGGAAAAGCCAAUUCUUUUUAACUUAGCAUAAUCAAUUAUGGUGUAUAGACAAUCGAUUAUGAAAUAUUAUUUUUUCUCUUUAAUCGAUUAUGAAAUAUUAUUUUUUCUCUUUAAUCGAUUAUGAAAUAUUAUUUGUUCUCUUUAAUCGAUUAUGGUUGUGGUAUAAUCAAUUAUGAGAUGUAUCUCGUUGAAUAAUUGAUUAUGGAUUGUGCAUAAUUGAUUAUGGUACAAAUUUGAGCAAAACUUUCAUAAAAUUUCUUCGCAUAAUCGUUUGUAGUCUUGUCAGAAUCAAUUAUGAAUUGAUUUUUAAUUUCUUUCAUUAUUUCUUUUUUGUGAAUCCUUAUGUUUGAUCUACUAUAUAAAAAGUUCCCAUGCUCUUCUGAAAAUACAAUUGCAAUUUGAAAACCUUUCAAAAAUCUUCUCUUAUUCUUUCACUUUGUUGUAUAAUUUUUAUACAAUUAAAAUAUAUAUUUUAGUUUUGAGAGAGAAAUCACAGUAUAGAUAAAUCCGUGAACAUCUAAUAAAAGUUUGUAUAAAGGUUGUAAGAUAAAUCCGUGAUAAAAAAUUGAUGUAAAAGUUGCAAGUUGAACACGUGUUAAAAGUUUGGACUAAAAGUUGUAAGUUGAACUCAUGAUAAAAGCUGGAUGUAAAAACUACAAGAUGAACUUGUCCUAAAAACUUGGUUGAUAGAGAAAAAUCUCAAGAUGCGAUUCUUGAGGACUAAAUGCAGGCCUCAUAGUUUUGGAUUCAACAAGUUUAAAUCUAGUGUGCAAUUUUCUUUAUCCCUAAUCUCUUUUAUUUAUUUUGUUCGUUAUCUAUCAUCUUUUCCUUCUUUUUUACCUUCUUCUUAAAACAUAACUUGAAAAUUUGUUUUAAUCUUAACUCUUUCAAAAAAAAAAUUAAAUCACAAUUCACCCUUUUAUAUUUAAAGUCUCUUGAUCAAUAAGGGAAAUCAGAUUAUAACUCUCAGUAUAAAAAUUAAUCAUCAAGAAAAAGGAUGAUUUCAAAUAAUUUUUUAAGUUUGGACUUUUUAUAAUCAGACCCACACCUUUUAAUGACCAUUCUAUAAAAAUUCUAUAAACAUAUUUCAUGGUUAAAAAUCCGUAGUCUAAACAAUUCAGCCGCAAUUUUUUCAUAUACACAUCUAUAAUUUUUCAAUUUUUCGUUGUUGUCUAAAUUCAUUUUUAUUGUUAUUAUUUUGUUUAAUUAAUUGUUUUCCCUCUUAAUAAGCCAUGAUGCAUUUAACCACAAGUCCAAUAAAAAAAUCCUAAGCCAUUUGAUUGUUUAAUUGUUGUCCAUAAAAUGUAAGGUUGAACACUUAAACAAGAAUGAGACAGUUGUCAGUCCCUCAAAAUUUAAAAGGUAUUGUUCAUAAUCAUGUCAUAAUAUAUAAAAUAUGCUAUAAAUUAUUAUCUAUGAUUUGUUAAAAUUCUUCUUUCACAUGUUCACAUAAACUUAAUCUGUAAUUUAUCAUAUUGUUAAGUUUUAUUUAACCUUUUUAAAAGUCUAAUAUGAUAUCUAACUUAUUUAAAAAACUAUUCAUAUCAACAAACUUUAAAAAAAAAUAGUAUAACCAAAGUUCAAAAAAUAAAAGACUUUUUCCGUCCAAAGUGUCCAAAGUUCAAAGUGAUCAUAUUCACAUAAAGUGAAUAAAUUAGAUUCAUAAUCACAUCUUAUAUAUACACAGUCCAAUGAUUUUUUUCUCUAUUCUAUAGUUAGUGUAAACAUGUAAAUGUAACUUUGUCACACACUCCACUCUCCAUGUACCUUAAAAACUUGUCCCAUUCAACCAAACCUUCAAAUUCACACAAAGUUAUAACUUUUGUUAAAAGGAGUUGGAAAUACAGACAACAAUAGAUCAUCAUUUUGACUCUCUAUUAUCGUAGGAUUCUCUCUUGCAACAGUUGUGAUAUUAUUAUGCCUUUGAGGUGAUCUUGGUGGAGAAGCAUAGAAGGUAGAAGCUUCUAGAACCUCUCUUCGAACACUUGCUAUCUCCUCCGACAUUCUUUGCGCGCGAAGCGCUGUUAGGUAUAAACCAGCAGCUAAGAAGACUGUUGUUAAGCCAAACACUCCUGCAGCUGAGAACAAACCUUCUCUUAUGGUGUAGCAACCUGUUCUUGGCUUAGACCAGUUUUUUAAAUGGCCUGAUUCUACACUUAGUCCUGCUAAUAGUAAAACCUCCGCAACCGCAAAGCAAAUCCUACGACAUAAAAAAACUGUUAAAUUAUGUUAUCAGACAUUUCGUAUUGAAGGUGUGUCUGGUGUCUGAUGCCACACACCAGACACGCGUAGAUAUAUAUAUAUAUUUAUCUUACCAAGUUGCGAUGAAGAAAAAACCAGCCAACCAUGUUAAGGAUUUGGCGGAAGGAGAAUCAGGAUCCCAAUUAAGUAAAGAAGGUGAUGAUUUACUCACUGCUAUUAACAUGUAAGUAUGCUCCAUAACCAAAGCAAUUGCUAAUCCAACAAAAGCAGCGGCAGCACAUAACAAAGGAACUUUGCCAUUACUAUUGUAAACACAUACCGAUUUAUUUCCGUUUUCUUUUCCGUCUCUAUUUAUCCAUGUCACCUAUCAUAUCAACCGUGUCAAAUUAUACGAAUAGUUUUUAAUUUAACGAAUAGAAACGACAAGAACUGAAUUCCUAUAAAAUAUUGUACCUCAGAACGUGUGGCUUCGGCUAUGAGACAUAAGAUGAAACAUAAUAAGCCUAAUAGAAUUGUGACGACCAUAAAAAAAGCCGCUGUCUUGCUACUCAAAUCGGUUUUGCUUCUUUUUGGUUCAAGGUCUGCAUGUGUAACUGCCAUUUUCUAUUUUUGAGAGCUCACACAAGAAAGAAAGAGAGAGAGAGUUUCUAAGAGAGAAAAGAAGAAGAAGAAGAAGAAGAAGAAGAGGGAAUGGAAUUUUUAGUUCAAAUGGAAUGAAUGUGAAAAAGAAGGAAGAGUAAUUCUAGAAUUGCUUGGAGCAAAGGUUGCUUAAAGGCUAGACAUUCCCUUCCAACGUGUGAGAUUUAAUACUAAGAAGUAUAUCACAAAGGCUAUUGUUAAUUAGCACCAUAAAUUUAUCUCUGUGAUGUUAUUAUGAGUGAUGAAGAUAAAGCUAAUGCUAUUGUGUUAUGACAAAGCAUAUACGUUUACAUUAAGACACUUUCACUCAUAAAGUUAAGUGUGCCUUUCAGUUAAUUCAGUUUUCUUAAUCACAAGUAGGUAAAGUAGUUUUUGCAUAAGGUAGUACAACUACAUGAACCUAAGCCAAUGGUAAAGGCCCUUUAAAUAGUUUAUUGUAAAAUCAAUUAACACAAAAAUGGAAAUUCAAAAUAAAUAAUGAAUAAAGUAAAUAACGAAUGCUAUAUUUAUUUAUUUUGGAUUGUUCGCAAGGCUCAAAGUAAAAGACUCGAGAGUGUUAUCAAGUGAAAGAGCGCAUAUAAUAGGCGGUCUCUCAUUCCAUCAAAAGAAUAUGAUUCUCUGACUCAUACAUGUUGAUUACUGCGUGAUUAGAUCAACUCAAUUAUUAUCCGAUUAUAUCCAACAAACUCCCUCCCGUACAACACACAUACACGGUUUUAACCGCUCAUAUUAUAUAAGGAAGAAAAUGCGUCUUUUUCAGAUAUUCAAAUUCAUUCUCAUCUUUACAUUAUUUAUUAUUCUAUCACUUACUUAAACGUUGAUGUAUUAAUCUUGCCUGUCAUCUUCUCCAACGCACUGCAAAUUUGAUUCAUCAAUCCAAGAUCUCGUCUCACCCGUCAUUUCAGGUUUCUAAGAAGGAUGGAGGAGCCACGCGUCGCUACGCUACCUCGAUUUUCCUAUCAUCUUUUGCGUCUAUGAUUAUACUGAAUACUUUUCUACAAAUUACAAAAGCAUUUCAAUUUCGUGUGAUUAUAUUAAUUUCUACUUAUGAUGUUUUCUUUAUGGCUCUUCCUCUAAAGGAAAGGAGAACAAAAAAGUUGAACAGUAUGGUGAAGUAAAAAGAUGCUUAAUAAACAAGACUUUCUAAACAAGGAAGAGGAGAAAUCCAAGGUAAAAGAAAAGGAAUAAAAAGUGUAAAAUAUUAGAAAGAGAAUGAAUUCUGUGCUUGAGACUUGGGGCAAAGCAUUAUAAGAGAUGAACGGUUAUCAGUAUUCUCUAGACUAGAGUUGAAUAUUCAAAAAAAGUGUUAUUCUGAUGUGGAAAAGUUUAAGAAUGAGAGGGACAAAAUUUAUCUAUGGCAGCCAAUAGACACUAUACCAAUGGAUUGUCACAAAAAUAAUAUAUAAUUCAUACAAUUGUUUAUGCAUAUGUUGUGCAUGCUAAUUGCUAAAAUAUUGGACUAUCUAAAAUGCCUUGGUUUUUUAUUUUAAACCUGUAAAUUUGGCUUAGAUUAAACUGUUGGAUCCCACCUAAUAAUACUCAUAAUCUAGCUACUUCUAUAAAAGUUUUCAAAUUGCAUGUCAUUGUCCUAACAUUUUGUAUGGCCCAUUUACAAGUCUUCUAAUCACAUAAUGCAACUUGUGUCAUGACACUUUGUCUAAAUAAUGAAAUACCAAAUAAAUAGGAUCUGGUAAUACACAUACAUACUUCACUGGUUCACUGAAGUUAAAAAAUUGAUACAUUCAUGCCUUCAACAUCAAAUUGUCUAUAUUAAAAGUUUAAUAUUUUUAUUUUAAAAUAAUUAAAAAUUACAUUAAAUUUUAAAUCAUGAUUUGAUAAAUCUAACGCGUCAACAUAGAGAGAGGAGAGGAAAGUAUGCAUUUUGAUCCAAAUAAAAAAGAAUUUUUCAUGUUUUAUGUGUUUAUGUGCAUAUUUAUGAAAAAGCCAUUGCUAAAAUUUUAAUUAUUCCAAAUUAACCGUAAUUUUUUUUAUAAAUCAUAAAUUAGAUGAUUUAAUUAACAAUAUCAUUUUAAUUAAAUUAUUAGGAUGUUACACUCUACCCUUCUUAAAAAAAAUUGUCCUUAAAAUAAAUAUUAAAAAAAUCUAAAAUAUGUGUAUAUGGUUAGCUAACAUCUUUGACUCGGGCUCUCAGUUGAGCUUUCCUAAUGGAGAUCCUUCUCAUAUUACCUUCACAUAGAGGACAAGAUUUGACUUUAGUUCCACAUUCUCAAGAUUUAAAGGUAGGAAAAAGUCUAGGGUGUACUUCUUGAGUUGUAAUACAUGAGACACAUCAAGUAGUCAUGAUAAAGUUAGGAGUUGUCAUAUUGCAAUGCUCCUAAUUUUGAUUUAGGACGUUACUUAUAAAAAGUUAUAUUUACUUUUAAAACACUAUUCUUUUUAUACAAUUAAUAUUGUUCUUGGUUAUUUUAGGUAAAAUAACAUGGAUAAAAUAAGAUGAAUUUGUGAAGAGGCAAUAUGUGGAAGAUGAUAUUCUAGCAUGUGCGUAACAUCUGUCCUCAAUCUGGAAGACAAAUUCAAUAGUAAAUUUGAGUGUAUUUUUUAUUGAUUUCAAGAAGAUUUGUCAAUUAUGUUUUGUAUCUUUUAGCAUUGUGCUAUUAAACAAGAUUGACUAAAAAGAUUGUUCAAGAACAAAUCAAAUUGAAUGAGAUCAAAUCUCUUAGUGGACAUUAAUAAAUAAACAAAUCAAAUAUGCAUCUAUUUUAAAUCUCCAUCAAAUCAAAUAUAUUUGCAUUUAAUUCAAUUGUCCGGGGCCAACAAAUGGUUUGCUAUAUAAGAAGACUUAUUUCUAAUGAAAAAAGGACACACAAGUAUUGAAGAUCUAGGGUGUUAGGAUUUGUUCUUUGAGUAUUUAUAUUCUUCUUGUUUAUUGUAAACCUCUAAAGAAGUAUAAUCUAAAUAUUCAAGGCAUAGAAGUUGAUUGUUAGUUGAGUUGUAAUUCAACAUCUUUAAUAUGUUAAAAGCAUAAAUCACUAGGGUAGUGAUUAAGAGAAAGUGAGAGGAGUCUCGUAUUUAAGGGGAGCCCUAAAUAGAAAGACACAAGUAGUAUUAGAAAGUAAGCAGUGAAUAAGGUUUGUUCAUCUAAGACUAAUUGUACUAAUACUAUUGAGAGUGAAUUUUCUUUCUUGGGCUGGAAAUCCCCCAGACAUAGGUGAUGUUGCAUUGAAAUGAAUUAAUAAUCCUCUUGUGUUCUUUAUUGCUUUCUCUUUUAAAUUUUUUAGUUUGUGAUAAUCUAUAUUAAACUAUUUUCUGUGGUACACAUUGUCUAAGACAUUAUGUCCAACAUGUGUCAUGUGUAGAACAUAAUUUCAAUUAGAAUUACAAGUUUGAAAAGAUAUGUGAUUUAUAGUAAAAACAAAUAAGUUCGGUAAAAGUCCAAUUUCCUCCCUGCGAUCACAUAAUAUAUACCAUUCCUGCUUUAAAUCGUCCAUUUAAUUGGUACCUAUAAUGUUUAGUGUAAGAGGUCAACUUCUAUAAUCUACAACCAUACAAAACUAAAUAAAAUAAAUAAUUAAAAAUCAAAAAAAUAUGAAGAAAUUUUUAUUCAAAUAAAUAUCUAAAAUAACCCACUUUUCCACGUAUUUCCCAAAGUAACUCACUUUCAAACAAAACAAAAAUUCUCAAAACAAAGGAGGCGCCAAUCCGAUCGACGCUUGUAUACAACACAUAAGAGGAGAUGUCAAUCCAAUUAACGAUAAUGUACAAACACGUAGGAGAGAGAAUGUACUCUCUCUUAUAUGUUUGCACACUAUCGUCAAUUGAAUUGACACCUUCUUUUAUGUGUUGUACACAGACGUCAAUUAAUUGGCGUUUCCUUUAUGUUAAUUUUUUUUUUAUUUGAAAGUGGAUUAUUUUUGGAAAUAAGUGAAAAAAAUGUGUUAGUUUGGGUAUUUAUUUAAAAAAAUGAGUUAUUUAGAUAAAAAUUUCAAAUAUGAAUACAUAAAUUUAUUUGUCAAAAAUGAAUUAAAUAUAAGAUUUUUUUACCCAAAUACCCCUAAUUUUCAAAAAAAAUCCCCAAAUAAUCCUGAUUUCAAAAAAAAUCCCAAACUACCACACUUUUAAGAGGAGGCACCAGACCAAUUGGCGCCAACUCCUAUAGUUAGAGAGGAGGCGUCAAUUGGAUUGGUUAGGGCACAUGGUGCUACCAAUCCAAUUGGCACCCAUGUGUUACUUUUGAGAGGAGGCGCCAAUUGGUCUGGCGCCUCAGUGCGAAGUGCAAUUUUUUUGGUUAUAAGUAGAUGUGUUGCGUAAAUUAUUUUUUCACAUCUCAUUUCAUCAUUUUGAAAACAUGUUUGGUGUUCGUCACCGCUAUGGAAAAGUGAUUUAUUUGAGAGACAAACCUCAGAUGUUGAUGCUCUUCUAGAACAUCACUACUUUCGAUCAACUGAAGAGGGAGUUGGUUCGUUGGUUAGAUGGAAAAAUACCAGAAGGGGAAAAAAUUAGAAGUAUUGAGAGACUCGACAAUAUUUUUGGUUGGGUGCAAAUAAAAAAUGAUAAGGAUGCUAGAGAAAUGAUGUUUGGACGACAUGACAUCAAUUUGAUUGUUGUAAUCAGUUAGAAAUAUUUUGUUUUAAGUUUGCUUAUGUUGUAGUGAUGUUUGUUGUGAACCUUGUUGUAACAAAAAGUUAAUGAUAUAUAAAAAUUGAAGGUUACAAAAAUCCAAUGUUACAAAAAGAUUAUGACUCAGAUGUUGAUUUAAGUUUGCUUAUGUUGUAGUGAUGUUUGUUGUGAACCUUGUUGUAACAAAAAGUUAAUGAUAUAUAAAAAUUGAAGGUUACAAAAAUCCAAUGUUACAAAAAGAUUAUGACUCAGAUGUUGCUCAUCGAUUGGGACAAUUAUUCUUAUUGUGUUCUGGUUGACGAUAUAUAUUACAUAGUCUUAUCAUGUUAUCUGUCGUAUCCAUUCCUGUUCUAAUACGCGUGUUAUUUGGUCGUCUUUUUUUCUUUCUACGCAUCUCGUCGUUGGGCCAAACUAUGUCACCUUCAUAUGGAGGCCAAUAUUCCUCCAUUGGUAGCACUGAGAAGCUUUUGUUAUACACAUUCAUGACGGUAAUGGUCUUGUAAACAUCAGACAGAUGGUUGUAGGCAUCCUGACGAGUAUGUGCGCAUGCCCCAAUGACAUGGGAACAAGGAGUGCAAAAGGCCUGGAACUUUCCACAGUCGCACCAACUUCUAUUUAGUUGUCAGCAUGGGAUAAAUUUGGUCUCCCCUCAUUGUGGUCCAUUGUUUCCUGUACGCUGAAAUUUUGGCAAUGACGGUCAAAGUCUGUUACCAUGUGUGUGCUAGCUUUGAUGCUCUCCUCUUUCAUCAUUUUCAUGCAACACUCACUGAAUAUUUUCCCAGACAUUGACACCUCACUCCAUCUUUCACCUCUGGUUGCGAAGGUAGAAAGCCAACCUAUAAUAGGUUGAUCUGACCAAGGCAGUUAUUGGCAGAUUUCUAAUGCCUUUGAAUACGUCGUUCAUGCAUUCCACAAGGUUUGUUGUCACGUGGCCCCAUCGACAACCUCCGUUAAAUGCCCUUGUCCACUACUCUACUAGUAUGUUAUCCAUCUAUCUUCCUGCAUCUUCAUUAGACAGUCUAAUUUCAUCACGGUAAUAUUGAAAUGACGGCUGAAGUUUUGUGCGAAGGUUCUUAUCUUUGAUUUCGCACAUGAAGUUUUGUGCGAUAUGUCUAAUGUAAUAGACAUGGGUAGAAGGAGGAUCAUGUCAUCCAUUGUCAUGGUUAUUGUAAGCACUCUCAAUGGCAGCAUGUCUAUCAGAAAUCAAACAGAGAUUGACUUGUCGAGUCAUAUGUGUUCUGAGAUGUCGAAGAAAGAAACCCUAAGCACCACCAGAUGUAAGAAAUUUGAAUUUCUCUUGAUCGUAAGUCGGAUGGUAUUGGUGUUUCGAAAAAAAACCCGUAUAACUCAGACUCAUAUGUCUCACCAUUGUAGUGAACAUUGACACUAUAUUUUGGUGAAGAUGACAUUGUAAUAUUUCUUGUGCAGAUGAAAAUUAAUUUCCUGUUGCAGAUGAAUGUGUGUUGAUUGUUGGAUGUAGAUAGUAAGACACUUAAAUAGGUAAGUGAUGUGUCUAACAUGCAAGCAAGUCCAAAGUGAUGUGUCAAAUAUGCAAGCAACUCAGACUCAUGUGUCAAACAUGCAAGUUAGACGGAAGUGAUAUAUUCAGCAUGCAAGAGAGAGGAAAGCCACGUUUCACACAUGCAAGCCCUAACUCCAAAUGAAUUGGCGCUUUCUUUCAAUGCUUACACAUGCGCGUCAGUCCAUUUGGCGACACCAUGUCUUGCAUGCAGACUUCGUAACCAAACAUGCAGAGCCAUGCAUGCGCCAUGCUAGGUAUAGAUGUGUCAUGCAUGAGCCUAGGGAGGCGCCAAUUUGAUUGGCGCUAGCAUGUAGCAAAUGCACAUGGGCGCCAAUUCAUUUGGCUAGCACAUGCAAUCACAUUUUUCCAAGCUUCCACGCUUUUGGAUGUCACACCUUAUAAAUAGGAAAUAGACUCUCACAUUUAUCCCACACCAACACUCACUACUUCCUCAACAACAUCAAAUAUUUCAUCUGCAACAACCUCUUUCAUUUGCACCAACCUCUUUCAUUUGCACCAACCUCUUUCAUCUCCGACAAGAUGUCUAUCCUCAUAAUGGAUGAAUCGCACAGAGGAACAGUUGCAAACAUAUCAACUUAUGUAAGCGCUUAGUUCUUUUGUUAUUUAUCUAGAAUACCUUUUAAUAACAUAUCAACUUAGUAACGUGUUUUGUUGUUUCCUUUAUAGGAUGUUUCAAUGUUCCGUACUCGGGUCCACGAAUAUGUACACAUGGACCCGAUGAUUCAACCGUAUGUCGAACUCGCCGGUUUUGGACAUAUAAGCAAAAUAAUGUCUUGGUCGGUGGAUAAUAAAUUCAUUCUUGCGUUAUGUGAAAGAUGGCUUCCCGAGACACACACAUUCUGGUUUUCAACCGGUGAGUGUACCGUGACAUUAGAAGACGUCUACAAGCUAUUGGGACUACCUAUCGAAGGUAAAGCUGUAAAUAGUAAAACCAACUAUGCGGAUUCAAUUUGUAUGGACCUCUUGAAUGUUUAUUUGUUAGAUGAUAACUCAAGAGGUCAAGGUAUACUUCUUUCAUGCCUUAAGGCAUACUAUAACAACUUACAUUUAGAUGAGCAUUCUAUCGAAGAGGCUCGAAUAAUAAAAACUAGGUGUUACAUUAUGUUUUUAAUUGGUUCUUUUUUAUUUCCCAAAGGUAGUGUUUCUAGUAUGCACGUUAUGUAUUUACCUUUACUAAGACAUGUAGAUAAAAUAGAAAGUUACAGUUGGGGAUCCGCUUGUCUGGCCUAUCUUUAUAGCUCUUUGUAUAAAAAUUCACACAAAGCCACAUCUACCUUUUCUGGAUGUGCUGUUUUGCUCCAAGCACGGGGUUGGUCAAGACUAUCGUCCCUAGCGCCCGUCAACAACAACCAUUUCACAUUCCUAUAUGCACAAAAGUAAGUGGUUUAAAAUGCUAUAUAUUUACUUACUUUACCGAUUAUUAUCUCUAACUAAUAUUUUUACCUUUAUGGUACAGAUGGUCGGCACGUGGUAUGAGUUAUAACAGAUGUCCUAGACAUUGUAUUACCUAGUAUCGCAAUCUCUUGGACCACCUUCGACCGACAGAUGUAUGGAUAAUAACCUAAUUAUUUCGUAAUAAUUUUUUAAUUUCUUCUACCAAGUUUAUAACCUAACAUACGUUCACAUUUCAGUUCAUUUGACGUCCAUACCUAAAUUUGGAUCAUGACCAUGAAAUCAACGAAGAAGACGCGGCCGUAUGGACUGCAUGCACACCAAUCAUAAGAUUCAUCACUGUGGAGAUGCACAAUAGUGAUUGUAAUACCCCAAAUUUUACCCUCAGAUUAGUCGAUUCAUGUCGCAUGUCAUCUCAUUUUCGCAUCAGCUAACUAUUAACGGGUUGUGUAGUUUUGUUUCGUUUUGCAGAAACCGCGUCUGGUACACUUUAGUUGUUAAAGGGCAAAAUGGUCAUUUUCACGUUGUUUACUGACAGUCCUCGAAGCUAAGUUAUCAUCAGGGAUUUAUUGAAUAAUUAGGGCCUUCGCUUCCGAGUUUUUUUAUUUUAUUUUCAUUUUCUUUGAGGAUAAACAGAGAUGCACGGUAACUUUUGGCAUCAGGAUUUUUGAGAUACGGUAAUUAAUUCAACGGGCUGAGACUCUGUCGUCAAUUGAGUUCCGAGACAUUUAUUUUGUCACUUGGGUUGGAGUAUGUUUGAGACAUUAAGCUGGUUCGGUUCAAAUCGGGACAAGAUUCCAUGCGGCGGAAUUUCUGUUUUAAUCAGUCUAUUUUUCUGUUCUUCUGCUAUCUGCCAGUUAUUUUUGAAGCCAAAGCAGUAGAAAUUCUGAUUCGGAUUCGGGUUUUGAUUGUUGUUUGAUUGAGGUUUAUGGGCUGAAUUGGUUUAUGGUUGGGUAUUUUAUUCAGAGACGCAAAUUGAAUUUUAAUGCGGAAUAUAUUUCUGUUUUCACUGUUAAUCGGUUUUCUCUGCUUCCUUCCUGUUUUAAUUCGUUCAAGACUAUCAUCAAUUCUAUCAUCAAGCGCGAUUUAAUUUGGAAAUAUUGGAUUGGAACUGAAGGUUACAUCAUGUUUUAAGCAACACGGUGUGAGAUGACGAAGUUUAAUUCAUUUGGGUUUUUCUGGAAUUUAUUCAUAUUGGUUUCAUACGGUGAAGUUGGUUUUAUUAUUAAUCGUCUAAAUUUAACUGAUUAAUUUCAUUCAGAGAAUUUUGACCAAGUUGAUUUUUAAUCAGAUAUUGUUUUGGGUCGUUUGGUUGCGACAAAAUUAAAUCAUGGAAAGAAGAAUUAAACGUUGUUCUUGGGUAGAAAUGUUUGUGAAUUUUAUUCAUAAAUAAUUUUAUUACAAAAUAUAAAAGGAAAUACAUUUUGAUUUUUAUUUCUAGGUCCUAUGAUCUUCAUGCCGGUUCUUCAUGUUUCUUCAUCCGAUGUUUCCUUCCGUACCUGCACACAGACAAAGAACAGAAAAGUGGAGUAAAAAAUGUUAGAAUUUAUUUUGACACCCUCAGAAAAAUGUCAUCACUGGGUGUCGGGAGGGCACGACAAUUGCCGAAACCAACUCCCAUUCCGAUUCACGACCUCGGCAUCAACCGGUAGUAUCCGUUCUUUUCGGGACAACAGAGAAGAAGAGAAAAAGAAGUCCUGGGCCAAAAAUGAUUUUGCCGGAAAAUUGUUUCGAACCCAAACGGAUUACCCACAUGAAUCUAAAAUCCAUAUCCCUCUAUCAAGUAAAUAUAUCCAAGACAAAUCCAAAUAUCCAGAUUUCAAAGCCAACCGAAAAUCCAAAUCUGGAGCUAUGGAUCCAAGAAUAAAUAUAUCCAAGACAAAUCCAAAUAUCCAGAUUUCAAAGCCAACCGAAAAUCCAAAUCUGGAGCUAUGGAUCCAAGAAGAAUAUUUUGGCAAAUCCAAUAUCUGAAAAUAAAACGGAUAUCCAAACCAACAUCAGAAAAGAAUCAAACUCAUCCAAGAUCCGUAAAUCAUAAUUAAAUCCAAAACAAUAUCAGCCAGCAAAUCCGAAAUAAAAUCAAUAAACGUAAAAUCCGGAUCCAAAAGCACAACAAUAACAUAACAAAGCCGUUCAGUCAAAGACUCAUUAACAAUCUGUUCCGAAAAUACCUCAACAAAUCUAGCAACAUCUUCAGCGGAAAUCAUGAAAAAUCAAAGCCCACAGUGGAUUCGAGGGGGAUAUAAAUAUUAAGAGGGAUCCGCAAUCCUGGGGGGGGAAGAAAAAAGCCAGAAUCGAAGCUUCGUCGUAACGGAUCAACGUCGGGAACUCGUGGCGGCCGUGGAUCCUUCCGAUUGCCACUACCACCGGGACCCAUUACCGUCAUCGAGCAACGCCUCCGUCGCAAAACAUCAUCGGCUAACGAACCUCAACAAACGCCGUCGAUAACAAACGCGUACAGGUAGGAUUUUAUUACCGUAAAUCGUUUUGCUCUUAUGUGUGCAUUUCAGGUUUAAGAAGAAGAUGCGUAGGAUAGAAGAAAGAAACAUGGAGCAUGCAACAAUGGCCGCCGCCGGCGGUAUAAGGAUUGACAAACCCUAGCAGCAAGCACAAAGCCAAAUGACCUUUUUCUUUUCACGUUUAUCUUGUCUGUUGGGUUUUGGUAAAUUGGUAUUAGUAAUUGUUUUAAAUAAAAAAGCACCACUAGUAGUCAAUUAGUCAUUAACAUAGUAAAUUGAAAAGAUUUCUCAUAACUUCUAAUUAAUAAAAUUAGUAACGUUAAUAAUUGCUAUUAAGUAAGAUUUUUUUUAUAUAUAACUUUUACGUACCAAAUUUCCUUUGUUUAAAAAAGCUAGGUACAUAAUUUAUAAUCAAGUUUGUUUUUGUUAUUUAGAUUAAUUUGUUUUUAUUCAUAAUUUAUAAUUAAUUUGUUUUAAAAGCUAGGUACAUAAUUUAUAAUUUGUUUUUAUCAUUCUCCACCGUUUAAAAAAGGAUAAUAAUAACACAGUUUUUUUUAAUAUUUAGAUUAAUUUGUUUUUAUUUAUUUACCGCAAAAGUUAAAAAUAAGUUCUUUUCUUAAUCAAAAAACCUUUCAAAUUAAAACAAUUUGUUUUUUAGAAAAAAGGCAUUAGCCUUAAAAUAACCCUUCCUUAUCAAAAAUAUAAAAAAAUAUAUAAUAACUUUUCUUUUCAACAAAGAAAAAUCUCAAAAAUUCAGUUUUGACUUAUCCGUUUCAUUUUCGUCUAACCCCCGUUAAUUUGUUUGUUUCAGUUUAUCAUUAUUAUUUCAUUUGUUCGUUUUUGUUCCAUGGAUGUAAUUUAUGCGAGGCCAUGGUCGCGGUUUAUUUUAUUUCGCAUUUUUGGGGAUUUGUAAUUUACGCGAGUGGUCGCGAUGCUUUCCUUUACUGCUUGCUUUAUUUUCAUAUUUUUUAUGCCUGCCAUGUAAUAAUUCUGUUGCUUGCAUGUUUUUACCGUCUUGCCCUCCGAAGGAAUUAGGUUUAGCAGUGUGACCGCCGAGUCAAUAACCCUAAAUUUUGACCCUUUUCAAACCCUUGACCGUUUCCAAAACCUCAAUAGCCUAGGCGUCCUGCCGUGGACGAAAACGCCCUUUACCCUAGCAUUAGGUCAAAGAGUCGCCGUACUCUGCUUUAGGGUUUCCCGCCGUGGAAUCCCUAAUUUUAGCCCUAAUUUCAAUUCAACGCCUCAACGUAGAAAUAGGAGUUUCAACGCUCCACGUAAGCGUUUCCUUAAGAAAUGCUUAUGCCCCAUCGAAACCUUGACCACAGUCAAGAAGUUUCUAGCCUCCCUUUCGAGGGGAACUACAAUUACUCUGAUUCCAUUCCCGUCAGGAUAUGUAGGCACAAGAUGCGACGUCUUGCCGAGUAAACUUAGGACUAACCCUUAGGUCUCUUUUAGGUCACUUUAUCCUUUAGCUCAGUACAUAUUCCAAACAGAUAAUAAAAAUAAAAAGACAUACAAUAAACAAAAGGUUCCUGUAGAGUACUACAGAAGUUUAGGGUGCUAGUACCUUCCCUAAGCUUAACCAACCCCUUACCUAGGUAUCUCCCCGCAUUGUGCUUACGAUGCAAGAAUAGGUUUUUCCUCUUUUGACCUUUUCCUUCGGAUAAAUCAAAGAGCGGUUGUGAAUUAAGAAUUGUGAUUCAAGCUAAUUAAUAGUUUGAUAUCCUAUUUCCACCGCAACAGAAAAUGGCGACUUCACUGGGGACGCUCAUAAUUAAGGGUUGCCCCUAUUUUGUUUAUUGUAUGAUAUUUUAUACUAUUAAUUGUCUGUAUAUAUUAUUGUGUAUUAUGGGGGGUAUCUUUGUUGUGAGAUAAGUCCUACACCCGGAUUUGAGUGAACUUAUUAUAGGAGGUGAUAGAUUCAACGAAGCUUAUAGGGAGUUGAAUCCCGACCAAGCCGACUUGAGAAUCACCGCUCAGUUGAGUCCCUUUUGAAAGGUAGUUCUGUUGAACGAGUAAUCGUGAAGACACUUACUAUCUUCGAUGGGAGCCUAUGACACUGGGGACCGUAGUUACCUUAACACCACUUUGGCCUUAUCUAGGAUGUAGUGCGGGGACUAUGAGGGAGUAAUCCCAAAAUAGUUGCUACGCGAUACCACACUCAAAAGAGGUUCUCUUGAGAAUAUUAUUAACCACCGAGUCAAUUGGGAAAUUGAUAAUAUCAGAAAGAUGGACUGAUGACUUUGGGCACUGAUUUGGAACCCUUGUUCUGCAGGUACGAUUAACCCUAUAGUACAUACCUCUGUGGGAUGGGUAGACCUUGACUUCUGCUCAUAUACCUUUAACCUAGGACUUUGUGUGUUUAUGUGCAUUACAUCCAUAAAACAUCACAUUGCAUUACAUCUCAUGGAAUUCAAACUUUAUUUAUGAACAUCGCAGGCUACCAUGGAUUACAAUAAGAGAAACACCUUGAAAUACUCUUUUAAGAAUUUUAAGUUGGAUGACCUAAGGAAGCUAGGAGCUUUGGUUGAAGAUCAAGAGGGGUUCAAGGACAAGUACGGAAGGCUAUUAUCCUUAUUGAGAAUCCAAGUGAAGGAUGGGCUUCUUUCUACGUUACUACAGUUCUAUGAUCNNNNNNNNNNNNNNNNNNNNNNNNNNNNNNNNNNNNNNNNNNNNNNNNNNNNNNNNNNNNNNNNNNNNNNNNNNNNNNNNNNNNNNNNNNNNNNNNNNNNNNNNNNNNNNNNNNNNNNNNNNNNNNNNNNNNNNNNNNNNNNNNNNNNNNNNNNNNNNNNNNNNNNNNNNNNNNNNNNNNNNNNNNNNNNNNNNNNNNNNNNNNNNNNNNNNNNNNNNNNNNNNNNNNNNNNNNNNNNNNNNNNNNNNNNNNNNNNNNNNNNNNNNNNNNNNNNNNNNNNNNNNNNNNNNNNNNNNNNNNNNNNNNNNNNNNNNNNNNNNNNNNNNNNNNNNNNNNNNNNNNNNNNNNNNNNNNNNNNNNNNNNNNNNNNNNNNNNNNNNNNNNNNNNNNNNNNNNNNNNNNNNNNNNNNNNNNNNNNNNNNNNNNNNNNNNNNNNNNNNNNNNNNNNNNNNNNNNNNNNNNNNNNNNNNNNNNNNNNNNNNNNNNNNNNNNNNNNNNNNNNNNNNNNNNNNNNNNNNNNNNNNNNNNNNNNNNNNNNNNNNNNNNNNNNNNNNNNNNNNNNNNNNNNNNNNNNNNNNNNNNNNNNNNNNNNNNNNNNNNNNNNNNNNNNNNNNNNNNNNNNNNNNNNNNNNNNNNNNNNNNNNNNNNNNNNNNNNNNNNNNNNNNNNNNNNNNNNNNNNNNNNNNNNNNNNNNNNNNNNNNNNNNNNNNNNNNNNNNNNNNNNNNNNNNNNNNNNNNNNNNNNNNNNNNNNNNNNNNNNNNNNNNNNNNNNNNNNNNNNNNNNNNNNNNNNNNNNNNNNNNNNNNNNNNNNNNNNNNNNNNNNNNNNNNNNNNNNNNNNNNNNNNNNNNNNNNNNNNNNNNNNNNNNNNNNNNNNNNNNNNNNNNNNNNNNNNNNNNNNNNNNNNNNNNNNNNNNNNNNNNNNNNNNNNNNNNNNNNNNNNNNNNNNNNNNNNNNNNNNNNNNNNNNNNNNNNNNNNNNNNNNNNNNNNNNNNNNNNNNNNNNNNNNNNNNNNNNNNNNNNNNNNNNNNNNNNNNNNNNNNNNNNNNNNNNNNNNNNNNNNNNNNNNNNNNNNNNNNNNNNNNNNNNNNNNNNNNNNNNNNNNNNNNNNNNNNNNNNNNNNNNNNNNNNNNNNNNNNNNNNNNNNNNNNNNNNNNNNNNNNNNNNNNNNNNNNNNNNNNNNNNNNNNNNNNNNNNNNNNNNNNNNNNNNNNNNNNNNNNNNNNNNNNNNNNNNNNNNNNNNNNNNNNNNNNNNNNNNNNNNNNNNNNNNNNNNNNNNNNNNNNNNNNNNNNNNNNNNNNNNNNNNNNNNNNNNNNNNNNNNNNNNNNNNNNNNNNNNNNNNNNNNNNNNNNNNNNNNNNNNNNNNNNNNNNNNNNNNNNNNNNNNNNNNNNNNNNNNNNNNNNNNNNNNNNNNNNNNNNNNNNNNNNNNNNNNNNNNNNNNNNNNNNNNNNNNNNNNNNNNNNNNNNNNNNNNNNNNNNNNNNNNNNNNNNNNNNNNNNNNNNNNNNNNNNNNNNNNNNNNNNNNNNNNNNNNNNNNNNNNNNNNNNNNNNNNNNNNNNNNNNNNNNNNNNNNNNNNNNNNNNNNNNNNNNNNNNNNNNNNNNNNNNNNNNNNNNNNNNNNNNNNNNNNNNNNNNNNNNNNNNNNNNNNNNNNNNNNNNNNNNNNNNNNNNNNNNNNNNNNNNNNNNNNNNNNNNNNNNNNNNNNNNNNNNNNNNNNNNNNNNNNNNNNNNNNNNNNNNNNNNNNNNNNNNNNNNNNNNNNNNNNNNNNNNNNNNNNNNNNNNNNNNNNNNNNNNNNNNNNNNNNNNNNNNNNNNNNNNNNNNNNNNNNNNNNNNNNNNNNNNNNNNNNNNNNNNNNNNNNNNNNNNNNNNNNNNNNNNNNNNNNNNNNNNNNNNNNNNNNNNNNNNNNNNNNNNNNNNNNNNNNNNNNNNNNNNNNNNNNNNNNNNNNNNNNNNNNNNNNNNNNNNNNNNNNNNNNNNNNNNNNNNNNNNNNNNNNNNNNNNNNNNNNNNNNNNNNNNNNNNNNNNNNNNNNNNNNNNNNNNNNNNNNNNNNNNNNNNNNNNNNNNNNNNNNNNNNNNNNNNNNNNNNNNNNNNNNNNNNNNNNNNNNNNNNNNNNNNNNNNNNNNNNNNNNNNNNNNNNNNNNNNNNNNNNNNNNNNNNNNNNNNNNNNNNNNNNNNNNNNNNNNNNNNNNNNNNNNNNNNNNNNNNNNNNNNNNNNNNNNNNNNNNNNNNNNNNNNNNNNNNNNNNNNNNNNNNNNNNNNNNNNNNNNNNNNNNNNNNNNNNNNNNNNNNNNNNNNNNNNNNNNNNNNNNNNNNNNNNNNNNNNNNNNNNNNNNNNNNNNNNNNNNNNNNNNNNNNNNNNNNNNNNNNNNNNNNNNNNNNNNNNNNNNNNNNNNNNNNNNNNNNNNNNNNNNNNNNNNNNNNNNNNNNNNNNNNNNNNNNNNNNNNNNNNNNNNNNNNNNNNNNNNNNNNNNNNNNNNNNNNNNNNNNNNNNNNNNNNNNNNNNNNNNNNNNNNNNNNNNNNNNNNNNNNNNNNNNNNNNNNNNNNNNNNNNNNNNNNNNNNNNNNNNNNNNNNNNNNNNNNNNNNNNNNNNNNNNNNNNNNNNNNNNNNNNNNNNNNNNNNNNNNNNNNNNNNNNNNNNNNNNNNNNNNNNNNNNNNNNNNNNNNNNNNNNNNNNNNNNNNNNNNNNNNNNNNNNNNNNNNNNNNNNNNNNNNNNNNNNNNNNNNNNNNNNNNNNNNNNUUCCUGAAGGUUAGGGAGAGAUAAUCAACGUCAAGACCAAAACUGAUCGCCACGGGUUGGGUUACAGACCAACUCAUGAUAAAGCUUCUACAAAUGUCGAAGGGCGUCCGAAGUUUUUUCAAGAAGUUUUUGUCAGCAGAGGUUUCCAAGUCAAUGCCAUCAGUGACUAUGAUGAAGACGAAGAUCUGAGUAACCUGGUAUUCAAGAGCGAUGCAGCUUUGAGCAACUGGGAGGCUAUAGAGAUUCCUAUUAUUUUUCCCGUUUCGAAGUAAAUUAACAGUUCCAUUUGUGUUUUCACAUCCAUAGCUCUGCCCAAGGCUAUUGGAUUGCUUUGUAGGGCCACCUUUCAUUUUUAAAACAAUUAUUAAUCAAUGCAUUUUGUUAUGCUUCCACUUUGUUCUAUUAGCAUUUUUUUUUCUCGUUUUCACCUUUUAAAAUGAAAUUGGCAAUCUUUUAAAAAGCUACAAAAUAAAGCAUUUCCACUCUCUUGUAUCUUUAUUUGAACAUUCAAUAAAACAAGCCUUUCAACAUGCAGUGACAUUACAACCCUUGUUGAAUCCAAUGACUCUAUCAUCUCUCCUGAUUGGGAUUCACCCAUUUAUCAAGCUGAAGAUGGGGGUGAAGAGGAUUUUGAAGUACCCGCAGAACUGACGAGAUUGGUUGAGUACGAGUACACAAAGCUUCAACCGCACAGGGAGCAGGUAGAUUUGAUUAAUCUCGGCACAGAUGAAGACAAGAAAGAGGUCAAAAUUGGCGCAAUACCUGGGGUCGAGGUCAAGCNNNNNNNNNNNNNNNNNNNNNNNNNNNNNNNNNNNNNNNNNNNNNNNNNNNNNNNNNNNNNNNNNNNNNNNNNNNNNNNNNNNNNNNNNNNNNNNNNNNNNNNNNNNNNNNNNNNNNNNNNNNNNNNNNNNNNNNNNNNNNNNNNNNNNNNNNNNNNNNNNNNNNNNNNNNNNNNNNNNNNNNNNNNNNNNNNNNNNNNNNNNNNNNNNNNNNNNNNNNNNNNNNNNNNNNNNNNNNNNNNNNNNNNNNNNNNNNNNNNNNNNNNNNNNNNNNNNNNNNNNNNNNNNNNNNNNNNNNNNNNNNNNNNNNNNNNNNNNNNNNNNNNNNNNNNNNNNNNNNNNNNNNNNNNNNNNNNNNNNNNNNNNNNNNNNNNNNNNNNNNNNNNNNNNNNNNNNNNNNNNNNNNNNNNNNNNNNNNNNNNNNNNNNNNNNNNNNNNNNNNNNNNNNNNNNNNNNNNNNNNNNNNNNNNNNNNNNNNNNNNNNNNNNNNNNNNNNNNNNNNNNNNNNNNNNNNNNNNNNNNNNNNNNNNNNNNNNNNNNNNNNNNNNNNNNNNNNNNNNNNNNNNNNNNNNNNNNNNNNNNNNNNNNNNNNNNNNNNNNNNNNNNNNNNNNNNNNNNNNNNNNNNNNNNNNNNNNNNNNNNNNNNNNNNNNNNNNNNNNNNNNNNNNNNNNNNNNNNNNNNNNNNNNNNNNNNNNNNNNNNNNNNNNNNNNNNNNNNNNNNNNNNNNNNNNNNNNNNNNNNNNNNNNNNNNNNNNNNNNNNNNNNNNNNNNNNNNNNNNNNNNNNNNNNNNNNNNNNNNNNNNNNNNNNNNNNNNNNNNNNNNNNNNNNNNNNNNNNNNNNNNNNNNNNNNNNNNNNNNNNNNNNNNNNNNNNNNNNNNNNNNNNNNNNNNNNNNNNNNNNNNNNNNNNNNNNNNNNNNNNNNNNNNNNNNNNNNNNNNNNNNNNNNNNNNNNNNNNNNNNNNNNNNNNNNNNNNNNNNNNNNNNNNNNNNNNNNNNNNNNNNNNNNNNNNNNNNNNNNNNNNNNNNNNNNNNNNNNNNNNNNNNNNNNNNNNNNNNNNNNNNNNNNNNNNNNNNNNNNNNNNNNNNNNNNNNNNNNNNNNNNNNNNNNNNNNNNNNNNNNNNNNNNNNNNNNNNNNNNNNNNNNNNNNNNNNNNNNNNNNNNNNNNNNNNNNNNNNNNNNNNNNNNNNNNNNNNNNNNNNNNNNNNNNNNNNNNNNNNNNNNNNNNNNNNNNNNNNNNNNNNNNNNNNNNNNNNNNNNNNNNNNNNNNNNNNNNNNNNNNNNNNNNNNNNNNNNNNNNNNNNNNNNNNNNNNNNNNNNNNNNNNNNNNNNNNNNNNNNNNNNNNNNNNNNNNNNNNNNNNNNNNNNNNNNNNNNNNNNNNNNNNNNNNNNNNNNNNNNNNNNNNNNNNNNNNNNNNNNNNNNNNNNNNNNNNNNNNNNNNNNNNNNNNNNNNNNNNNNNNNNNNNNNNNNNNNNNNNNNNNNNNNNNNNNNNNNNNNNNNNNNNNNNNNNNNNNNNNNNNNNNNNNNNNNNNNNNNNNNNNNNNNNNNNNNNNNNNNNNNNNNNNNNNNNNNNNNNNNNNNNNNNNNNNNNNNNNNNNNNNNNNNNNNNNNNNNNNNNNNNNNNNNNNNNNNNNNNNNNNNNNNNNNNNNNNNNNNNNNNNNNNNNNNNNNNNNNNNNNNNNNNNNNNNNNNNNNNNNNNNNNNNNNNNNNNNNNNNNNNNNNNNNNNNNNNNNNNNNNNNNNNNNNNNNNNNNNNNNNNNNNNNNNNNNNNNNNNNNNNNNNGAUUCGAGAUGAGGUUAAGAAACAGUUGGAUGCGGGUUUCCUUGCAGUUGCGAAGUAUCCUGAUUGGGUUGCCAACAUUGUUCCAGUGCCCAAAAAGGACGGUAAGGUCAGAAUGUGCGUAGACUACAGGGAUCUGAACAAAGCUAGUCCAAAAGACGAUUUCCCAUUGCCUCAUAUUGAUACCCUUGUCGAUAAUACAGCUAGUUUUGCAGUUUUCUCAUUCAUGGAUGGUUUCUCCGGUUAUAACCAGAUCAAGAUGGAUCCCGCCGACAGAGAAAAGACUACAUUCAUCACUCCUUGGGGAACCUUCUGUUAUAAAGUUAUGCCUUUCGGUUUGAAGAACGCAGGGGCAACCUAUCAACGUGCUAUGACGACUCUCUUUCAUGACAUGAUGCACAAAGAAAUCGAAGUGUAUGUGGAUGAUAUGAUUGCCAAAUCUCAUAACGAAGAGGAACAUUUGGUUCAUCUGUUAAAAUUGUUUGAACGACUCCGGAAAUAUCAGUUGAAACUAAAUCCCGCUAAGUGUAUUUUUGGUGUCAGAUCUGGAAAGCUACUUGGUUUCAUCGUCAACCAACGAGGAAUCGAGGUAGACCCUGAUAAAGUCCGAGCCAUUCAAGACAUGCCGGCUCCGCAGACCUAAACCCAAGUCAGAGGUUUUCUUGGACGUUUGAACUACAUCUCCCGGUUUAUAUCUAACCUGACUGCUACUUGUGAGCCGAUAUUAAAGUUGCUAUGCAAAGGCCAGACUAUUGAUUGGAAUCCUGACUGUCAGCGGGCGUUUGAAAAGAUCAAGGAUUACUUGCAAGAGCCUCCUAUCUUAAUCCCUCCUGUUCCUGGAAGACCUUUGUUCAUGUACCUGACGGUUCUCGAGAAGUCUAUGGGUUGCGUGCUGGGGCAACACGAUGAGACUGGAAGAAAAGAACAUGCUAUAUACUACUUGAGCAAGAAGUUCACCAAUUGUGAAAACAGAUACCCACUCUUGGAGAAAACUUGUUGUGCGCUAGCAUGGGCUGCUAGGCGUCUCAGGCAAUACAUGAUGUGUCAUACUACCUUGUUGAUUUCGAAGAUGGAUCCAAGAAAGUACAUUUUCGAAAAGCCUGCUCAGACAGGGAGACUUGCUCGUUGGCACAUGUUGUUAUCAGAAUAUGACAUCCAGUACGUACCUCAGAAAGCUAUCAAAGGAAGCAUCUUAUCAGAUUAUCUUGCGGACCAACCGGUCGAAGAUUACGAGCCUCUCAAGUUUGACUUCCCGGACGAAGACAUUAUGUGGGUAAAAGAUUUCGAGAAGCCAGAGCCCGAGGGGGGUCCCGAACCGGGUCUCUGGUGGAAGAUGAUGUUUGAUGGUUCCUCAAAUUACAGUGGGCACGGCAUAGGCGCCGUUUUGAUGAAUCCAAAAGGUGGCUAUACCCCAUUUACAGCAAGGUUAGACUUUGAAUGCACGAACAAUAUCGCCGAAUAUGAAGCAUGCAUCCUUGGACUUGAAGCAGCUAUUGACCUCCGAAUCAAACUUCUUGAAGUAAGCGGAGAUUCAGCUUUGGUUAUCUAUCAAGUGAAAGGUGAAUGGGAAACCAAGAAUGAGAAGCUAGUCCCUUACAAAGCCUAUAUUGUGGAGUUGAUUAAAUACUUCGAUGAGAUCAAGUUCGAGCAUGUUCCGAGGUCUGAGAAUCAUAUUGCUGACGCCUUAGCCAUGUUAGCAUCCAUGUGGAAGGUCAAAUUUGUCAAUGCAGCGCCACUCAUUCGAAUCGAACGUAGAAUUGAACCCGCCUACUGUCUGGUGAUUGAAGAAGAUGAAACUGAUGAAAAGCCUUGGUUUCAUGACAUCAAGAAUUAUUUGCUCACGCAAGAGUAUCCACCGGAUGCUUCUCAUCUGGACAAAAGGACUUUGAGAAGAUUGGCAUCCAAGUUCUUCAUCAGCAAUGACGUGCUAUACAAACGAAACCACGACAUGGUUCUACUUAGAUGUGUUGAUAAACGUGAAGCCGAUAUGUUACUCCAGGAGAUUCAUGAAGGGACGUUCGGAACUCAUGCCAACGGUUAUGCCAUGUCCAAGAAAAUCUUGAGGGCUGGAUAUUACUGGUUAACUAUGGAAUCAGAUUGCAUCCGAUACGCCAGGAAGUGUCACAAAUGUCAGGUUUAUGCCGACAAAAUGCAUGUACCUCCGGCACCGUUGAACGUUUUGACUUCGCCGUGGCCUUUCUCAAUGUGGGGCAUUGACAUGAUUGGGGCAAUUGAGCCGAAAGCUUCUAACGGUCACCGGUUCAUUUUAGUCGCUAUUGAUUACUUCACCAAGUGGGUAGAAGCCGCUUCCUAUGCCAACGUGACCAAGCAGGUUGUUGCUCGCUUCAUCAAGAGGGAGAUUAUCUGCCGCUAUGGAAUUCCGAGCCGAAUCAUAACUGACAAUGGUACCAAUCUGAAUAACAAGACUAUGAAAGAGUUGUGUGACAACUUCAAGAUUGCGCACCACAAUUCAUCUCCUUACCGUCCUAAGAUGAAUGGAGCUGUUGAAGCCGCGAAUAAAAAUAUCAAGAAGAUCCUACAAAAGAUGGUCAAGACUUACAAGGAUUGGCAUGAGAUGUUACCGUUCGCUUUGCAUGGAUACAGAACUACAGUCCGAACUUCAACAGGGGCAACCCCUUUCUCAUUGGUAUAUGGAACAGACGCCGUCCUCCCCAUUGAAGUUGAGCUACCUUCCUUAAGGGUAUUGAGGGAAGCCAAGCUAGAUGAAGCCGAGUGGGUUCAAGACAGAUUCGACCAGCUGAACCUCAUCGACGAGAAGCGUUUGACGGCUAUGUGCCAUGGUCAGCUAUACCAGAAACGGAUGAAGAGAGCCUUCGGCAAGAAAGUCUGAAUCCGUGAGUUUCAACAAGGAGAACUUGUACUCAAGAAGAUCUUGCCAGUUCACAAGGACAUGCGCGGGAAGUGGAUGCCCAAUUACGACGGUCCAUUUGUUGUUAAGACAGUCUUCUCCGGAGGAUCGCUAAUUCUUACAACAAUGGAUGGAGAAGAGCUCGCACAUCCUGUGAACUCCGAUGCAGUCCGAAAAUAUUAUGCCUAAAGAAAAUAAAAAACAAAUAAUACUAUGGCUUGCUAAGUUGAAAACCCGAAAGGGCGGCUUAGGCAAAAAUGAGCGUCCUGGUGGAUUGAAAACCCGAAAGGGCAGUCCAGGCAAAAGUUAGGGACAUGGCAUUUCACUGCAUCGGAUGACACCAAACAUCGCAGAUACAUUUACAGAAGUCCACUUCAAAUCCAAUCACUCUCUUCAUGAGCAAGGUUUUGGGUAGUCUUAGUCAUUAGGGAUAGUAGGUCGUUGGAUUCAAUGUAACCUUUCCCAUAUUGCCAAUUUAAAAUUGUAAUUUUCCAUGGAGCUAUGCCUUUAGCAAGUUACCAUUCUUCAAUAAAAUUUACCUUUUGCUAUUCAAUUUCCUUGUUCACAGUAUCUCCGUUUUAUUUUGUUAUGCAAUUUGCUUUUGUUAAUAAAAUUUGAACGUGAAAAGUGUUUUCAAAACCAAAAUAAUUUUCUCGGAAAUACAUUUGGAAACAAAAGUUACUUUGACUCAUGGAAAUCUGUGAAGGAUCUCUUCGCUCCCCGGUAAGUCUCGGUGUUGCAUAAGCAUUUGAUCAUUACCAUCAUAUUCCCAGAGACAGUCCCCAGCGAGAUUUUAAGUUGACAACACUUUUGUGAUUCAUUCGAUAAUCCCCAGUGACUCUCAAGACUGCAGAGCUAUCCCCGGUAUCCUCCAAGUGAUAUCUAUUCUGGAAGGCCCAUCCUCAAUGGGAUCAUCUGUUCCUCAGUAGAAUUGCCUUACUUGCCUUAGGAAUACUUCCCCCAGGAAUGUCUGUUGAAUUCUCCCCAGUAGGAAGCCGAGGUACUAUUCCCAGGAAGUUGCUACGUUGUCUCCAUGAAGUUGCGUAAUUCCAUAUCGUCCCCGCGAAGCGGAUAUUUAUCCCCGGAAGUCUCUGAUCCUAAGAGUUCUUUGGCUGACUAUGGUUCAUGACAGUUAUCCCCCACAGAUAGUCCUGACAUUGUAUCCUCAUGCAUAAGUCAAAGAUCCCCAGUGGAAGUCGUGAUAUCAUACUCUCCAGUAAAGCCGUAUCAUAUCCCCAUAUGAAAGUCACGAUAUUCUCUCCCUAGGGAAGUUAUACUUUGAAGCCAAAUUCGGUUCUCCCAUCAGCUCUUCUUAUCCCCUGAGAGGGGUACUGUUGCAGAGGUCCCCGGGUAUUCCCAUCGAAAUGCUUAUUUCAUCUCAGGUCCUCCGCUCGUCGGUUUUGUCAGCAUACGCAUGAGCCUAAGCAUUGCAUACUCAUUGCAUGACGUUUUCAUACACAUUUACAUACACAAUAGUAUACACUUUGGCAUGCGCAUUAGCAUGUUUGCUAUUCAUCGUCAUCCUUUGUCGUUACCUCCGAGUAACUAGGUUAGUCCGCUCUCUCCAAGUAGAUCGUCAGCCUAAGCAUAAAAUACUAUUUAUUUCCAGCUAAUCGCCACAGAGUUCAACCCUCGUGGGCGAUGGUUAUUUCAGCUAUCUUUCCGUGUUAGGAUAAGAUAAUCCCCAUUUGAGGUUAUUUCCCCAAUGGAGUCUUUCUAGCCCAGUUCUAGAUCGAACUUCGGUCCCGUCGGUCACUGAACCUACCUGGACGUGCAUUUAUUUUGCACUAUCUUUCAAGGAAAUCAUUUACAAUCCUUUGCAGACAAGCGACAGUUCCCAGCCGAGGAGCGUAUCACCUACAUCAAACCUUNGUGACAAUUCCCUCCAGCGGAGCUCAUCAAUCAAUCAAUUUUUCAUCUAUUAUCCACAGAUAAGCAACAACCUCUUUAUUGGAAAGCUUAUUUAGUUUGGCAUAUAAGUCCCUUCCAACGAUAAGUGGCAGUUCUCUCUCGAGAAAGCUUAUUAGGGCAUUUCCCAUUAAAGUCCAUUUAUUUUGGCAUACAACCGGUUUUACCCCGUAUAUUUCCUACGGAUUCCUAAAAAUUCCGUUUGAUCCUGUCACGAGGGAGAGUUUCCAGAAGCUCGGAGGUUAUGCUUUGCUCAAUGCUCCAGCAUCUUGUUAAUCGAUCCUACAGUCGUGCCGAUCCUACUUUUUUACCCUAGAGUAUCAGCCGGUCACACCUGAACCUGUUGAUCAUUUACUCUCAGAUAUUCCCCAGUGGAGGCCAUUCCAUCGGUGCCAUCUCCAUUGAGGAUCCCGUUUUACCAUUCCCUUUCUAAAAGUUACGGUUGGUCGUGCUCGCACCAGUUGACCAUCAUCUUUAGAAUUCCCCGUGUCACACUAUUUCCCCAGUGCGUCAUAUUCCCUAGUGUGGUUCGUUCAUUGCGUCUGUCCCCUGUGUCGUCGUAUCGUCUGUAUCAUUGCAUUUAUCAUUCCAUCAUCCGCAUCAUACGCAUCAUAGCAUGGUCAACAUUAUUCUAUUCCGUUUUGUCCCUAGCAGUGCAUAUCGCCGCAUCUAAGGGCAAAAUUUUCGGUUAUCUAUAUUUAAAUCUCUCCACCGUGAUUUCUCGAGUCUCUGCCGCUCAAAUCAUCCGGUGUAGCUAUUUAAAUAGGGGCAACUGUNACGUCACAUCCUUGCUUACCACAAGCCCACAACGCGCCCGUUCUAUUCCAAGCCUCACUUGUCGAGACCAGGUUUCUCUGUAUCUCGCCUCCGAUUUACCUCCUUCUCCGAAUUAUCACAAGCAAUCCAAGGUGUCGCCCAGUGCUGAGUCAAACGAACCGAGGAACAUGACCUCGCCAGACAUGUCUCCACAGGAGACCAGAUCCAUAGACUUUGUCCCCGAUUCCGAUGACUCACCGAGUUGUAUACCUAUACUUAGUGCUAACGCUGGUUUGGUCACACUACUCGAGGCCUGGUGUGCUUGGACCCGGCCUCCGAAUCCUUUGCCAAGCCAACCUAACAACGCCGCCGCUCAUGUAUUUUCGUGUUUAUUUCAUGAGGGGCGGUCGCCAGUCAGACUUUGGAGAACGGUUAUGCCCUUUUGAAAAACCUUGUAGGGAUUGAAUGAAAAGAAGAUCUGUCAUUCACAAUGGGUGCCGAUGCCGCCCCAAUGUCAAGAAGUAACCCCUUUGCCUGACCUGAGGCUGCCUUAAUAGCCAUUGAUCCUGCGUCUGAAAGAAAUGUCUACAUCUCCUUGCAUCGAGCUUCAGAUUUAUAGACUCCGGGCUCCACAGGCAAUUCCCAUUUCAAAGCGUUUAAAGCAAGCGCCUAGUACGGUGUUUCCCAACUCGUUGUACGAGCUGUAGGAGUGAUAAGGGUGUUGGUUCGGAAAGACGUUCAGUCUGAGAUUGCAUUUUGAUGAUUGAUUGGUUUUUGCAAGUAGUGGGUAACUGGCUAUGACGGGGCGCAAUGAAGUUUCAUGCUGGCCAGUAUCUCGAAGGGCCGAGCCUCAAAAAUCUGCACGGGCUACGACAUCAAGGGGUCAUAUGAUACCGUCUGUUUAAUUUCUGUGCCAGCCACCAACACACUUCCCUGUCUGCCAUCGUUGUGUUUUUUAUACCGUUGACAUCCCGUUACUCAAAUGGUUGAGCACGUUCCCUUCUAGCCUAAAAUCGAUUGAAUUAUCUUCAAAAACCAGGAGUCCAUUAUCCCUCAGUGAUCCCACAAGCACGUAACCCUGGUGAUAAGUUAUGCAUGAUUGUAACCGUAUGGACUUAAACGAAUCCUGGGAAGUACCGGCCAUAGAGAAGAAGUGAAAGGUUGAUGGUGAACCGGGACGUGCGGACUCAACAUAUUGCUGGCUGGUCGCCCUACAGGCAUUUGAUUCCGCGGUUGGGUGUCGGGCAUGUCACUCACGCCGUUUGAUGAGGCUCCCACCUAGAGAGAUCAUUAUACUAACUAAACACUUCGCUGGGUUGUGCUGCCAACGGUCUUGGGAAUAACAAAUUUAAAGAAUGGUUGGUACACCGUAAUGAUGAAUGUGCCAUUUGAAUUCUAAGGACACAGGAGAGUGAUUUACAAAGUCGUAUGAAUCUUUCUGCAGCUUCAAUCAGACCCCUUCGAAGAUCUCUAUGCGUCGUCUCGUUAUUUGCGAAUUUUCACUUUUUUCUCACUCAUUCUUGUAGGCUGCUUUGCCAGAAUUAGUAUUUGACGCAACGCUCAUGUCUGCUCAAACGAUACUUCUACUCACUCUUGGUCCAUUUGCAUAACAUGUGAUCGCCAAUUGAGUACCGAGCAUGUAAUAGCAUUCUUACUUCAGUCAAUUGAACGAGAGCCUACCCGAAGAGGUAGGCCCCGAAUGCCACACUCGUGCUCUGCACACCAUUACUUCAGCGAAGUGUCAAUUUGGAAGGAUAAUUUUUAGCACAGGGUUUCUGUGGAAUACUUCUUUUUCGUUGCUCGCUUCAUCAUCUUUGAACGUCCUACGCCAAAGCGAGUUUCUAGCAAGUGGCCUAUAUAAGAGGCUAUGGUGAAGCCUACUUUCUUUGAUUGUCAAGGCGCGUUUUGAUGGUUCUCGUGAGCAGCUGUAUGGAGAAGUGGAAACUUCCAAAUCUGAUUGGUCCGCAUGUGUCAAAUAUCACUUUCCCAAGUCCAUCGGAUAUCACUCCAAUUAUAGCUGUCCUACUGGGAAGACCUUGGAUGCCAUGCUGCUGGGCCGUGACUUCUACUGCACCAAACAGAUGAAGUUUGUUAGUUGCCUGAAUUAAGCUGGUGAUUAUUCACCGGUGAGGAGGAUUUAAUGUCGGUAAUUUCAUCUUCGAUUCCGUUUAUAUUGAGGCCGAAUGAAGAUGCGUUGAAACUUCUUUCCAAGCACACUUUGAGAUCGUCUCAAUCCGCGUUGUAGUGGAGGUCGAUUAGAGACUGUGGAGGCCAGAGUAAUCUCUUUGUGCAUCGCUUGAAGAGUAACCAAGAUGCAACAAAUUGGACAGGGGGGCAGAAUCCAUUGAAGAUUAGGUGAGUAGAUAAUCACAUCGUACCAGACCUUAAAAGCUGAUCGCCUGCACGGGUGGUAACCUACAGACCAAACUCAUCGAUAAAGCUUCUACAAAUGUCUGGAAGGCUCACCGAAGUUUUUCACGAAGUUUUUAUCAGUCAGAAGGUUUCCAAGUCAAUGCCAUCAGUGAACUAUGAUGAAGACCGAAAAGAUUCUGAGUAACUUGGUAUUCAAAGAAGCGAUGCAAGCUUUGAGCAACUGGGAAGGCCUACACUGAGAUCUAUUAUUUUUUUUCCGUUUCGAAGUAAAGUUAACAGUUCAUUGUGUUUUCACAUCCAUAGCCUGACCCAGGCCUUAUUGAAGAUUGCUUUUUGUAUGGGUCACCUUUCAUUUUUACACAAUUAACAUAAUUCAUGCAAGUUUGAGUAUGCUUUCCACUUGUUCUAUUAGCAUUUUUUUCCGUUUACCUUUCAAAAUGAAAUCUGGCAAUCUAUUAAAAAAGCUACAAAUAAAUAAAGCAUUUCCAACUCUCUUGUAAAUCUUAAUGUGAACCAUUCAAUUAAACAACCUCUGAUCAGACCAACAUGCAUGUGACAUUACCAAACCCUUGUUGAAUCCAAAUGACUCUAUCAUACUCUCCUGAUUGGAUUCACCCAUCUUAAUCAAGCUGCAAGAUGGGAGGUGAAAGAGGAUGAAAGUACCCGCCCGAAAAAAAAAAGAAAACUGACGAGAUUGGUUGAAGUACGAGUACACAAAAGCUUCAACGCGUACAAGGAAGCAGGUAGAAUUUUGAUUAAUCUCGCAAACAGAUGAAAGAACAAAGAAAGAGGUACAAAAUUGUCGCCAAUACAACACUGGGUCGAGGUCAAGCGGAGAUGGUCAAAGCUGUUGGAAGGACUAUGUUGACGUGUUUUCGCAUGGUCUCGUAUAGAAUAUUCCAGGUUUAAGAACACAUAUAUGUAAAGUUCAAACAAGCUACCGCUUUAAGCCAGAAUGUUCCUUCUAUAAACGACACCUUACGAAGAAACGAGAAACUGACCAGUGGCUUUGAAGGAUUCGAGAAUGAGGUUAAGAGAAACAGUUGGAUGCGGGUUUUCCGCGCCUCCGCUGGUUUCCUUGCAGUUGUCAAAGUACCCUGAUUGGGUUUGCCAACAUUGUUCCAGUGACCAAAAAAGGACGGUAAAGGUCAAGAAAUGUGCGUAGACUACAAGGAUCUGAACAAAGCUAAUCCAAAGAAGCGAAUUUUCCAUUGGCCUCAACUAUUGCUACCUUCUGUGUCAGAUAAUACACCUAGUUUUGCAGUUAUUCUUCAUUCAUCGGAUGGUUCUCCGGUUAUAAACCAAGAUCAAGAUGGAUCCCCGCCCGACAAGAUGAUAAAGACUACAUUUCCAUCACUCCUCUGGGGAAAAACCUUUCUGUUAUAAAUGUUAGCCUUUGUUCGGCUUUGAAGAACGCAGGGGCAACCUAUCACGUGCUAUGACGACUCUUCUUUCAUGACAAUGAAAAAUGCACAAAGAAAAUCGAAGUGUAAUGUGCGAGAUAUGGAUGCCAUAAUCUCAUAAGAAGAAGGAACACUGGGAUUUUGGUUUUCAUCAUGUUAAAGGAAUUGGUUUGAACAGACUCCGGAGAUAAUCAGUUUGAAACUAAAAUCACCGCAAGCUCGUAUGUUUUUGGUGUCUCAGAUCUGGAAAGCUUUUGGUAUUCAUCGUCAACAGCGAAUAUCGAGGAAUCGAGGUAGAGCCCUGAUAAAAAUCCCGAGCCAAUUCCAAAACGACAUGCCCGGCUCCAUCCCAGUCCGCAGACCCUAAAACCCUAGUCAGAGGUUUCCUUGACGUUUGAACUAAUACAUCCUCCCGUUUAUAUCUAAAACCUGACUGCACUACUUGUGAGCCCGUAUAAUUAAAGUUGCUAUGCAAAAGGGCCAGACUAUUGAUUGGGCAAUCCUGACUGGUCAGCGGCGUUUGAAAGUCAUCAAUGGAUUACUAUGCAAGAGCCUCGACUAUCUAAAUUAUCCCUCCUGUUCCCUCGGGACAGACCUUUGUUCUGUACCUGACGGUUCUCAUGAGACGUCUAAUUGGUUGCGUGCCUUCCGGGGCAACAGCACGAUGAGACGAAGAAAAUAACAUGCUAUAGAUACUUGAGCAAGAAGUUCACCAAUUGUGAAAACAGAUACCACUCUUGGAGAAAACUUGUUGUGCCCGCUAGCGAUGGGCGCUAGGCGUCUCAGGCAAUCACAUGAUGUGUCAAUACACCGUUUGAUUUCGAAGAUGGAUCCCAAGAAAGUAUCAUUUUUCGAAAAGCCCUGCUCAGACAGGGAGAUCUUUGCUUCGUUGGCCAAUACAUGUUUAUCAGAAUAUGACACUCCAGUAACGUACCUCAGAAAGCUAUCAAUAGGAACGCACUUAUCUAGAUUAAUCUUGCGGACCAAACCGGUCGAGAGAUUACGAGCCUCUCAAUUUUGACUUUCCCGGACGGAAAUUAUGUGGUAUAAAAGAUAUAUCAAAGCCAGAGCCCGACGGGGUCCCGAACCGAGGGUCCUGUGGCAUGAUGAAAUGUUUGAUGGCUCCGCAAAUUACAGUGGCACGACAUAGGCGCGUUUUGAGACCAUCAAAAGGUGGCGUAUACCCCAUUACAGCAAGGUAUAGACUUUGAAUGCACGAACAAUAUCGUCCGAAAUAUGACCAUGAAUCCUUGGGCCUUGAGCACGCUAUUGACCUCGGAAUCAAAUUCUUAAGUACAGCGGAGAUUCAGCUUGUUAUCUAUAAGUGAAAGGUGAAGGGAAACCCAAGAGAUGAAGCUACUCCCUAUACAAGCCUUAUAUUGUGGAGUUGAUUCAAAUUAUCGAUGAGAUCAAUUCGACUGUUCGAGGUCUGAGGAAUCAUAUUGCUGACGCCUUAAGCCAUGUUUGCAUCCAUGUGGAAGGUCAAAUUAUGUCCAAAUGCAACGCCACUCAUUCGACGAACGUGAGAUUGAACCAGCCUAACUGUCUGGUGAUUGAAAGAAGAUGAAACUGAUGAAAAAGCCAUUGGUUUCAAUGAACAAAGAUUAUUUGCUCACGCAAGACGUAAUCCACCCGGCAUGCUUCCUCAUCUAGAACAAAAGACUUUGAGAAGAUUGAGGCAUCCAAGUUCAUUUCAUCAGCAUGACUGCUAUAUCAAACGGAACGACCACGGACAAUGGUCUACUUAGAUAGUUGAAUAAAACGUGAAGCGAUAUGUUACUCCAGGAAGAUUCAUGAAGGGACGUUCGGAUCAGCCCAACCGGUUAUGCCAUGUCCAACGAAAGAUCUUGACGGGCUGCUAUACUGGGUUCUAAUCUCGGAAAUGCAGAUUGCAUCAAUACGCGCAGGAAGUUCCACAAAUGUCAGGUUUAUGCCGACAAAAAUGCAGUGUACCUUCCGGCAAUCGUUGAACGUCUUUGAUUCGCCGUCGCCUUUUCAAAUGUGGGGAUUGACAUGAUUGGGGCGAUUGAGCCGAAAUUCUACAGUCACGAGUUCAUUUUAGUUGCUAUGAUUACUUCAUCCCAAGUGGGUAGAGCCCCGCUCCUAAUGCAGUGACAAGCAGGUUGUUGCUAUCGCUCAUCAAUGAGGGAGAAUCUUCCGGCUAAUGCAAUUCCAGCCGAUCAUAACUGACAAUGGAUAACCAUUGGAAAUAACAAGACUAUGAGAUGUGUGGACAACUUCAGUUGUCGCACCACAUAUUCCUUCCCCACGUCUAAUGAAUGAGCUGUUGAAGUCGCGAAUAAAAAUUAUCAAGAAGAUCCUUACAAAAAGAUGUCAAGAGACUUAAGGGAAUUGGCUGAGAAUUACCGUUCGCUUUGCAAUGGAACAAAACUCGUCCGCAAUUAACAGGCCGCAACACCUUUAUGCACUAGUUUAUUGAAUGGAUGUCGUCCUCCCAUUGAAUGUUGAGCUUUACCUUCCUUAAGUGGGUAUUGAGGAGCCAAGCUAGAUGAAGCGAGUGGGUUCAAGACAGAUUUCGAACCGUAAGCCUCAUCGACGAGAAGCGUUUGACGGCUUCCAUGGUAGCAUACAAGAAACGGAUAGAAGAGCUUCGACAAGAAAUCCGAUCCGUGUAGUUAACAAGGAGAACUUGUCUAAAGAAAUUUGCCAGUUCCACUAAGUAACAUCGCGGCGAAGUGUGCCCAAUUCGACGGUCCAUUGUUGUUAAGACAGUUUCUCGGGGCAUCGCUAAUUCUAAACAAGUGGAUGGAGAGAGUUCGCACAUCUGUGAACUCGAUGCAGUCCGAAAAUAUUAUGCCUAACAGAAAAAAAUAUACUAUGGUUGCUAGUGAAAACCGAAGGCGCUUAGGCAAGAAAUGGCGCCGGUGGAUGAAACACCGAAAGGGCAGUCCAGAAAGUUAGGGACCUGGCAUUUCACCUGCAUUCGGAGGACACGAACAUGCAGUACAUUUACAGAGUCCUACUUCAAAUGCAAAAUCACUCUCUUCAUGAGCAAGGUUUGGUCAGUCCUUAGUUUAGGAAGUAGUGUAUGGAUUCAAGUAACCUCCAUUAUGCCAAUUUAAAAAUGUAUAUUCCAUGGAGCUAUGCUCUUAGCAGUUUACCAAUUCUUCAUAUAAAUUUACCUUUUUAUUCAAUUUCCUGUUAAGUAUCUCGUUUUAUUCUUUAGCUUUUGUUAUAAUUUUGAACGUGAAAGUGUUUUCAAAACCAAAUAAUUAUUCUCGUGAAAUUCACUAUUGGAAACUAAAGUACUCUGAUCAUGGAAUCUGUGAGCCUCUCGUCCCCGGUAAGCUCGUGUUGCAUACAGAUUGUGAUCUUCAUCAUCUUCCCAGAGACAGUCCCCAGGCGAGUUUGUUAUAUUGACAACAUACUUUGUGGAUAUAUUCGCAGUCAUAUCCCAUGCAUCUUCAAGCAGAAUAUCCCCGUAAUCAGUUCUCUACGUGAUAGGCUAUCCUCAUGAGGCAUCUAAUCGUCUCUCUGCUAGUAGUUGCCUUACUUGCUUAGUGAAUAUUCCCCCAAGGAUGUCUGUUUGAUUCCUCCCAGUAAGGACCGAGUACUAUUCAGAAUUUGCGUCGUUGUCUCCAGAAGUUGCGUCUUCGCAUUUCUAUCGCCAGAGGCGAUCGGUAUUUAUCCCGGACGUCUCUGAUUCUUAUAGAGUUCUUUGCUGAUAUGGUUUCAUGGAAUUAUUUUCCCCAAGAAUACUGUCUACUUGUUAUUCCAUCGAUAUAAUGUCAGAGAUCCCCAGUGGACAGUGCUGUAUAUAUCUCCAGUAAUGCGUUUGUAUAUCCCAUUGAGAAAAGUCACAUUUCUCAUCCUAGGGAGUUAUACUUUGAAGCCAAAUUCGGUUCUCCAUCAGCUCUUCUUAUCCCCUUGAGAGGGGUACUGUUGCAGAGGUCCGGGUAUUCCAUCGAAUGCUAUUUCAUCUCAGGUCGGUCAGCCGUCUCGUCGUUUUUGUCAGCAUACGCAUGAGCCUAAGCAUUGCAUACUCAUUGCAUACGUUUCAUACCCAUUACAUACCAAUAGUAGCACUGUGGCAUGCGCUUAGCAUGUUUGCUAUUCAUCGUCAUCCUUUGUCGUUCCCUCGAGUACUCAGGGUUAGUCCGCUCUCUCCAGGUAGAUCGUCAGCCUAAGCAUAAAAUACUAUUUAUUUCCAGCUAAUCCGCCAACAGAGAGUUCAACCUCCAUGGACGAUGGUAUUUCAGCUAUCUUUCGAGGAUAAGAAAUCCCUCAUUUGAGGUUAUUUCCCAAAUGAGUCUUUCUAGCCAGUUCUAGAUCGACUUCGCUCCACUGUCGGUCACUGAACCUAACUGGACGUGCAUUUAUAUUUUUUUGCACUUCUUUCAAGGAAUAUCAUUUUAAAUCCUUUGCAGACAAGCGACAGUUCCCGCCGAGGAGCGUAUCACCAUACAUCAAACCUAAGACGUUGAUCGCCGCACUAUCCUUAGAGCAUUCCGCCGUGGACAUAUCUUUCCUAAACCCUUGAGAAGGUGAGUCGCCGCACUCAUCUGCUGGUGUCCGCUGUGGACAUAUCUUUUCCUAAACUUCAAAACGUGGAGUCGCGAUACUCAUUCUUGGCCUCCCUCGUGGACCAUUUUAUCCUUUAGUAAAAGAAGGAACUGGGUCAGUUUAGGGUGCAGACCUUGACGUUGUAGAAAGUUCAUUUAUCCGUUAGUAAAAGAAGAAUCUGAAUCGUAUUCCGGCGCCGGACCUUAGAUAUGAGGUUUUUUAUCAGAGAGUGACAUUCCUCCAGCGGAGCUCAUCAAUCAACAUAUUUUUUCAUCUAUUAUCCACAGAUAACCCAACCUUUUAUUGGAAAGUUAUUUAGUUUGGCUAUAAGUCCCUUCCACACGAUUAGCGGCAGUUCUCUCUCGAGAAGCUUAUUAGGGCAUUCCCAUUAAGUCCAUUUAUUUUGGCAUACAACCGUUUUACCCUACGUAUAUUUCCUACGGAUUCUAAAAAUUCCGUUUGAUCCUGUCACGAGGGAGAUUUCCCAGAAGCUCGGAGGUUAUGCUUUGCUCAAUGCUCCAGCAUCUGUUAAUCGAUCCUACAGUCGUGCCGUCCUACUUUACCCUAGAGUAUCAGCCGUCACACCUGAACCUGUUGACAUUUACUCUCAGAUAUUCCCCAGUGGAGGCAUUCCAUCGGUGCCAUCUCCCAUUGAGAUCCCGUUUUACCCAUUCCCUUUCUAAAAGUUACGGUUGGUCGUGCUCGCACCAGUUGACCAUCAUCUUUAGAAUUCCCCGUGUCACACUAUUUCCCGCGAUACCGGUAUCUUCAUCCCGCGCUGCUAACGCCUAAUGGAUCGCCUAAUAGUGGCGUCAUACCGUUUUCGGUCUCCUGCCGUCUGUCCCCGUGUCGUUCGUAAUCGUGAUUCUCUGUAUCAUUGCAUUUAUCAUUCCAUCAUCCGCAUCAUACGCAUCAUAGCAUGGGUCAACAUUAUUCUAUUCCUUUUUCCUAGCAGUGCAUUAUCGCCGCAUCUAAGGGCAAAUUUCGGUUUCAUUUUAAAUCUCUCCACGUGAUUUCUCGAGUCUCUGCCUGCUCAAUCAUCCGUGUAGCUAUUUAAACUAGGCAACUAAUACCCCAAUUUACCCUCAGAUUAUCGAUUCAUGUCACAUGUCAUUCAUUUCGCAUCAGCUAACUAUUACGGGUUGUGUAGUUUUGUUUCGUUUUGCGAAACCGCGUCUGGUACACUUUAGUUGUUAAAGGGCAAAUGGUCAUUUUCACGUUGUUUAUGACAGUCCUCGAGCUAAGUUAUCAUCAGGAUUUAUUGAAUAAUUAGGGCCUUCGAUUUCCGAGUUUUUUAUUUUUAUUUCAUUUUCUUUGAGGAUAAACAGAGAUGCACGGUAACUUUUGGCAUCAGGAUUUUUGAAGAUACGGUAAUUAAUUCAACGGGCUGAGACUCUUGUCGUCAAUUGAGUUCCGAGACAUUUAUUUUGUCACUUGGGUUGGAGUAUGUUUGAGACAUUAAGCUGGUUCGGUUCAAAUCGGGACAAGAUUCCAUGCGGCGGAAUUUCUGUUUUAAUCAGUCUAUUUUUCUGUUCUUCUGCUAUCUGCCAGUUAUUUUUGAAGCCAAAGCAAGUAGAAAUUCUGAUUCGGAUUCGGGUUUUGAUUGUUGUUUGAUUGAGGUUUAUGGCUGAAUUGGUUUAUGGGUUGGGUAUUUUAUUCAGAGACGCAAAUUGAAUUUUAAUGCGGAAUAUAUUUCUGUUUCACUGUAAUCGGUUUUCUCUGCUUCCUUCCUGUUUUAAUUCGUUCAAGACUAUCAUCAAUUCUAUACAUCAAGCGGCGAUUUAAUUUGGAAAUAUUGGAUUGGACUGAAGGUUACAUCAUGUUUUAAGCAACACGGUGUGAGAUGACGAAGUUUAAUUCAUUUGGUUUUUCUGGAAUUAUUCAUAUUGGUUUCAUACGGUGAAGUUGGUUUAUUAUUAAUCGUCUAAAUUUACUGAUUAAUUUCAUUCAGAGAAUUUUGACCAAGUUGAUUUUUAAUCAGAUAUUGUUUGGGUCGUUUGGUUGCGACAAAUUAAAUCAUGGAAAGAAGAAUUACACGUUGUUCUUGGGUAGAAAUGUUUGUGAAUUUAUCAUAAAUAAUUUUAUUACAAAUAAAAAGGAAAUCAUUUGAUUUUUAUUUCUAGGUCCUAUGAUCUUCAUGCCGGUUCUUCAUGUUUCUUCAUCCGAUGUUUCCUUCCGUACCUGCACACAGACAAAGAACAGAAAAGUGGAGUAAAAAAUGUUAGAAUUUAUUUUGAACACCCUCAGAAAAAUGUCAUCACUGGGUGUCGGGAGGGCACGACAAUUGCCGAAACCAACUCCCAUUCCGAUUCACGACCUCGGCAUCAACCGUAGUUAUCCGUUCUUUUCGGGACAACAGAGAAGAAGAGAAAAAGAAGUCCUGGGCCAAAAAUGAUUUUGCCGGAAAUUGUUUCGAACCCAAACGGAUUACCCACAUGAAUCUAAAAUCCAUACCCUCUAUCAAGUAAAUAAUCCAGACAAAUCCAAAUAUCCAGAUUUCAAAGCCAACCGAAAUCCAAAUCUGGAGCUAUGGAUCCAAGAAGAAUAUUUGGCAAAUCCAAUAUCUGAAAAUAAAACGGAUAUCCAAUCAACAUCAGAAAAGAUCAAACUCAUCAAGAUCCGUAAAUCAUAAUUAAAUCCAAAACAAUCAGCCAGCAAAUCCGAAAUAAAAUCAAUAAAACGAAAUCCGGAUCCAAAAGCACAACAACAACAUAACAAAGUCGUUCAGUCAAGACAUUAACAACUGUUCCGAAAAUACCUCAACAAAUCUAGCAACAACUUCAGCGGAAAUCAUGAAAAAUCAAAGCCCACAGUGGAUUCGAGGGGGAUAUAAAUAUUAAGAGGGAUCCGCAAUCCUGGGGGGGGGGAAGAAAAAGCCAGAAUCGAAGCUUCGUCGUAACGGAUCAAUGUCGGGAACUCGUGCGGUCGUGGAUCCUUCGAUUGCCACUACCACCGGGACCCAUUACCGUCAUCGAGCAACGCCUCAGUCGCAAAACAUCAUCGGCUAACGAACUCAACAACGCCGUCGAUAACAAACGCGUACAGGUAGGAUUUUAUUACCGUAAAUCGUUUUGCUCUGAUGUGUGCAUUUCAGGUUUAAGAAGAAGAUGCGUAGGAUAGAAGAAAGAAAAUGAAGCAUGCAACAAUGGCCGCCGCCGACGGUAUAAGGAUUGACAAACCCUAGCAGCAAGCACAAAGCCAUGACCUUUUCUUUUCACGCUUUAUCUGUCUGUUGGUUUUGGUAAAUUGGUAUUAGUAAUUGUUUUAAAUAAAAAGCACCACUAGUAGUCAAUUAGUCAUUAACAUAGUAAAUUGGAAGAUUUCUCAUAACUUCUAAUAAUAAAUUAGUAACGUUAAUAAUGCUAUUAAGUAAGAUUUUUUUAUAUAUAACUUUUACGUACCAAAUUUCCUUUGUUUAAAAAAGUUAGGUACAUAAUUUAUAAUCAAGUUUGUUUUUGUAUUAGAUUAAUUUGUUUUUAUUCAUAAUUUAUAAUUAAUUUGUUUUAAAAGCUAGGUACAUAAUUUAUAAUUUGGUUUAUCAUUCUCACCGUUUAAAAAAGGAAUAAUAUAACACAGUUUUUUUUAAUAUUUAGAUUAAUUUGUUUUAAUUAUUUACCCGCAAAAGUUAAAAUAAGUUCUUUUCUUAAUCAAAAAACCUUUCAAAUUAAAACAAUUUGUUUUUUAGAAAAAAAGGCAUUAGCCUUAAAUAACCCUUCCUUAUCAAAAAUAUAAAAAAAUAUAAUAACUUUUCUUUUCAACAAAGAAAAAUCUCAAAAAUUCAGUUUGACUUAUCCGUUCAUUUUCGUCUAACCCCCGUUAAUUUGUUUGUUCAGUUUAUCAUUAUUAUUUCAUUUUUCGUUUUGUUCCAUGGAUGAAUUUAUGCGAGGCCAUGGUCCGCUGGUUUAUUUAUUUCGUAUUUUUGGGGAUUUGUAAUUUAACGCGAGUGUCGCGAUGCUUUCCUUUACUGCUUGCUUUAUUUUCAUAUUUUUUAUGCCUGCCAUGUAAUAAUUCUGUUGCUUGCAUGUUUUUACCGUCUUGCCCUCUGAAGGAAUUAGGUUUAGCAGUGUGACCGCCGAGUCAAUAACCCUAAUUUUGACCCUUUUCAAACCCUUGACCGUUUCCAAAACCUCAAUAGCCUAGCGUCGCCGCCGUGGAUGAAAACGCCCUUUACCCUGCAUUAGGUCAAAGAGUCGCCGUACUCUGCUUUAGGUUUCCCGCCGUGGAAUCCCUAAUUUUAGCCCUAAUUUCAAUUCAACGCCUCAACGUAGAAAUAGGAGUUUCAACGCUCCACGUAAGCGUUUCCUUAAGAAAUGCUUAUGCCCCAUCGAAACCUUGACCACAGUCAAGAAGUUUCUAGCCUCCUUUCGAGGGGAACUACAAUUACUCUGAUUCCAUUCCCGUCAGGAUAUGUAGGCACAAGAUGCGACGUCUUGCCGAGUAACUUAGGACUAACCCUUAGGUCUCUUUUAGGUCACUUUAUCCUUUAGCUCAGUACAUAUUCCAAAUAGAUAAUAAAAAUAAAAAGACAAUAAUAAAAAUAAAAAGACAUACAAUAAACAAAAGGUUCCUGUAGAGUACUACAGAAGUUUAGGGUGCUAGUACCUUCCCUAAGCUUAACCAACCCCUUACCUAGGUAUCUCCCCGCAUUGUGCUUAUGAUGCAAGAAUAGGUUUUUCCUCUUUUGACCUUUUCCUUCGGAUAAAUCAAAGAGCGGUUGUGAAUUAAGAAUUGUGAUUCAAGCUAAUUAAUAGUUUGAUAUCCUAUUUCCACCGCAACAGUGAUCGUGUGAAAUUGCAGUUCGGUAUGCUUCAACACAUCCCAUAUCCCCCGACAAACCUAGGAGAAUGAUAUUUAUGCAAAGUUAACGACCAAUAGAACUUCAACCCAUGGCAAAACUUUGCUAGAUCUGAGUGUCGCAAAUGGAAGCACUGCCAUGACCAUGUCUUAACUGACGUUGUGAUGCCAACUGAAGAAAAACCAAAUCGUACUUAUAUGGCUUGGUACAAAUCGGUUGGUUUUGAGUUCACCGUCGAGGAUAUGUACCUAUACGACCCACACCAGGAAACCUACACACCAGAUGCCUCAACAUCUAACCCCCAACAACAUUGUCAGACCGGCUACACACAACCCCUUAUCAGUCAAACUUCUCGUUCCACAAACUCACAACCCUAACAUGCCAUACACCCAACCACAAUACCAAAAGCAUACCCCGUACCACCACCAACAACUAGAUCAUCAACCAGAUACCCAACAUCGCUUCACACCCAACAUAUCACCCUACCAAAGCCGCCUUAGCCAAAACACCCAACGAUCAUUUAACAUCAACCGUCCCUCCUCCUACCAUAGCCAAGAAGCCCAAACAUCUCAAAACCGAAACCUUCAACAACCUUACCUCUACCAAAUACCACAACAAUCUUUCCAACCUUUCCUCGACGCAUCAUUCACACCAAUGUCUCCCUUCAAUCGUCCCGGUCGCCCACCAACAAGUCAAACACAACCCGACUACUCUGGCAUGGAUCAUGAACUCAACUAUGGCGGUACACCUUUUAUGGAUACACAAGACUAUGCUGAUUUGUCUGACUAUCUCAACAGGUCAUCUCAUGCAGUUGGUAGUGAUGUUCCUGGGCCCUCAAAUGCUCAAACACCUGGGGUGAAUCAUCAACGUGGGUUAGGGUCACGGGUUUGGGUAGCUAGGGGAUGUGGGACCAGAGAUCGGUUAGAUGAUCCCGGUCAUCAACAUUAGACUUUUUUGUGUACACGGGAAUUAAUAUUAAUAUGAAUUGGUCCGAUUUCGAUAUUAUGUAUCAUGUAGGUUAUUUUUGGAAAAAAAUACAAAACACACUAAGAUGUCAAUCCAAUUGACGCCUCCCUCUAACCUUUAUACAUAGGCGCCAAUUGAAUUGGCUGCACCAUGUGCCCUAGCCAAUCCAAUUGACGCCUCCAUCUAACCUUUAUACAUAGGCGCCAAUUGAAUUGGCUGCACCAUGUGCCCUAGCCAAUCCAAUUGACGCCUCCUCUCUAAGUUUAAGAGGAAGCGUCAAUUGAAUUGGCGCUUCCUCUUAAAAGUGGGGUAGAUUGAGAUUUUUUUUAAAAUCAGAGUUAUUUUGGGAUUUUUUUUUAAAAUCUGGGUUAUUUUAAAAAUUCUAAAUAUAACAUUACCAAAUCUUUUAAUUAGACGAUAAAAACAUAAUACAAUAUAAUCUUUAAAAAAAGUCUAGUCACAUCCACAUAGUUUAAAAUAAAGAUAUUAUCCUUUAAACACAGACAUAUUUUAACUUUUUGACCAAACAACCACAAAGUUGAAUUUAAAGUCUCAAUAUGCCAUCCUUUGAAAAGAAACUAUAUCCACAUGUCACAGUUUCACACUUUUUUCUAUUUUUUAUUUUAUAUGCCACACUCCAUCCUAGAUGACAGACGCGUCAGACCCCUUUCAGGGACCCGCCAUCCUAGAUGGAGUAUAUAUAUUUUUUGUUAUCAUUUUUAAUUGAUUUAAUUUAUUUAUUUUUAUAUAAAAAUUAAUAAAUAAUUAAUUAAUAAUAUAAUAGUAAAAUAAUAAUAAUUUUUUAUUUUUGUAAUAUGUUUACUUUUUUUUUGUAUUUCAUUAAAAAAUCAUAUUUAUUAAUAUUUAAAUUAAAAAAAUACUUUAUUAAUAUAAUAUCACAUAUUUAAUAUUUAUAAAAUGCAAUGUGGAAAUAUUUUUUUUGUCUUAAAAUUAAAAUAUAAUACUAAAAGUUACAAGUGGAUAGUUGCAUAAGUCAAAAGAAAUUAAUUCUCAUGUUGAUCUUCUUGUUGAGAAUAUUCGUUGAAGUAAUGACUAUUGGUUCCACGUCUGAUACGAACUUGAACACGCUGACCACGACCUAAUGGUUAUGUUGAAGUAAGUGGAUGAGGGGCUGAAGUUGUGGAAGGAUAGGUAGAUGUAUCAAAGAUGGGUAGCUGGUCAGGAAAAAAAUGGAAUGUACCGAAAUUUAGAGGAAAGUCGUUAUAUAGUUGUGUGAAUGAGGUGGGGUUGGGGUUCAAAGGUUCUAUGGUUGUAAUGUAAUAGUCUGAUACAUCAGUGGUUGAUGAUUGUUGAUUGGUGUUGAUAGGUGUAAUAUGGGGGACGAAGGCAUGGUUGUUCUUGGGUUUGAUAGGUGUAAUGUGUUGGUUGUUAUGGUGUUUUAUAUGUGUAAUUUGUUGGAUUUUGUUGUGUUUGUGAUUGUGAUUGGUAGUUUGAUUGUUGGUAUAUGGUGUAUUGUGUUUGUUGUUGGAAUGAAUGGUUGUAUGAGAGUUAUUAUUGUUGUUAAUUGGUUUGGUUAUAUUGUGUAUAAUAUUGGUUGGGAGUGAUUUGGAUUUGGGAUUUGUAAAAUUUGGUUGUGGUGGAGCCAACAUCUGUGAUGUGCAACAGUGUUGACGGGGGUCAUUUAGAAGUUGUGAUGUUGAUGCAUAUGUAAAUGAAAGAGAUCGAAACCAAUUCAAAUAGUCUUGAGUUUGCCUCAAUUCUUCAUGAAAUGCAUCCCCAAUCAAACACAGUUGGUGUUUAUUCUCCCACUGUUGUUGCUCAUUUUUAUUAAAAUUUUUGUAGUUGUACUUCAAGGACUCUUGCAUAGUCAUAUCAUGGUUUUUUAGGCAUUUUGGAGGGUUGGGUAUGUCUCAUAAGUAAAAUUGCAAUUUGAUCCUAUCAGACUGAUGCAUUUCGACGAUCCAUAAGCAUAUGAUGUACGUUGUUGCAUUUCAAAUCAAGUUGUCAUCAUUGUCUAAUGGUGGACAGUCAAGAUAUGACAUCCAUGUAAACCGGUACACUAUAAAUAAUAUAUGUUAGUGUAACAUAAGUAAUUAUAAUAAUAUACAAAAAAAUAAUAAUGACACUUAUAUUACGUUUUCUGGAAACAUGUGAUCAAUCAAAAAAUGGUAACCAACAAGAUGAUUGCGAGGGUUAUUAGCGUAAUUCUUCUUGGUCACAACCCAUCUGAAAAAAGUUGGAAAUAAAUAGAAAUUUUACAUAUUGAAAUAUCUAAAUUUUAAAUAAAGAUUAGCAAUAACAAAUUAAAACUAACCUUGAAGCAUAAAGGUGCUAGAAAUCACAGACGUGUAAACCCCAUGUUUGGAGCAAAAUAACACAUUCACCAAUUUUUUCAACAUGAACGUCAAUUGCUUUACACAUUUCUCAUUACUUCAACGAAGAUCCCUAACAAAAAUAUCGACAUAAGAAUUAAUUUCUUUUUACUUAUGCAAUUAUCCACUGGUAACUUUUAAUAUUAUAUUUUAAUUUAAUAUAACUUUUUUAUUUCCACAUUGCAUUUUAUAAAUAUUAAAUAUGUGAUAUUAUAUUAAUAAAGUAUUUUUUAAUUUAAAUAUUAAUAAAUAUGAUUUUUAAUGAAAUGCAAUAAAAAAUUAUAUUACAAAAAAAAUUAAUUUUUUUAUUAUUAUAUAAUUAAUUAAUUAUUUGUUAAUUUUUAUAUUGAAAAAUGAAUUAAAUCAAUUAAAAAUAAUAACAUAAAUUAAAAACGAGAAAAAAGGGUACUCCAUCUUGGAUGGCAGGCCCCUAAAAGGGGUCUGACACGUCCGACAUCUAGGAUGGAGUGUAGCGUAUAAAAUUAAAAAAAACAAAAAAGUACAAAAAAAGUAGCAUGUGGGGACAUUUUUUUUCAAAGGGUUGCAUGUUGGAACUUUAAUUUCAACUUUGUGGCUGUUUGGUCACAAAGUCACAUAUUUUAACACACAUAUAUAAAUAUAUUUUUAUAGUCAAGCUUUAUAGGUUUAUAGUCUAAUGUGAUGAUUGAUCUGAAAUGAUCAUUUAUAGGCUUAUAGUCUAAUGUAAUGAUUGAUAUGAAAUGAUCAUAUAUAGCAAGGACACAACUUCCUUUGUCUAAAAUAUUCCUCUCAAAUCCAACUUCACAAUCACCUUCAAGAACAUGUGGGCACCCUCUUCGAAUUCUAGAUUCAUAUAUCCUAUUACUUGAAUAACCAAAUUCAUGUAAGGUAUUUAUUCUUACUUUCUUGACUAUUAUGUUCGACAUAAGAGUGGUCACGAUACUUUACUUGGAUUGCUAGAGCUUUUGUCGUUGUUAAGUUCAUCUAAGCGAGACUAAAUUUGUAUUUCACUACUCGUGUUCUUAAAAAUACAAAGUUAAAGUUUAUCCUUGAGCUUUUGAUUGGUCUUAUUUUCGAUAACUCAUUAUAACUUACUUAUUCUUUAAAAAAUACGAUUAUUUAGUGGUUGGAAUUAAUAAGGUUAUAUUGUACUUAUCUUAACUUGUUGCUACAUAUUGCACCUUCAUCUUGUAAUUCAGAGUCAAGUUACAACUAACAAGAUGGAUAAUAUCAAUCUUUCUAAACCUCAUGUAAUCAUCUAUGGUUAAUUAUUAGAUUCUUUCUAAAUCGAGUUUUCCAAUUGCAAAAUUGCCACUUAUCUCCUAAUACUCCAUGUAACUAAUAUUUUAAGACCUCUCUUUAGCUGAUAAAAUCACCAAAACAAUAUUUUUAAGGUCUCAGUUGAUUAAGGGAGUGUUUGAUUGAUUGGAAGACUUUUCUAAUUGUCUAAUAGAUUAGACUAAUAACCUAAUUGAUUAUUUCACCAAGUUGAGACUAAAAUCGAUUGGGAAAAUCUCUUAAUGAUUGGUAACAAUUAAAUAUUAAAAUCUUCAAUAUGUGGCUUGAACAAUAAAUUAUUGUGGUCCAAUAACCAAUUAGCUUAAUUGAUAUGGCAUUGAUUUAAUCCAUAGAUUGUUUCCUUUUUUUCACCUAAUUUUAUUUUAUAUAAAUGAGACCUCUCCUCAUUCAAAGUCACACUAGAAUUCAGAGUUUUACUCUUUUUUAACAUUUUAUUAGUCUCCUCCUCUUUCUUUUAUAUUUUCUCUUCACCAAAGUUCCCUUAGUGCCAUGUGAGUGAAAACUACUUGUGAGGAAAAUGUUGUACUAGUGUCAUGCCAUUGUAUAUUUUGAGAGUGUGAUUCUCUCGAAGGUUUGUGUUUGGUUCUUGAGAUAAAACAAUAAAAAUCUCUGUUUGGUUCUAGAACUUAUUUAGUAAAAGUUUUGUUUGGUUAUUGAGAUUAGCCGAUAAAAUCUCUACUUUGCUCGUGAGUUUAGCUAGUGGAAAAAGCUCUUGUUUUGUAGGGGGAUAAGUCAGUGUAAAAUCUCUCGAUUUGCUUGUAUCAAAGGUUCGUGGGCAUAACUUGUAAAAGUUCAAGUUUUUAGUGAACUCUCAAUAAGAUCUCUUGAGGACAAGACUAAGCCAACAUUAAGCCAAACUUGUAUAAAUCUCGGUACCAAAAAAAAUUAAGUAAGAAUUUUUUUAAAAUCAAUCAUGAAUUUUAAAUACCACAAUUUACCACUUCUUAUGUUUGAAGUCACUUGUACAACAUUUUCUACUGAUAAUUUUUUAUUAGACUUGUUGAAUAGUAAUUCAGAUUCAAGUUGUAAUUGCUUUGAAUUUAGAUUGCAUUUAAAGUUCAUUUGAUUAGCAUUUGUAUUUUAGGUUGUGUAUAUAAGUUGAAUUUGCUAUUUAGUUUUAGUAGUUCUAACCAUUUUUCAUUUGAGUAAAAUUUAAUUACAUUCUAUAUUCUCUCUCUCUCUCUCUCUCUCUCUCUCUCUCUCUCUCUCUCUCUCUCUCUCAUUUUUCAUUUGAGUAAAAUUUAAUUACAUUCUAUAUUCUCUCUCUCUCUCUCUCUCUCUCUCUCUCUCUCUCUCUCUCUCUCUCUCAUCUUCAUCUUCUUCAAGCUUCUUGUGCAUCAAUGAAGGUGUAACUCCAAUAAUUGGCAUCCCGGGCUCCAGCUUGAUUCACAGGGAAACACAAGUAUAGUGAGGUGUAUGAUUGAUUUCGGUUUUGAAAUUCACGUUGAAUUGAAGUUCGAAAUUAGAGAGAAUCACAGAUCUUGAUUAUCAGGGUUUAGGAAACACGAGCGUUUGUGAUAACUAAGUGAUUUGCAUAAGAACGAUGAUGAACAGCAGAAACGGUAGCUUGAACACAAAUCUUCCAGUAUUCGAUGGAAAGAACUGAAACUGGUGGUCGAUUCAGAUGCAUGUGUUGUUUAAAGUUUAAGAUAUUCUUGAUCUCGUCAAUGACGAUUACACAUCGGUUGCAAAAAAUGCAAUAGAGAAUAAAGAAUUGCGCACCAUGAAAUGAGGAAGAAGGAUCAGAAGGCGUUGUUAUGUAUCCAUCAGUGCGUGCAUACAAAGGUGUUUAAGGAAAAUGCUUAUUCGAUGACGACUAAGUCGGAGUGGGAUAUAUUGGUACCGUGAUAUGAUGGUGACACAUCAGUGAAAAAGGUCAAACUUUUGUCUCUAUGUAAGCAAUAUGAAAAUCUCAGCAUGAAGAACAAUGAUAAGGUACCUGAUUACAUCUCUAGAGUGAUUAUGGUAACGAAUGAGAUGAAGUCUUGUGCAGAAACAUUCUUUGAACAAGUAAUCAUUGAAAAGGUAUUGAGAUCACUUACUCCUCAGUUUGAUUACAUAGGUUUAGCCAUAAAACAUUCUAAAGAUACCAACACCAUGAGAAUUGAAGAGCUUCAGAUUAGGUUAGAGGCACAAGAGUUGCAUCUAACUGAAAGAAAAUUUGAACAAGAGUUAGAACAGGCUUUGAAAGCUCAAACUCUAAAAGCUUCUUCUGGAAAGAAGAAUCAGAAGCAAGAAUGGAUAGAGGAGAGGAAUAAUUAUGGUGGUGGUGUUAAAAAGUUAGAACUCUCAAGUUCUGAUAAGAAACAUCAUAAUGUUCAGAAGGGAAAUGAGAAGUUUGACAAGAGAAAGGUUCAGUGCUAUAAUUGCAACAAGUUUGGCCAUUUUGCUGUUGAUGACCGGUCAAACAAGGUUAGAAAAGGUGAAGAAGCCAACAUAGCCAGAGCAUAUUAUAAUGAUGAACCUGUGCUAUUAAUGGAAUUUAAGAAUGUAGGUGGAUCAAUGGUAGACUGAUCGUAUAUGGACACUGGAUGCUUAAAACACCUAAAUGGAGAAAAGCAAUGACUGGUUGAUUUUGACUCUGGUAAAAGGACCAAGAUCAUAUGUAUUGAUGAUGAGUAUCUGAAUGCUCAAGGAAUGGGAAAUGUUAGAGUUAAGUUGAACAAUGGAAAAUUGUACUGAUCAAGGAUGUGUGGUGUGUUCCUGGCAUGAAUAGAAAUUUGAUGAGUGUAGGUCAGGUGAUUGAAAAAGAAUUUCCAAUAACCAUUAAGGACAAUAUCUUGAAGUUGUAUGAUUGUACUCAGCAGCUAAUUAUGCAAUCUAAACUAGGAAGAAACAAGACAUUCAAGGUGAAUGUUGCAAUAACAGACACUCAAUGCCUUAGUGCAAGAAGUACUGAAGGGGAAAGUGAGUUAUGGCACAAGAGAUUGAGGCAUCUGAACUACAGAAGCUUAAGGAAUUUGAGUUCAAAGAAUCUGGUACAUAGAAUUUCUAAGAUUAUGGCACUAGAGAUGUUAUGUGAUGUAUGCAUGAAAGACAAGCAACCAAGACUGCCAUUCUCAUCAGAAAUGCCUUCAAGAGUAACUCAUGCUUUAGGUUCGAUGCACUUUGAUACGUGUGGUCCAUUUGAGGUACAUUCACUUGUAGGGAACAAGUAAUUUAUGUCAUUUAUGGAUGAGUUCACCAUAAUGACAUGGGUAGCACUUAUUAAGUUCAAACAUGACGUGUUUGUUAAGUUCCAAAAGUUUAAAGUGAAGCAUGAAAAUCAAAGUGGAUAGAGGUUGAAGAUCCUCAGAACUGAUGGUGGAGGUGAGUUCAACUCAACAGAGUUUAAAAGCUAUCUGAGGAACAUGGUAUUGAGCAUGAGCUGACUACUUCAUACACUCCACAACAUAAUGGUCUUGCUGAGAGAAGAAAUAGAACUCUGCUUGACAUGACAAGGAGCAUCAUGAAGGAUAAGAAUUUGUCAAGUAAUUGUGGGGUGAAGCAAUUGAUACUUCAGUAUAUGUGCUUAAAAAGUGUCCAAAAAGAAGUUAAAGGAAGUAAGUCCUAUUCAGAUGUGUACCGGAAGAAAGCAAAGUGCAACCAUUUCAAGGGGUUUGGUUUAGUAUGUUACAAAUAUAUACCAGAUGCUACUAGAAAUAAAUUGAAUGAUAGAAGUAAGGUCAUGUUUCUUAUAGGUUACCGCAAUACAAGUGCUUAUAAGAUCUAUUGUCCAAUCACCAAUAAAGUUAAAGUCAGUUGAGAUGUCAUAGUGAAGGAAUCAAAAACAUGGGAUUGAAGAAAGUCUCAAUCCAACUCUAGUGAAGUGUCAACGCUAUAGUCUGAUUUUGCCUCUGAAGGAGAUUUUACAUCCGAAGGUGAUUCUGACUUUGAAGGACAGUCUGAAUCUGAAGAUGACUCUGACUUUGAAGGUGAGUCUAGCUAUGAAGAUGACUUUGACUCCGAAGGUGAGUCUGACUCUCAAGGUGAUCCAGCCUUCGAAGGUAGUCCAACCUCUGAAGGUGUUCCUACUUCUAAAGGUGGAGCUUCUGAAGGUGGUCCUACUUAUAAAGGGGGAGCUUAUGAAUGUGGUUCUGCUUCUAAAGUUUUCCAAAGGCCAUAAAAAGUUAGACAGAUACCAAUGAGGCUUGCAGAUUUUGAGUUGCUGCAAGAUACUAAGAUUGAUUAUGAAAGAGAAGUCAUACAUAGUCCCAUGAUGAUAGACUUUGAAACUAUCAGCAUCAACGAGGCUCUCAAGAAGAAGGUUUGGGUGAACGCCAUGAAGGAAUAGCUUGAAGAAAUUGAAAGAAACAAUACAUGGGAAUUGACUAUUCUACCUUAGAACAAGAAAGCCAUCAGUGUGAGAUGGGUUUUCAAGAUACAGUUGGAGCCAUAUGGUUCAGUUUCUAAGCAUAAAGCAAGGUUAGUAGCUAGAGGAUUCCUACAAAAUUAUGGUUUAGACUACUUUGAAGUGUUUGCACUUGUAACCAAACAUGAAACCAUAAGGUUGGUUAUUGCUAUAGCUACAAAUAGGAAUUGGCCUCUGAUACAUUUAGAUAUAAAGUUAGAUUUUCUAAGUGAUUCAUUGCAAGAAGAAGUUUAUGUGUUACAACCCCCUGUAUUUGUGAAAGAGAACAAAAAAAGGGAUGAUGCACAAGCUGCAUAAAGCCUUGUACGGGCUGAAACAAGCUCCAAGAGCUUUAAUAUGAAGACUGGUUCAUUUUUUAAGGAUCUUGGAUUCAAUAAAUGUGAAAUGAAAUAUGGUAUGUAUGUGCAACAUACUUCUGAUGGAAAUGUGAUUCUGGUGUGUCUUUAUAUGGAUGACAUACUUCUAAGAUAAACAAGUUUAAGAAGGUGCUAAUGAAUGCUUUUGAUAUGACUGACCUUGGAAAUACGAUAUAUUUUUUAGGAAUGGAGAUUUUGCAUUAUGAGAAGGGAAUUGUUGUGCACCAACUUAAGUAUGAACUUGAGUUGCUGAAGAGAUUUGAGCUGGUGAAUUGUAAGUCAGCAGUCACACAUGCUGAGACAAGUCAUAAGCUAGACUUUGAUGAUAAUGGUGAGGAUAUAGAUAGCACAACCAUCAAAUUGUGGUUGGUUGUCUGAGAUAUAUCUGUAAUACCAGGUCUGACAUAUGUUAUGCAGUUGGAAUGGUGAGUAGGUUUAUGAGUAAACCAAAGUGAUCACAUUACUAAGUUGCAAACAUGAUUCUAAGGGUAUGUUAAAGGAACACUGAGACAUGAAAUUUUGUUUCCAUAUGGAGUGUCAGAUGUUGCUAAGCUGAUAUGCUACUUGGACUUUGAUUGGUGUGGUGAUAGAGUGGACAGAAGAAGCAUUACAUGAUACAUGUUUAUGUAUCUGGGGCCCCCAUUUCUUGGUGUUCCAAGAAGAAACUAGUGGUUACAUUAUCAACCUGUGAAGCUAAAUACAUAGUUGUUAAUUUGUCAGCUUGUCGGGCUAUUUGGCUGAUGAAUUUGCUGCAGGCACUGAAGUUCAAGGUGAGCAAAUCAGUCAAGUUGAUGAUUGACAACAAAUAUGUCAUAAGUAUUGCUAAGAAUCCAGUGUUGCAUGGAAGAAGCAAGCAUAUUGAUAUCAAAUACCAUUUUCUGCUCAAUCAAGUUCAGAAUGAAGUACUUAAGGUUGUGCAUGUCAGCACUCAGAAGCAACUUAUAAAUGUGAUGACCAAGGAAAUCAAGACUGAACACUUCAUCAAUUUGAGGGGUGAAAUUGGUGUUGUUGACUUUAACUUGAAUAUGAAAUUAAGGGAUGAUGUUGAAUAGUAAUUCAGAUUCAAGUUGUAAUUGUUUUGAAUUUUGAUUCUAUUUAAAGUUCAUUUGGUUAGCAUAUGCAUUUGAGGUGUAACUCCAACAGAACUGCUGGAAAAUGCAAAUUAAUAACAUGUUAACAACCAUAAAAUUUUAACAAACUUCGACUUCAUAAUUACGAAAACUUAUAUAUAUUUUUAUGAAGGAUGGUCUAUAUGUUUGUCAUUAAUUGACUUUCAUAAAAAUGCAUUAGUUAUAUAGAUAUGUGUCAUGUUCGUGUAUGUUAUUUGUCUAAUUAAAAACGGUUAACCAUUUAGAAAUUUAGGUAGGAGGAAAAAAUUAGUUCGAGACAUCAACUUCAACACUUUCAUCUUGAUGUUGAUUAUUCAUAUUUAAAUAACUUGUCAACUACUACACAAAAAUCAUUAUUAGUUAAUUGAUUUGAUUAGUUAAUUUAUCUUAAGUUUUUAUAACUACUACACAAAGAUCAUUAUUACUAAUGAAGAUAAUCAAAACAAAAUCACAUAAUAAGAUUUUUUACUGACAAUAUGAUGAUUUAUAUUGAAAAGAAAAGUUGAACAUUUAAAUAUUAAUUUAAUCAUUGAUAAAUUCAAAUCUUUAAAAGAUAGGAAGAUGACACUUCAACUCAAAGUUGAAUAUCUUCUUUUAUAUAUUCUAUUUUUAUUAUUAAAGUUAUUUUAUAUUUUAAAUUAAGAAUAUAUUAUAAAUUUUAAUAAUAAUAUUUUAGCUAAUACCUGAUAUUUUGGGCAAGAUUCAUAAAUGACAGAAUUUAUCUAAUUAACUAAUGUUCAUAUACUCAAAGAUUUAUCAACAAGACAGCAUAUAAUGAUAUAUUUUCCACAAGUAAUAAACUUUUUACAAGUGAUUCCUUUUGCAUCCAUUAACCUCUCUGCUAUCCAACACAUAUUCUCUAUACGUGUCAUGUAUGUAAGUGGAAAAGUGUCUCUUAAAACCACCUUAAAAGCCUGACACCUUACACCUUCUUUCUCAAACAUCUAAUUGCUUUUGCAUAUAUAUGUUCCAAAACCAAAACCAUGGCUUCAGAGAAGGCCUCUUCUUCCAUCAACCAAGGACUCACUUCAGAAGAAAUUUCUGCCACAAAUGGUACAAAUAAAUCCAAUUUGGGGAAAGAACUGGCAAGGAGAGCAAUAUUGAGAUCACAUCUACGCAGAAAUGGGAAAAGAAAAAUUGUAAGUAAUAGCAUUAAUGCUAAAUUAUUGCCAAGUAGGUUAAGUAAAGUUUCUUUGGGAGAUCAAGAUUCUUCAGAAUGAAUCAUAGGUAUGGUAAUGCCCAAAAUGUAUAAUUCUAUAUGUUGUAAUAAGGCACAAAAAAUUGUUUCAUAGUUUCCUAGGAAUGAUACUGAUAUAGUGAUAUAUAUGUAUGUACACAUCAAAUCUUAAAAUAGCUUAGAAUAUAUUAUGAUAUAAUUAAUCAAUUAUUGGAUGAAGAAGAAAUUGAAUCCUUACAAGUAUUCUUUGAGAUUUUGUUUUACACGGCAGAGCUAACUUCAGAGAGAAUUAUAAAGAAAUGCUUACCUGUUUUGUAGGGUACUUUUUAUUAUAGAAUUUUUGUUUGAAUAUUGUUGAUUUCAUUUCUUAAAAAUUUUAAAAAAAAAAUCUUUUUUGAAAAUAUAAUUAUUAUUUUUGAAACCGUUAACAUGUGUUUUUAAAGAAUAAUUUAACAUGUAUUUUGGAUUUAAAGACAUGUGUUAUACAAAUAUUGUUGAUAAUUUAUUAGAAAUUUUAAAUGAGGUAAAAUCAUCAAUAAAGAAGAAUCAAUUCAAAAUGAAAUAGAAGAAAAUGAAAAAUAAUUUCAGACUCAAAAGGUCCGUGAAUAUUAAAUUCUCUGCUCCUAAUGGAUUAAACCUAAACCUAAGACAUAAUUGAUUAGAAAUUUUUUAAUCUAAAAUUAUAACACCUUUUACUCUAUUAAACUAAUGAUCUAAUCGAUUAAAACCUCAAAAGUUGCAACGGUUGUCAAUAACCAAUCAGAAAUCGAUUAGGUAUAGUGCUCUAAAAAAUUAGAGCAACUUCUAAUUAAUUAGAUUACUACUAUAAAUGGUUAGCUCAUUCUUUCAUUCUUCUUCAUUCAUUAUAUCUUCAUCUUCUCUCUAUAUUCUUCUUUUUCUUCUUCUUGUUUUUGCUACUUUCUUGUUACUAUUUUAUCAUCAUCACCACCAAAUGGCACCUAAAAGGAUUAGUACCUCUACAAGAUUUUCAUUUAUGAGUCUGGAGAUUUUUCAUCUAAAAUUCAAUAAAACUACUUUAAUAAUCAUUUCAUCAACCUUCAUAUUCUCUGACCUCACUAUGUUGAUGAAAAUUACUUUAGAAGGUUUGAGUUUCUUGACUACUUUAAUUAAGAAAGUCUUAGAACCUCGCCAGGAGCAAGCCAAAGGAAGUGUUUCCAAUAUUGGUAACAACUUUCUACUCCAUUCUAAAUUUUUAUUGAAGGGAUAAUCACAUCCAAGAUACGUAAAACUCAAAUCUCUCUGUGUAUGUGUGUGCGCGCGCGUUAAAGAAUUUGGGAAUAUUUGUGAUUUACCUUAUUCUCACUCCUUGUACACUUCUGAUGUUCCAAGUGCUAUGGAAAACUUCAAUUUUCUAUCUUCUACUCAAACUCUUCUUUUUUAUUCAGUGAUAUGUCAUAAAUCCCCUCUCACUAUGGGGUAUAUGACUCUGAAUUGAAGUCUCAUUCACUAUGUGAUUACCUAUGAAUUAAUCCAAAGGAAAUUUAAUCUCAGGAAAAUUUUAAGGACCUAUGUUAUGGUGACUUGACUACUAGUCCACAAUAUUGAAACCAACUGGGUCAAUGAGGGUAAUUCAACAUAUGUUGAAUUGCCUAAGAAAGGGGAACUCGUGGUUACCAUGCAGUGAUUUGAUCACUAAAGUUCUGCUUCAUGCUCGAGUCAACUUAGAAGGGAAAAUGUUUGUUGAUAUAUGCACAAUAAUUGGGAUUAAUUCCUUAAAUAAAAUUCAAAUCAUAAAUAAGUAGGGGUCUUAGAGCAUAUUCCCCCCUUUAUAAAUUCACAACCAGCAUCCCAACAACAAGCCUCUCAACAAUCAAGGCCUUCAAAACUGGAAGAUUUUGAUUAUGAGAUUCAUGAGCCUCCUCCAAUAGAAGUCUUUCGUAACUCCAGCUUUGCAAAUACUCAAAGUAACAAUAAGAUGCUUCAAAAUGACAUCAGAACUUUCUAUCUAGUGAAUACCCAAGUAUCCAUCCUUGCAAAUCACAUGGCUAACUCCUGCUAAUUCCUCCUGGGUUGUUUGAUGAUGAUAAUGAUGGAAACAACGAGUAGUUAUUUUUUUAUAUUUGUUUAUCUUGCUUUAUUUUGUUUGUUUGCUCUUGUUCCUCUCUUUCAUUUUGUAACCCUAUUUUUUUAUACGAAUGUUGUUUUCUCGUCUGUCUGUUUUCUCAAACAUGUUAUAUGUGUUUUAUGUUUGGCUUAUCUGCUAUCUUUUUGAUAAUGAUAAAUUAUGAGAGGUAUACACCUAGAGGAGUAGAGUAUACCCUAUUUACCUAUGAGGGAAAGUUAACUACUCCAUGAGACAUGCGUUAUCAUCAUCAAAAAUGGGGAGAAUGUGCUUCUAUGUAUUGUCCAGGUUAAAAACUUUAUGAGGUUUGAUGAUGAUAACUCAACCAGACAAAAUUAAUCAUAACCAUCAUUAUACAAGAAGCUAUUAAAAAGCAAAGUUGAUCAAGUUACAAUGUUGAGGGCAAAAUAAGGCAAAUCAUUUUCAAAUAUCAACAUAAAAAAGAACUAAAGACGUGAAAGUCGGCCUAAUCUUGUGCUUAAAACUUUUAGUCUUGUUGAAUUAGACAAUAUAAUUGUGUGAUCUUCAUUAACCAACAAAAAUAUGCCAAAAUAAUCUUAUAGAGAUUUGACAUGAAAAAUUGAAACAAAGUUUGUAAUUUCUUGCACUUGAUGGAAAUUGUGUAAAGAUGAAUAUGAAAAUGAGGUUGAUGCUAAGGGAUACAAAAAAGAAAUUAUGGAAUAUCUCGUGUAUCUACUUGCAAUUAGAUAUGAUUCGUGCCAUUUUAUGCAUGAUUUUCAAAUAUGUGAAAAUUUCAACUAAAAUUCACAUGGAACAACCAAAAGAAGUCUCUAGUACUUAGAGAGUACCUCAAGCCAUUGAGUGUUGUGUGAAAAGGGCAAGGAAGGAACCCUUUUUGGAUGGUCUGAUUCUAAUUAUAAAGGUGAUCGUGAUGAUAAAAAGAGUAUUAUUGAUUUGUCUUCAAAUUGAAAUCAGGUGCAAUAUCUUUUUCCUCAAAGAAAGAAGUAAUUAUGACUUUGUCAACUAUUGAAGUUGAAUUUUUAAACCCACCUAAACAACAAAAAUUAACAUAUAAAAAUAAGGUACCCUAUUUUAUAAUAAAUUUACCUUCUUUUUUCUUUUGUAGACUUAAUAUCUUCGAGUGUUCAAUGACUUUAUUUUUCAUGUUUAAAAAGACAAAAUAUUUACAUAAGUUUAAUAUAUUUUUGAAAAUUAAAAGUGAAAAUUUUGUUUGAAUUUAUUAUUUUGUUCUAUUUUUGAAUAACUACACAAAGAAAUUUCAACAACACAUUUUCUCUAAAAUUUUGAAAUAUUAAAUAUACAAAUAGUAUUUUUUUUCUAUCUAUGUAACAUUCUGUUUAUGCAUCACCAAUGUAAUACUAAUUGUUAACAUUUAAGAUAAUGCUUAAUUAUUUACGGGUCCCUUAAUUUAAUUUAAGGUUUUGUUUUAGUCUUUUAUCUAAAAAUAUUAUUUUUUAUUCUCUCAAAAACUAGUAUGUUAGACAAAGUAGUCCCUUACGUUAACUUUUAACUAUAAAUAUCUAAGAUGGAGUAAUAUUAUUGAGUGUCCAUCAUGGAUCAUAUUUUUUAAAAACAAUUUAACCAUUCGAUCUGAUUAAAAAAAUACCAAAAAAUUGGACAUUGAAAGUCUAUUAAAUCUAACAAUGAACCACCAACAUCUAAUAUUUUUUUUGACAUUUAUUCAUCUUCUUCAUUUUUAUUCUCCUUCAUCUUCAUCACCACCUUAAACACAU
rnacentral:lncRNA from 1 species